rnacentral:lncRNA from 1 species
NNNNNNNNNNNNNNNNNNNNNNNNNNNNNNNNNNNNNNNNNNNNNNNNNNNNNNNNNNNNNNNNNNNNNNNNNNNNNNNNNNNNNNNNNNNNNNNNNNNNNNNNNNNNNNNNNNNNNNNNNNNNNNNNNNNNNNNNNNNNNNNNNNNNNNNNNNNNNNNNNNNNNNNNNNNNNNNNNNNNNNNNNNNNNNNNNNNNNNNNNNNNNNNNNNNNNNNNNNNNNNNNNNNNNNNNNNNNNNNNNNNNNNNNNNNNNNNNNNNNNNNNNNNNNNNNNNNNNNNNNNNNNNNNNNNNNNNNNNNNNNNNNNNNNNNNNNNNNNNNNNNNNNNNNNNNNNNNNNNNNNNNNNNNNNNNNNNNNNNNNNNNNNNNNNNNNNNNNNNNNNNNNNNNNNNNNNNNNNNNNNNNNNNNNNNNNNNNNNNNNNNNNNNNNNNNNNNNNNNNNNNNNNNNNNNNNNNNNNNNNNNNNNNNNNNNNNNNNNNNNNNNNNNNNNNNNNNNNNNNNNNNNNNNNNNNNNNNNNNNNNNNNNNNNNNNNNNNNNNNNNNNNNNNNNNNNNNNNNNNNNNNNNNNNNNNNNNNNNNNNNNNNNNNNNNNNNNNNNNNNNNNNNNNNNNNNNNNNNNNNNNNNNNNNNNNNNNNNNNNNNNNNNNNNNNNNNNNNNNNNNNNNNNNNNNNNNNNNNNNNNNNNNNNNNNNNNNNNNNNNNNNNNNNNNNNNNNNNNNNNNNNNNNNNNNNNNNNNNNNNNNNNNNNNNNNNNNNNNNNNNNNNNNNNNNNNNNNNNNNNNNNNNNNNNNNNNNNNNNNNNNNNNNNNNNNNNNNNNNNNNNNNNNNNNNNNNNNNNNNNNNNNNNNNNNNNNNNNNNNNNNNNNNNNNNNNNNNNNNNNNNNNNNNNNNNNNNNNNNNNNNNNNNNNNNNNNNNNNNNNNNNNNNNNNNNNNNNNNNNNNNNNNNNNNNNNNNNNNNNNNNNNNNNNNNNNNNNNNNNNNNNNNNNNNNNNNNNNNNNNNNNNNNNNNNNNNNNNNNNNNNNNNNNNNNNNNNNNNNNNNNNNNNNNNNNNNNNNNNNNNNNNNNNNNNNNNNNNNNNNNNNNNNNNNNNNNNNNNNNNNNNNNNNNNNNNNNNNNNNNNNNNNNNNNNNNNNNNNNNNNNNNNNNNNNNNNNNNNNNNNNNNNNNNNNNNNNNNNNNNNNNNNNNNNNNNNNNNNNNNNNNNNNNNNNNNNNNNNNNNNNNNNNNNNNNNNNNNNNNNNNNNNNNNNNNNNNNNNNNNNNNNNNNNNNNNNNNNNNNNNNNNNNNNNNNNNNNNNNNNNNNNNNNNNNNNNNNNNNNNNNNNNNNNNNNNNNNNNNNNNNNNNNNNNNNNNNNNNNNNNAACAACUUAUGAGUACGAGGGCGAUCGUACUCAUAAGAGUAUAGUAGCCGGACUCUAUAUAUAUAUAUAUAUAUAUAUAUAUAGAGAGAGAGAGAGAGAGAGAGAGAGAGAGAGAGAGAGUAGAGAGAGAGAGGGCUACUAUACUCUUAUGAGUAUAGAGCCCUUCAUACUCAUAAGUUGUUUUCGAUGUUGGGGUUUUCAAAUGGACGAUCCACACUGUUAAACAUUCUCUAGGGUAUUUGAAACCUCUAGAAAAAAAAAUUUCGUAAUUUUUCGAAAUCAUUAUAAAGUCCAUCAAGUGGGUAUAAAAUGAACGGUCAAAACCGAACGACAUCCUAAAAAUGGAUGAUCGGAUCUUUCAAUUUAAGAUCAGAGUUUUUGAUCAUUCUUUAGGUAGUGAAUAGAAUUUUCUAUCAAAAAUUCAACCUAUUCUGAUUCUUUUUCACGGUUAAACUAGCAAAUAUCUCAUACCGGCUGUUAAAAAUUGUUAAUUUUGUGAGCUGUUGAUCGUAAGGUAAAUGAUAUCGAAAAAUUAUAAAAUUUGAUUUCUAGAAGUUUUAAAUGCUCUAGAUAAUGUUUAACGGUAUGGAUCGUCGAUUCCGAAGCUCUAUCAUCGAAACAACUUAUGAGUACGAAGGCAAUCGUACUCAUAAGAGUAUAGUAGUCGGACUCUGUAUCAAGGUUUAAAUUGUCGUGGCACGGGGGCGUGCCAUUAUGUCCCUUGCACGGUACGGCACAGGCACGCUUGCGUGCCGACACUUGUCACGCUUGCGUGCCGAUAGAUACACAUGACCUCCUACGGCACAGGCACGCUUGCGUGCCGACACUUGGCACGCUUGCGUGCCGAUAGAUACACAUGACCUCCUACUGGCACGCAGGGGUGCUGCAGCACACAGAGUGGGUUCGAGACCCCCCUGUACCGUGCCCCCUUCUUGGGGGCACGGUACGGCACAGGGCGGCACCUUCAUCCUUGCUCUAUAUAUAUAUAUAUAUAUAGUCCAGCUGGGAUACUAUCGAUAGCAUCAAGCACUUGGUGCUACUGAGUUUUCCACCGUUAGAUUUAACCCUUUGAUUAUUUUCACCCAUUAGAUUUUAUUAUUCAACCAACAACUCACUCAACCCUAGAGGGCCCACAUCAUCCUAGCCGUACAUUUCUUCAUCCAAGGGCCGAAAACCUAAUAGCACCAACAGCUUGGUGCUAUUGAUAGCAUUCCAGCAUAGUUCUAUAUAUAUAUAUAUAGAGAGAGAGAGAGAGAGAGAGAGAGAGUCCGACUACUAUACUCUUAUGAGUACGAUUGCCCUCGUACUUAUAAGUUGUUUUCGAUGAUAGAGCUUCCGAAUCGACGAUCCAUACCGUUAAACGUUAUCUAGAGCAUUUAAAAUUUUUAGAAAUCAAAUUUUAUAAUUUUUUGACAUCAUUUACCUUACAAUCAAAUGGUAACAAAAUUGAUAACUUUUAACGGCCGGUAUAAGAUACUUGUUAGUUUAACGGUGUAAAAACUUCAGAAUCGGUUGAAUUUUUGAUAGAAAAUUCUAUUCACUACCUAGAUAAAGAUCAAUAACUCCGAUCUUAAAUUGAAGGAUGCGAUCAUCUAUUUUUAGGACGUCGUUCGAUUUCGACCGUUCAUUUUAUACCCACUUGAUGGACUUUAUUAUGAUUUCGAAAGAUUACGAAAUUUAUUUUUUAGAAGUUUCAAAUACUCUAGAUCAUAUUUAACGGAGUGGAUCGUCGAUUCAGAAGCUCCAUCAUUGAAAACAACUUAUGAGUAUGAAGGAUUCUAUACUCAUAAGAGUAUAGUAGCCCUACUCUCUCUCUCUCCCUCUUUAUAUAUAUAUAUAAUUGAGCUCCUAUGCUUUUAAAAGUACCAAGUUAUUGGUGCUUGUAGAUUUUUAGCUAUUGGAUUAAAAGAUAUGCGGUUAAGAUGAUGUGGGCCCUCUAGGGUUUAGUAGGUGGUUGGUUGAAUAGUAUAAUCUAAUGGUUGAAAAUGAUCCGAGGAGUAGAUCUAACAGUAAAAAACUUACAAGCACCAAAUGCUUGGUGCUUUUACAAGCACCAUAGCUGGACUCUAUAUAUAUAUAUAGGAGUAGGACUUGUGUGCUAUUAGGAGUACGAAGGCCAGAUAAUGGAACUUCCAAAUCGACAAUUAACUCCGUUAAACUUGAUCUAGCAUAUUUAAAAUAUCUAGAAAAUAAAUUGUGAUUUUUUGAUUAAUUACAUAGCGAUUGAAAGGACUCAAAAUCAACGGUUGAAAAUAAAAAUUUUACAAAAAAUUAUGAUAUUGCAUUAAAAUUUUCGAUCGAAGAUAUUAAUCUUGCUGUAGAUAGUAUAAAGAAUUUUCUAUCAAAAUUUUAUCUGAUUUGAAUACUUCUACAUUAUUAAUAUUGCAAACGGCACACACCAACCAUUAAAAAUUGUUGAUUUUGAACCCUUUUGAUCAUUAGGUAAAUGAUAUCGAAAAAUCGCAAAAUUUAUUUUUCAUAUACUUCAAACACGCUAGAUCAAGUCUAACAGAGUUGAUUGUCAAUUCGGAAGUUUAAUCAUCGAAAACGUCUUAGGAGCAUGAAGGCCUCCGUGCUCCUAAUAGCACACAAGUCCUACUCCAUAUAUAUACACACACACACACACGUGUAUAUAUAUAGAGAGAGAGAGAUAGAGAGAGAGAGAGAGUAGGUCUUGUGUGCUAUUACGAGCACGGAGGCCUCCAUGCUCCUAAGCCAUUUUCGAUGAUGGAGCUUCCGAAUCGACAAUCGGCUCCAUUAGACUUGAUCUAGCGUAUUUGAAGUAUCUAGAAAAUAAAUUUUGCGAUUUUUUGAUAUUAUUUACAUAGCGAUCGAAAGUGUUCAAAAUCAAAGGCUAAAAAUAAAAAUCUCACAAAAAGUGGUGAUAUGGCACUAAAAUUUUCAAUCAGAGAUAUUAACUUGCAGUACAUAAUACAAAAAAAAAAAUUUGUCAAAAUUUCAUCUGAUUUGAAUACUACACCGUUAAACUUAUAAAGGAUAUAUAUCAAUCAUUUUUAACGGUGUAGAAGUAUUCAAAUUAGAUAAAAUUUUGAUAGAAAGUUUUUUGUACUAUUUACUGCAAGUCAAUAUCUCUGAUCGAAAAUUUUAGUGCUAAAGUAAUGAUAUAGCACUAAAAUUUUCGAUCAAAGAUAUUGACUAGCAAUAAAUAGUACAAAAAAUUUUCUAUCAAAAUUUCAUCUGAUUUGAAUACUUCUACAUUGUUAAACUUGUAAACGAUAUAUAUCAACCAUUAAAAAUGAUUGAUUUUGAAUCCUUUCGAUCGCUAGGUAAAUAAUAUCGAAAAAUUACAAAAUUUAUUUUCUACAUACUUCAAAUACGGUAGAUCAAGUCUAACGGAGCCGAUCGCAUUAAGAAAGUGCCCGAUCAUGAAAAAUGGCACUUACAACACGGAUGGCUCUAUGCUCCAAUAAGCACACAAGCUCCUACUAAUAUAUAUAUCAUGAGAGAGAAGAGAGAGGAGAAUUUAGGCUACUAUCACUACCCUUAGUACAGAGCUUCGUACUAGUUAGUUCUUGUUUCGAUCUUAGGGUGUUCAAAUUAACAUACAGCACCGUAAAAUAUGAUCUAGCUGUAUAUGAAGUUCUUAGAAUAAAAUUUAGUUUUUUUCGAUAGUCGUUUUACUAAGUAAAAUAAUUAUGUCAAAAUCGUCGGGAAUUAAAUAAUCUUUAAAAUUUGAGCAGGUUGAAAUUCAAGAUCAGGUAAUGCUUAACCUUGAAUCUAGUAGUUUAAAGUAUUUCAAUCAAAAUGUAAGAAAUUUAGAUUCUUCCAUGACACCUUAAACUCCAAAUUCGCACAUAGAGCAUGAAAUUUGACGAAUUUUGAAAAUAGUUUUAUCAUAAAGUAAAACUAUGGCUCGAAAAAAUAUAAAAUUUUAUUUCUAAAACUUUAAUACCCUUAGAUCAGUUCUUAACGGUGUGGAUCGUAAUUGAUUUGAACACCCUUAGAUCGAAACACGGGACUAUAGAUCCGAGCCCCCGAUACUAUAGAUAGUACAGCGAGACUAGCUCCUGAUAUAUAUAUAUAUAGUAGGGCUACUAUACUCUUACGAGUAUAGAGCCCUUUGUACUCAUAAGUUGUUUUCGAUGAUGGGGCUUCUGAAUCGACGAUCUACUCCGUUAAAUAUGAUCUAAAGUAUUUGAAACUUCUAAAAAAUAAAUUUCGUAAUUUUUCAAAAUCAUAAUAAAGUCCAUCAAGAGGCCAUAAAAUGAACGGUCAAAAUCAAACGACGUCCUAAAAAUGGAUGAUCCGAUCCUUCAAUUUAAGAUUGAAGCUAUUGAUUUUUAUCUAGGUAGUGAAUAGAAUUUUCUAUCAAAAAUUCAACAUAUUUCAAUUUUUUUACACCGUUAAACUAGCAAGUAUCCCAUACCGGCCGUUAAAAAUUGGCAAUUUUGUGAGCUUUUGAUUGUAAGUUAAAUAAUAUCGAAAAAUUAUGAAAUUUGAUUUCUAUAAGUUUUAAAUGCUCUAGAAAAUGUUUAAUGGUAUGGAUCGUCGAUUCGGAAGCUUUAUCAUCAAAAACGACUUAUGAGUACGAAGGCGAUCGUACUUAUAAGAGUAUAGUAGCCGGACUACAUAUAUAUAUAUAGAGAGAGUUGAACUGGAAUGCUAUCAGUAGCAAACGAGCUCCAUUGCCACCCAUUUGUUUUCGAUAAUGGAGCCUUCAAAUUAACGAUCGAUACCGUUAAACAUGAUCUAUACCACUUGAAAUAUCUAGAAACUAAAUUUCAAAUCUUUUCGGCACCAUUGACCUAAUGAUCAAAGGGUUUCAAAAUUUGUAAUUUUAAUGGUAGAUAUGAGGCGUUUUCUCGUUUAACGGUGUAGAGUUAUCCAAAUAAAUUGAAUUUAGGUUACAAAAUUCUUUAAGCUAUUUAGAACAAGAUCUAUACUCUCGAUCUUCAUUACAAAAUUUCUCUCAUCACUUUUCAGAGGAUAUUCAUUUUCAGCCAUUCAUUUUUACGUCCACUUGAUGGACAAGAGAACAAUAUCGGAAAAACAUGAAAUUUGAUUUCUAGAUACUUCAAGUGGUAUAGAUCAUGUUCAACGUACCGAUCGUCGAUUUGGAGGCUCCAUCAUUGAAAACAAAUGGGUGGCAACGGAGCCCGUUUGCUACUAAUAGUAUUCCAACUCAACUAUAUAUAUAUAUAUAUAUAUAUAUAUAUAUAUAUAUAUAUAUAUAUAGGCCGUGGCUACUAUACUAUUAUGAGUAUUGGAGCCCUCGUACUCAUAAGUUGUUUUCGAUGAUGGAGCUUCUGAAUCGUCGAUCCACUCCGUUAAAUAUGAUCUAGAGUAUUUGAAACUUCUAGAAAAUAAAUUUUGUAAAUUUUCGAAAUCAUAAUAAAGUCCAUCAAGCGGGCAUAAAAUGAAUGGUCAAAAUCGAACGACGUCCUAAAAAAGGAUGAUUGGAUUCUUCAAUUCAAGAUCAGAGUUAUUGAUCUUUAUCUAGGUAGGGAAUAGAAUUUUCUAUCAAAAAUUCAACAAAUUCCGAUUCUUUUACACCGUUAAACUAGCAAGUAUCUCAUAUCGGCCAUUAAAAAUUAUCAAAUUUGUGACCUCUUGAUCGUAAGGUAAAUGAUGUCGAAAAAUUAUAAAAUUUGAUUUCUAUUAGUUUUAAAUGCUGUAAAUAACGUUUAACGGUAUGGAUCGUCGAUUCGGAAGCUCUAUCAUUGAAAGACGCAUUUAUAAGUACCGAGAGCAUCGUACUCAUAAUAGUAUGGUAGCGGGACCCAUAUAUCAUUAUACUGUACCUAAUACAGUAAUUUAUCGAUUACGAAUCUCAUAAAUGGUGACAGCAUAGCAAUUUCAAGAAUCAUGUAAGAAUUAGGCCUAAAGAAAACAAUUAGAACGAAAAUUUAGCAAUCAUAAUUAGCAACGGCAAGAAAAGUCACCUGACUACCCUCUCAACCAACACUCACCAGCCCGAUAAACAAACAUAUAUAUAGAGGUCCGGCUGGGAUACUCAUGUUCCACAAGAUUGAUGCUAUCGAGUUUUUCCACCCUUAGAUUUAUAACCUUUUGAUUUUAUUACCCGUUAGAUUAUAUACAUUUCAACAGACCAACGACUAACCCUGGGCGCUCCACCCAUAUCUAACGUAUAUUUCUCAUCCGAUGAAGCUAAAAAACUAAUAGAACCAAGUCUUGUCGGUAAUCGAUAGUAUCCCAACCGACUCUCAUCUCUCCUCCUCUCUCUCUCCAUCUCUCUCUCUACUUAUAUAUAUAUAUAUAUUACUAUAUAUAUAUACGAGAGAAGAGAGAUGAGACCUGAGGAGUGUGAGGCGGUUGGACACCCGACGCGAUGGGGCCGGCGUUAGAGGAUAAGAUGGGAGUCGAGGAGAGAGAGAGUUUGGGGACUGGAAUACUAUUGCAUAGUAUUUACCCCCCUUUUGCUAUCAGAUUUUUAACCCUCGAUUGGAUGAGAAAUUGUUGGUUAGGGAUGAUAUUAUGUCCCUUAGGGCUGAGGUGGUCCCACGGCGUUAAUUAAAUUUAAUCCAUAUGAUUAGAAAUGAUCAAAGGAAUUAUCCAAAGGCUUAUAAACUUGAUAGGCAAAAGGACAAAUAUAUAUAAUAGUAUUCUAACCAACUAUAUAUAUAUAUAUAUAUAUAUAUAUAUAUAUAUUAAUAUAUAUAUAUAGUUGCCUAGAAUUACUAUCGAUGCAACGAGCUCCGUCUGCACCAUAUUGUUUUACGAGAUGUCGAGCCAUCCAAAUCUGCGAUGGCACGUUUGAACAUGAUCUAUACCACUUGAAUGUUUAGAAAAUCAAAUUUCAUAUUUUCGAUAUUAUUCUCUUAUCCAUCGAGUGGACACAAAAAUGAAACGGUGAAUGAAAUAUUCUUUAAAAAAUGAUGAUAGGAGUCUUGUAAUCAAGAUCAAGAGUAUAGAUCUUGUUAAAUAGUUAAAAAAAUUUUCAAAUAAAAUUCAAUUGAUAUUGGAUAUCUUCUUGCGCUUAAACAAGAAACGUCUCAUAUCGACCAUUUAAUUUACAAAUUUUAAAAACCCUUCGAUCAUUAGGCAAUAUAAUGUCGAAAAGAUUUGAAUUCGAUUUCUAAACACUUCAAAGUGGUAUAGCUCAUGUUCAACUCGGUACCGUAUCGUCGAUUUGGAGGCUCCAUCAUCGAAAACAAAUGGGUGGCAACGGAGCCCGUUUGCUAUCGAUAGUAUUCUAGCUUAACUCUAUAUAAAUAUAUAUAGAGUUGAGCUAGAAUACUAUCGAUAGCAAACGGGCUCCGUUGUCACCCAUAUAUAGAGUUGAGCUAGAAUACUAUCGAUAGCAAACGGACUCCGUUGCCACCCAUUUAUUUUCGAUGAUGGAGCCUCCAAAUCGACGAUCGGCACCGUUGAACAUGAUCUAUCCCACUUGAAGUGUUUAGAAAUCGAAUUUCAUACAUUUCCAAUAUUGUUCUCUUAUCCAUCGAGUAGACACAAAAAUAAACGGUUGAAAAUGAAUAUUCUUUAAAAAAUGAUGAUAGAAUUCUUGAAAUCAAGAUCAAGAGUAUAGAUCUUGUUUUAUAUAGUUUAAAGAAUUUUCUAACAAAAAAUUAAUUGGUUUGGAUAUCUUUACACUGUUAAACGAGAAAACGACUCACAUCGACCAUUAAAAUUAUAAAUUUUGAAACCCUUUGAUCAUUAGACAAAUGAUGUCGAAAAGAUUUGAAAUUUGAUUUCUAAAUACUUGAACUGGUACAAAUCAUGUUCAACAGUACCGAUCGUCGAUCUGGAGGCUCUAUCAUCGAAAACAAAUGGGUGGCAACGAAGCCCGUUUGCUAUCAAUAGUAUUCUAGUUCAACUAUAUAUAUAUAUAUAUAUAUAUAAAUAGAAAGAGAUAGUGAAAAAGAGAAAAGAGAGUACGUCUCAUGUGCUUUCGAAAGCACGAAGGCCUCCGUGCUUGUAAGUUAUUUUUGAUGAUGGAACAUCCAAUUCGACGAUCGGCUCCAUUAGGCAUGAUCUACGUUAUUAGAACUACUAAGAAACCAAAUUUCAUAAUUUUCCAACAUCAUUUACCAAAUGAUCAAAGGGUCUCAAAAAUGACUAUUUUAAUGGCCGAUAUGGCACGUCCCUAAGCUCAACAAUGUAGAACAAUCCAAAUUAGGUGAAAUUUUAAUAGAAAAUUCUACUUACCAUCAAGAGAAAGAUUUGAAAGUUGUCUUUUAUCAUUGUUUUCCAUAGGAUUUUUAUUUUCAGUCGUUCAUUUUAAGGCUAUUCGUACACUAGGCAAACAAAGUCAAAAAAUUGUGAAAUUUAAUUUCUAGAUAGUCCAACAUGGUAGAUCAUAUCUAACAUAACCGAUCGCCGAAUCAAAGUUCCACGUGACCGAUCGCCGAAUCAAAGUCAAAAAACGGUUUGAUCCGUAAAACACCUAUUAAACAUCAAAGUUCCAUGUGACCUCUUCAAUCGAAGAGCCCUAUUUGGCUUUACAGAAUAGCCACUUAAAUUAAUUUAUGUAAUCUGAAGAUUAAUCAAAGCUGAAAAAAUUUCCAGUUGUUAGGACUUGCAAUGUUCCAUCUCUUGAUACCACUCUUGUUUUAUUUUAUUAUCAGAAUUCUUUAUCGCUAUACUCACCAUUGAAUAAUUCCUAUUGAGGCAUUUUGCAGCAGAUCAAAAGAUCUAAACACAUCCAUUUCCCUAGAGUUUGGUGUCUUGCAUAUGUUAGUCUUCAAAGAUUUUUGAGAAUUCCUUUAUUCUGUUGCAUUUUUUUUUAAAUUAAGGCACGGAAUCCAGUAUUGUCUUAAUGCAGUUAAGAUAGCAAUUCAUGAGAUAUUAUCUCAUGAGUCAUGACAAAUGAAGGAAUGCAAUAGUAUCGAUGUGAUAAUAGCAUUAAAAGGAGAGGAUUUCUAGUAGAAUCUGAUAUUGAAGAGCUAAGAAUGUAUUUUUCCUUUAAUUUCAGAACUAAAAUAUUUUUUCUUUUCAUUACCAGCGCCAAGUAAAGCUCACAGCUCAUGAGCCAGCUCGAUCUCGGUUCCUUUAUAGCCCUACUCAAGCUAGUUUGUUUGUCAGACAAGCCAAUCUCAAGCAAGGAUUUCGGGCACGCUUUUGUAAAUGAGCUCUAGCCUCACUCGAGUUCAGCUCAUAUUAGCUUGAAUAUUGCUCCUAUUUAGUACGCUUCUUAAGCCUGUCGAUCCAAUAGCCUGAGUGACCACUGUACAACCUAGGGUUCUACCCAAGAAUAUAAGUGUCCAUCAACACAGGCCAUAUCCACCGUGUCGUAUCAUACCAAUAAAAUAUCGAUACGAUAUAGCCCUCAUGCCGAUGGCACAGCUCAAAACUCUCUUUUCUUUAAAUUAGUAAGUUAUUUUUUCAAUAAAGUUCAAAAGACUUGAUCAAGAUACAUAAUAAGCAAAGAAUAUUUUGCUGCUAAAGAAAAUAAAUAUUUCAUGCAAUUAUGUGUCGGCACACAAGUAUUUUUUGUGACUGGCACGCAUCGGCACAGUCCGGCACACCGUGUCAUACCGCACCGGCAAGUUUUCGACACGACCCCAUGUCAAGGCACUUAAAUUCUUGGUUCCACCAAAAUCCCAAAUUCCAAUACAAUAGUAAUUAUCUCAGCUAACUUGGGGAAGCAAAACGGCAACGCCUCCACCUCUAUCCUCCCACACUGAUAGCAAAAUAUGGUCAUGCUUCAACCUCUCCUCCGAAAUGAGUUGCAAGACCAACCAUGCUAAUAGUAGGGACAACCUGUCCAUGUCUUAUCCUAUGGAACAGCACAAGAGAUGCCUCCACGUCUCUUCACAACAAAUUCAAAAAGCCAAGCUCAAGCUAACCCGGUAUAUAGGAAAUUGAUCUCAAGCCAUCUGUGGUCCAACACGAUUCAAGCUCAAGCCGAGUUCAAGCUAGCCUUUCAGCAUCUUUGUGUCAGCCCAAGCUGAGAUUAUCUCGGCUGGUUUACACCCCUACUCUUCAUUAAUAGAAAUCGGAAGGCAACCAACGCACAAGCAACGCCGCAAGAGAGGUCAAAACUAAUUAAACCCUCCACUGUGCUUUCUUGAAUAGCUCCUCUUUCUUUAAAAGCCCUAUCUAACCCAAUGUUACCUAGAACGGGAUUCGCCGUGGUGCGUGGUACAGGUACAGGAACGUGAUUUGCUAGUUUGCGGUACAAGGGAGAGAGGGUAGGGGUGGUGUUCUGAAGGGUUAGCUGUCGGAAUGCUAUAAUAGCAGCAGUUAGUCAACAUAUAUGUAGAGUGUCAGGAUCGAUCGAAGUCGUUUCGAUGUGAAAUGGACGCGAAAACAAACUCGGAGCACUAAAACCAGCCAAAACUAGAGUUCUGGCAGUUUCGAACGCCCAGAAAGUGAAACUAGGCACCCAGAUCUUCACUGCAAUGUUGUUGUUGCUAUUGAAGUCAUUUCGGGCCCUCAUUCGGGUGCUCGGAUGUCCACCUGGAUUGCCCCACGUGUGUAACGAUCUUCUACGACACAUGGUAGGUGGCAGCUUUGGAUACGAGCGAUGGAUAAGGUUUCAGACCCUCUUGCAGUUAGCCCGGAUUUGGAUCCGAACUGCGUUUUGCACAGUUUCAGGCACCCGGAUGUGAGUUUAGGGCGCCCGAAUGUGGGGAUUUCUACAAGUGGCAAGUUUAAAUUCUAUUCUUCUUUGGGCUCACUUUACCUCUAUAUAUAGAUUAUGUAAGCCCCUCACAACCUCUUUUCCUUCUCCUUCACCUGGAAACUCAAUUCUCACAGCAAAUCCAUCACCAAAACCUCUCUAAUUUCCCUUCUUUUCCCUGCAGGUACAGUAGCAGCAGCAAGAACAGCACCAGUAACAGCAGCUUGGUUGGGAGUUAGUUGAUUAGGGAUUUGUAAUUGUUGCUGAGGUUUUGGUUUGUGAUUUUGAUGGUAGAAGAGAGGUUGUGGAGCAAUUCCUGCAUUCUAAUUCCAGGCUAGUAGCUUUAAAUUGGAGAGAGUGGUAGUUGAGCUAAAUUUUGGAGUUUUGUUGAUUUUCUCCAAUUUCUUGAUUCGAUUCUUUCUAGUACAGUUAUUGCUGGAUUCUUGUGGGUUCGAAGCUACUUCUACCUAGAUUACAGGUUAGUGAGCUGAGAUUAAUGGUCAAAUCGAGUUUUUGGAACCGAAUUGAGCUUUCGAUGGAAAUUUUAAAUCCAAUCUCUUUCCAGUAAUUCUCUUGUUUGGAGAUGUGUUUAGUUGGACUUUUUCACCUGUUUUGGAGCAGAGGGGCUUGAGGAAUUUCAUUCUAGCUGGUAGCAAGGUAGAAUGAUCUACAUUUUAGUAAAAUUCAGAUUUUUGCUUUAAAUUCCAGCAUUGAUGAAUUUUACUAUUGAUCUAGAUUAGCUCCUUGCUGAUUUUGAGAGGUCUUUUUCACUGAAUUCCUGCCGGGCUUGGGGCUGAGGAGAGGUGUAUUCGUGAUUGAACCCUUGCCAUCAUUGGAUUAGCACACAAGAUGAGUUAAUUUACCGAAAAUGACAAAACACUCAUUAUGUCUAGCCAAUUCUGCAUGCAUGCUGAUUUCUUAUUCUAGUUAAAUGUUCUAACCUAAUAUCCUGAGAAAUGCAUGUGAGAUGCUGAUUUUCUGUGUUAGAACUCCUCAAACCUGCAUGUAGAGAAUUUUAUAUGCUGAAAUUGGACUAUAUACAUGUACAAAAAUCUGCGCUAUUCCUCCCCGACGCUCCGUCUUUAGUAUUUAGUGUCAUUAGCUGUUUUUGUCUGUUUUUCACCCUAGCUAAGGGUAUUGAGCAUAUGGAUUAGUGUAGGCUGGCUUUAUGCUCGUGCUAAGGGGACCGAGUGAAUUUUUACAGCAGUUGUUAAACUAAAUUGUACAAUAGAGUGCCGUCUGGGUUGACGGUAGUCCCGGAUCAUCGAGUUUUGUACUGGAUUAUGCCUCCGGCACAUGGAUUACAGUUUGAUGAUCUGAUUGAUGAUUCACAUCGACUACAGCCUACAUGAACCAAAUUCGAGCUCGAUAGAGACUACACUUUUUGCUCGGCGGGGUAGCUCCCCUAAGUGCCGCUCCGGAGUGAAGCUUUAUGCAUUAGUUUUGCAGCAACCCUUUUGGGCGACCUACAUUUGACCGGCCACCCUCGAGGUGGUGCUGUGGUAGUAGGUUGGCGCAGACUUGACCGGACCUUGGAGGUGGUUAUUUGGAUUGGAUUUGGAUAGCGAGUGCCUGAUAGCUAGCUGAUGCAUUCAUCACAUCUUGUAGUUUCAUUUUGAGCACUAGUAUAGAGGCAUAGUAGUUGUAAAUUCUUUUCCAACUUUUACUACAAUCUGCUCUACAGUUUAUCCAGUUCUUUACUUUUCACCUCUAAAAGACCUAGUGGGUAGGUCGUCGUCAUCGAUAACAGUACCGACUGAGAACUACUCGUUUACAGUAGUUCUCACACUCUUCGUUGUUGACCUUUCCUUGUAGAGCCUUCCACCUCUGUCACUGUUUUUGAUUGAGAUAAGAGAGUCGCGAAUUAAUUCCUUACCUUCUCGUGCUGGCCGAGUUGGAGGAGCACCAUUGUAGCUGGUUUUUGAAGAGUAGUUCAUUGUACAUACUACAUCGACUAGCGGACUGAUGCUUACGCUUUUACCUUCGGUUGUCUGAGGUGGCUUUGUACUUGGUGGAGAUGUAUUAUUGUACUAUUUUGGGAUGUGUGUAUGUAUGUACAGUGGACUAUGUUUUAGCUUUUAGCAGUUUUAUUUCAGCUCCGAUUUCUAUUUAUAGUAGACUCUAGAAUUAUUUUCUGGUUAUGUUUUGCUUCAUGUACACAGGGCAUUCUGUGUAUGCCGCAGGUCUAUUGGCAAGCCCGAGUUCCGCCAUAACACGGGGCGUAACAUGUAGAACUAGUCGAAACGCUAUUCUGAAAUGUGGUUCAUUUAGAACGUUAGCAUCAAUAUUCCAAAAUGCAGUAUGCAGUGUUCAUGUGGUUCCCCACCAUAGCGCAUGCAGAUGCAUAUGCAGUCUAACUAUUAAUAUAUUAAAAAGUAUUUAUAGGUACUAAAAAUAUAUAUAAAUACUUGCUAACAAAGCUAACUACCUAAAAUAAUAAUUUAGAAUUCACCAAUUGAAAUAAUUAAUUUCAAGUAAGACCUCAUACGUAAACAUGUACCACUAAACUAAUAAUUAGCAAUUUACUCAUCAUUAUUAAAUAGAGAAAUAAAUAGAAUUUUGAUGCAAAAUUAUAAAAAAAUGCCAAACAAAAAUCAAUGUUCUAAAAAACAAUAUGCUAAACUUUUAUGAAGAAUAAUAAUUUUUUCAAUAAACUAUCAUUCAAGGAUUUAAGUGCCAUUAGUAGGGGUCGUAUCCACCGCGCCAUAUCAUGUCAACAAGAUAUCGGCACGAUACAACCCCCGUGCCGAUAGCAGAACACAAGACCUUAUAUUCUUUAAAUUAGUAAGUAAUUUUCUCAAUAAAGUUUAAAAGAGUUGAUAAAUAUACAUAAUAAAUAAAUAGAAUAUUUUGUUGUUAAAGAAAAUAAAUAUUUCAUGCCAUUACGUGUAGGCAUACAUAUUUUUUUGUGACUGGCAUGCAUCGGCACGGUUCGGCACGCACUGUGCCGUACCAUGUUGGCAAGUUUCCGGCACUACCCCGUGCCACGGCAUUUAAAUCUUUGCUAUCAUUCACGUCAUCUGACAGGCCAACACUUAAAUAAAAUAUAUAAUACUAUCUAACAACUAUAAAAUUAUCCACUAAUAUUUACAAACAUAAUUAUUAGAUAUCUUAGGAAUAAUACCCACUAAAAUAAGAAGAGAGAUAGUUAGAUUAUGUUUAUAUAAAGAUAAUUGGAUUUAUAUACAUUAUUAACUAAACUUGUAUGAAAAUAGAUAUGUACAUGUAUAAUCAAUAACCAAACAAUCUCACUCAACAUUGUUUUUUAAUCCCAUCUUCAAAAAAUGUUGCAUAGGUGGCAGCCUUUACCAUGCGUCUGCUUUUCUGUUCCUGUAGGCUUUGGAAGUUCGGAUGACCAUACCUAUAAACUGCAUAUGUGGCUGCAUAUGUGGCCACCUACUGCAUCGCACAUUAUAUAUGCGGUGCAGUUGUUAGUACAAACCGCAUAUGCGACUGCAUAUAUCGUUUUUUGGAACAUUGAUCAACAUAUAUAGAAAAGUCAAUAACUACUUUUAUUACCGUAUGGUUCUUUUUAUUCAUUACGGUCGGAUUGGGUACUCUCCUUUCUAAUCAAAACUUCUUCAACUUUUUUCCAUUCAAAUAUGACUCUUUUGUAUUAUUUGUUCUAAUAAUAUACAUUUCUUUCAGAAAACUAAACAAAUUACAUCUAGAAAAAUUGAAGUACACUUCUACUAUUCUGGUUCGCCACUUUUUAUGGUCCGGGUCAGGUACCUACUGUGAAUCAGUACGUGUGAUCUAGAUUGCAGUUCGAAGGGGGGUCUACAACCCCGGUAACUAUGAUCUAACCAAAUUUCCAACUAUAUAUUACUUAAUAUUCACUAGCCCGUGGAAAAGUUUUCAGUAUUAAAUUACCCUUUUAUAUUUCAGACAGCCUACAGCUAGCAGAAAAGCUCCAAAACAUCCCAGUUUUAUCCAACUUCUAACAGCUUUUUUUAAUGUUCUAUUAUUUUCUUCAAGUUGCGUAUCUCUAUCACUUGCUGCUCCUUUACUUUUACAAAAUAGUAUGAGACGCGAUCUAAACCAAACUUUUACGGCCCUUCAGUGGUUAUGCUUAUAUUUAUUGUUUUCAGUUUUUACUGUUAUAUCUAAAUUGGUCCAACCGAUGAGAAAAGCACGACACUGACAUUAACAGCUGAAUGAACCAUUUAAAUCAGAGCAUUAAGAAUACCGUUCAUACAUCAUAAGAACAAAACCUGCUUAAACCAAUACAGGAUGAAGGAUUGACUGCUUCAUAUUGAAUAAAUUUACAAGGAGACACAUAUUUAAGACAUCAAGACCAAUCAAAGAAAGCGGGAGCAAUAUUUCUUCUUAGAGGAAAUCGAAGUUAAAAAGUCAAAGCAUCAAAUCAAUAGCUUUAAUUAUAUUUAAAGAGUCUCCUUUUCCUUUGAUUCUUGUAAUCAUUACGAACAAACAAGAUGAAAUAUAAAAGAUCAGAAGAUUCAAAUUAAGCAAGAGGAAUCAAUACAUCACAUAAGACAAAACAUUAACACAUCGAGCAACAAAGAAAUCUAUAAACCACAAAUCCUGGAGAAAUGAAGACAACAGAAUAAGUAAACAAUAAUAACACAAACACAUGACAUCAAGCGAUCACAUGCGAGCAAAGAGAGAGAGAGAGAGAGAGAGAGAACAGGGAACUCACCGAUCGAGUCUCGUAGAGGUCGAAGCUCUGAAGGUAGCAUCCGUGGGCGACCGGUUCUUCCGCGAUCGGCGCCGCGGCGCCGUUCUCUACCGCCAUUCCCGACCAGAUCCCGAGCCCCGGGCUCGGGCCCGCUCACACGCGCAUCCAAGAAUCGCCCGGAUCACCACUCGGCCGCGCGCCCUAAACCUAGAUCCCCGCCGGGUUGCUUCAGAUACAGCAUCUCCUCCCCGUCCCCCCGCUGUUCUCCCUCCUCCUCCUCCUCCUCCUCACCCUCACCACCUCUCCAAUCCCUUCUCCUCCAUCAAACACCUCCAAAUCGAGCACAAAAUGGCGAACAACAGAUCGGGAAGCGAGGGGGAGGCUCGUCACCUCUACCGCUCGUCGCGACCUCGGGAUCUCCCGAUCGAGGAGACGCGGCGGAAUCGAGCGAAAACGAUUUCUCCGAGAAUUUGGCUUCGAUUUCGCCCUAGAAUUCGGUCUAUUCCGCUAGGAUUUAGGGUUCGAAUUGGGGAAUUGGGGGUGGGUCGGGGUUGCGGAGUGGAGGAGAGGUUCGAGAGAGAGCGAAGCGAAGCCACAGCUCAAUCCACACAAAAACACCCGACGAGUUGGAGGGGGACGGAGCAAAAAAAGAAAAUAGAAAACAUAAUAUAUAAAUAAAAUAUACAUUUAUUUAUAUUUUUUUAUAUUAUAUUAUUAUGAUUAAAUAAAUAUUCUGGGGGUCAAAUGUACCCAUAGUUCCUUUACUAUUCAAAUUUGCUUAUUUGGUCCCUAUAUAUAUAUAUUUUUUUUUCUUUUUCUUAAAAUGCUUUUUGCGGAGAUCUAAUUUUUCUCAAAAAUAUAAAUAUUUUAUUUUUCUAUCGUAAAAUUAAAUUAAAUUAAAUUUUAUUGUGUGAACAACAUCUAAUCUAACUAACUACUUAUUAAUGGUCAAAAACUAAAUAAAAUUUAUUAUUACAUUAAUUUUAAUAUUACCAUAUCAAAUAUAUUAUAUCUAGUUACCAUUUAAACUUUUUUACUAUCCUAAUAUCAAAAAUGGCUUGAACAAUAUUAAUUGUCGAGCUAAAUAUGUAAUAUAAGUCACAAUGUUAUUUUAUGUUACGAGAGUAUUUUUCUAAUAAUAAAAAAUUAAAUUAAAAUUAAUCUGAAUAAAGUUUGAGUAUCAAAUUAUCAUAUACUAAUAAUAGAUUUCGGUCUAUAUUAUAAUUGUUUUUCUUUCUUGUUCCAUAUGAUUUGUUUUUUUUAAAACAAUCUCGCAUAUUUUAUUUUAUUUUAUUUAUUUUUUACUUUUUAAAAAAAUACUCUUUAAACCUCACAUGUAAGGGAUCAAAUUUCAGCCUUUUAAUCAGCAACUUUGAUUAUAGAUUGGUUACAAAUCCUAGUUUUUUUAUUAAAAAUAAAAGAGUCAUGGUAAAUAAUAAUGUGAUGAUAUAUGAUAUAUGAUAUAUGAANGAUUGGUAGUCGUUUGGUGGUCGAGUGCAAGGUUGGGCCGAGCCGGACGGCGGGUGCCGCAGGAGGCCGAUUGCAUGUGACUACAAGUAAUCGGAAUGCAAUAAGAGGUGGGUUGUGCUCACCGAAGUUAUUAGCUCGCUUCCAUAUCGAAGAGAAGUGUAAUUUCUCAUUGAUGCAUAUAAUGUGUUAAAUGCUAGAUGAAUGCAUGUGCUAAAUGCUAGAUGAAUGCAUGAGUUAUUGCUAUUAUGAUGCAUGAUAGGGUGUCUAGAUGGUUACAUUUCUAUUCUUGCAUGCUCCUUAGUAGUGUAGCAUAGUUGAGCUUGACACGUGAACUUUGGAUGCAUGAGAAUGAGCUAUGAUGACACAGAACCCUAUAGAGAUAAGAUAAGUGAUAACUUGAUCUUGCAUUGGUGAAUAUAAUGAUAUAUGACUAGCAUAGUCGGGACAUUGAAUCAUGAUGAGUGGCAUGUGAACCAAGAGAACAUCUUGAUGAGUGGCAUUAGAGCUUAGUGUUAAAAGAGCACUUGUGACAUGAUGACUUAGGGAAUAGGUGAGUUUUCCUACUUGACACCUUGCAUGAGAUCGGUGCGAUGUUGAUGACCCUAGUGACAGGGUAUCCUCAAUUGACGAGGAUUGGAUCAUACUCACAUAGUCUGUUUAGCGCUUGUGGCGGUCGGUCCGCACAAGUAGUGCUCUACGGAGUUUGGCACGUGUGGGAUAGCCUAUUUGGGGUCCUGCAGACGGUCCCUCAGGUGGUUCGAAUCCCCCGAUAUAGAGGGAUUUUGAGAUGUGAGUCGAGGGCGAACCUAUAGGUUAGCCAAGUUGAUUGGGUUACAGGUAUAUGAGCUGUAGCUAAAUCCCAGUAGAGUGGAUAUUAGGUUGAGAUGCAAGUGAGAUGUCCUUCGCCUCGAGCCUAGCUUUGCGCGGUAUUCCGCAGAUGAUUGACUCAAGAUCGAGUCGGGUGAAUAGCUUUGUAAAGGUAGAUAAAACCUUGUGAGCAAACAGUAAAGGUCAAUGAAACCUUAUGAUCAGAAUGGUAAUUGACAUGAAUCCAAGAUAGAGGAAAACUUAGAAGUCAAUUGGACGAGCUAUGAAUAGCAGGAUUGAAAGUAGUAUCGAUUGAACUACUAGUUGGUUGCAUAGUUGUAUAAAUAGCAUGAUUUUCAUAUUGCAUAUUGUGAGGCAUGAACUUGAUAAUGUUAGUUGUAUGAAAUAUAUAAUGAUAUAUAUAUUUGUUGGAUAUUUGUUGGACUAACAUGUUGCAGUGCCUCCAUGGACCUGGUGGGUCGAGCUCUUCUUUUGGAUGGCUGUAUCCACUGGGAACUAUAUUUAUACAGUUCUCACCCCCGUGUGGUUUUGAUGGUUACAGGUUCGCACGUGAGCGACGCGGCGGCGCAAGGAGAGGGCGUAGCUCCGUAGAUAGCGCCCUACCACUGAGACCAGAGAUAGCGGUACCCCGAGUCAGCCUAGCUAGAGGUGUAGAGAAGAAAAAUAAACAAACUUGCAAUAAUCUUGUGAUAAUUGAUUGUAUUCGAAAGUUGAAUGUAAUGUAAAAUUUGUAAGUAAGAUGAAUGCUUGUAAUAGUUUAGUUGUUUUAUGUUUUUGAUACUUCCUUAUGCAAUCUAUGCUUGAUUUCAGUUCCUGGUUGGAGCAUCUUGAAUUGUAUUGAUUGCGACGCCUAGGAUGUACAGGGGAGACUAUGUCCGUUCGGCAGUCUGUCUGCGUGCCCGAACCCGACCAAAUAGGCGGGGCUCGGGGCGUGACAGCGAAGGAGGCACAACAUAAGAAGAGGUGAGAGAGUAGGAGAGAGGAUCUAGCGGGCGGUGGGCGGCGGCGGUAGAAAGCUUGAGGAGGGGGCACCAAGAUAAAGAAACGAGGAAAGCUCGGGGAGAGAGAGAGAGAGAAAGGGUGAGAGAGAUCGUGCUGAGGGAGAUUAUACACAACGUUUGAACAUGAAAAACUAUUUACUGUGUUUGACCAUGUCCAACAUGGCACUUGUAUGGUAAAGAUAGAAUCAAUUCUGUAAAUAUAAAUUUUAUUAGACUAUUUAUAAAAAAAAAAUAUUAUAGGGCUAAAUGCAAAAAAAAAACUCUAAUAAUAAUAAUACUAUAACGGGAGCUUGCCAUGUCACUUAAUAACUGCCAAUUCAUUAGAUUAGAUUAGAUUUGUUUGAGCAUCAGACAGGAUUCUAGAUGAAGAUAUAGUAGGGACAUCAUUAAAGUUGUAAGAUCUAUCCAUGCCCAAAAAUUUGAACUAAUAAAUAUUUGUAUUAAAUUUGGCUUCCUCACUGAAAGGGAUUGUUUGUUUUAGAGAAUGUCUUAGUUAAUUACUUUUGACUAAAAGCAUAUUGAACUUAUCUAAAUUGUGGAUUAUUUUGAGUCGGUUAUCUAACUUAUUAAAAAAUUAAUUUUAUCAUUCAAUCUUUUAAUUUGUUUGAUUUAACUCAGUCAAUGCUACUUUAACUUCAAAAUGUAAACUAAUUAUUUUCUUUAAUGAAUUUAUAGUUGCGAGAGUUAUAUAAAAUGUACAAACUAAACUUAUAAAGAUAAACGGCGCAUUUAAAUUUUGAAGUUAAAGUGUGGUUGACUGAUUCAAAUAAAAUAAAAUAAAAUAUUAGGUAAUCAAAUUAAAAUUUUGAAAGAUUGAGUAACCAAUUUAAAAUGGUCCAUAAUUCGUACAAGUUCUGUAUAUUUUUUAUCUUGUUUUUUUGGUUGUAAGUCACUGCCAGAGAAGAUAAAAUCCAAUAUUUACAUUUAAUGCAUCUAGUAUUAAAUUAAAUUUUUUUUUUGUAGUUAUGAGGUAUGUUUGGUUAGCCGAAAGUGAAGCACAGAAAAUAGUACUUUUAGGAUUUGAUGUCUUAUUAGUUGUUUGGUAUGUAAAAGCAUAAUAUAGAACUUAAUUUACUAAAGUAGGUUGAUAAGAAGUUACAACUCAAUCAUACCAUUUUUCGACUUAAAUAGACCGAUUGUAUCUUUAUAAAUCGUCUUUAAUAAAUCACAUAUGCGCCACAUCCAACAUUCUCCCAUUUGGCUUAGUAAUAUAUUCAUUACCGUAUAGACGAUACAAAAAUUUUAUUAGGUACCAACUAAAUAAUACAGUCGGAAUCUCCCACUGAACCAAAAAAUCACAAUACUUUGAUCAUAUACCGUGGUUAUGUCCCAAAAGAUGAACACUCCCUUCCAUAUAUCAAAAGCAUGUAUUUCUUAAUCAAACAACUUUAUGAGUUACAACCAUAUAAACUUAUUAUAAGUUCAAAGUCCAAAAAUUUCAGAGUCAUCAAAAGUGGAAAGCUUAUCUAAAAGAUUAAAUUGGUCUUAGCUUUAAUUUUAAAUUUUUUAAAUUGAAUUUUAACUCAAAUUUGAAUUCAAAUCAUGAAUUUAAUCUCAUAUUUUGAAUUUUAUUUGUAAAUACAAAUUCCAACACAAAAUAUUUAAAUUUAAAUUUGCGAAUUUAUAUUUAAAUAUAAAUUUUUAUAUAAAUUUAAUUCUGGUUUUAAAAUUUUAAAUUUACAUUUAAAUUAAAUUAUUAUUUAAAUUUUAAAUCUAAUGAAAUUAUUUUUAGCUAGGAACUUGAACUUGAACUUUGAAUUCAAAUUGUUCCCAAAUUAUUGAUUGAAACUUGAAUUCAAAGUUUAAAUAUAUAAGUUGAUUUAAGUUUGUAUUUUAAAUUUAAUUUCAAUAAUGAGUUUCAGUUUGAACUUUGAAUUUAAAUUAUGAAUUCAAUUGUUCAUUUUGAAUUGUACGUUAAAUUCGAAGUUUCAUUUAAAUUUAAAUUUUUAUUCAAAUUGUGAAAUUUAUAUUUUAAUUUAAAAUUUAAAAUUUAAAUAAUAAAUUCAAAUUAUAAAUUCAAUUUAUGAAUUCAAAUUUGAAUUAAAAUUUUAAUUUUUAAGUUGAAGUUUGAUUUUAAAGUUUAAUUUCAGUUAUGAGUUCUAACUUAAACUUUAAAUCCAAAACGUUAAUUAUAAGUGUGCAAUGCUCCAAUACAAUAUAUUUACAACUUUAAUUAUAAAUGGAUUCUUAAAUCAUCCUAACUGUUAAAAUGGUUGCCACGAAAGUGAAGUAUUUCUCAUCAAAUUUGUUAGUUAGUCACCCUGCGUGUGCAUUUGUAGCAUCUGAAACAACAAUAUUCAUAAAAUAAAAUAAAAUGGGCUUCAUAAAUAUUUUCAUAUAUACUUAGAUAAAUGUGAAAUUCACAUGACCCCUAAUGCUCUAAUUAAGAGGUCAAAGUUGACUUAAUCCUAUGUCCCCAGCAUAUAAAUAAUCAUAAAAAAUAAUUGUCUAAGACUUUGCAUGUUAAAUUAAUUACUUCUGAAACAUUAUCAUAGCACCUGGCGAAUGUUGUGCAGAUGAUAUUUUAAAAUUCUAAUGAAAUUGAGUAUUUUAAAAUUCUAAUAUUUUAAAUUUCACAAUUCUAUUGCCAGCUUUUCAAAGAUUAAAAUAAAAUAAAGAAAAAAAAAAAGAAAAAGAAGAAGCACCUUAAACAACAUUAAUUAAUAAUUAAUAUUGUAUAUCCUUCUCCAUUAAUUAAUUAAUUAACCUUUUUAAAAAUUUCUUAAUUCUCAUCUUAAAGAGCAAAUAAAUUAAAAUAUCUUUGUGCUGGGUUAUUAUUGAUAAACUAUGUGAAAAGAAUUAUAUUGCAAUUAUACUAUAUAUAACUUUUCAUCAUUUGGACAAUUUUAAUUUGGAUAGUAUAAUAAUGGAGCCAAUCAAGUUUUAUUUUUAUUUUAAUAGGCCACACACCUAAACAUUUUAAUUGGUUGAUCCCAAUAUGAUAUUUAAAAUUUUGAAUAUAAAAUUCUAAUUAAAUUAUGUUCUUUAGUAGCUGAACCUUGUAGAGACAAACGAUUUUUCUCCGGGGUAUCAUAAAAGGAGAUUCUGAAUUCGAAUGCUUUUGGGUUCUUACCCAUUUGAAUAGUUUUUCUAUUUAAUUCAAUUUCUCCUAUUGAUAUUUCGCUUACAAUAUUCUUUCUUGCGACUGAAUCGAGAGUUUUUAAUAGAUUUAGAUUUGGAUUCAAAUUAGACAGGAGGAUAUUACUGCAAAACUAAGAUUCCUGUAUUAUAAGGAUUUAAAGCCAUGGCCUCCCGUUCUUAUAUCAUGUGAGAUUAUUAAUUACUCUAAAAUAGUAGAGAACAAUUUUUAAUACUUUAAAUUUUAUUUAUUUUACAAAAUUUUCAUAUAUAUUAUGAGAUUUGAUUCGGUAGUUAAUUAUAUAAAUCAUAAUAAAAAAUGUUGAUUAAUGAAGGAUAAAAUUAUCAUUUUAACUUAUAGCAAGUUUUCAAGCAACUUCAUGCUAAGGAUAUUUCCAGAAUUAAACAUCGCAGAAUUUAAGAAAAACUUGAAUUGAUAUCCAUUCCACUAAUUUACUUUACAGCAUGAGAUAGUUCCAUAAUUUUUCUUUGUCUAUUCAAAAAACUAGCCAAAUUAAUAGCAAAAUAAAAUACUUUAUUUAAUAAGAAUAUAGGAUAUAAUUUAAAUUUAUUCUUAGAAUAAAAUUACAGGGACUAAAUUAAUUCAAAUUUUAAUAGUUAAAAUUGAAUUUUUAAAAUAGGAUUAAUUCAUACAGAUUGCUGCAAAUAUAGUGAAUUAUAAAUAUAUCCCUACAAAGUUCAACUUUCAUAUAUUGUUCCCACAAAAAUCCUAAUAUUUUCAAAUAUUUUCCUCUUGUUUGUUACCAUAAAGUAUUAUUUAUUUUAUAAGUGAAAUGAUCUUUUUGCCAUCACGAAUAUGUCCCUCUAAAAGUCCCAACUAUUAAUUGAAUUAAUUGAAUAGUGAUAAAAAAGUCAAUUCACCUCAUUAACUAACUAGGGUUAAGUAUUUUACCUAUAGUUAACUAAUUUUUUCUAAUAGAUCUUAACGGCAAGGACAUAUUUGAAAAUAUUAGAACUUUUACAGAAACAACAUGUGAAAAAUAAAUUAUGUAGGGAUAUAUUUAUAAUUUACUAUGUUUGCAGAAAUCUAUAUAAAAUUAACCCUUUAAACUUAUAAAAUCAUACAUUAUAAUUUAAAGUUGAGCAGUAAAUAAAUUUAAAGUGAGGCAAAAUUAAUUAACUAUUUCCGUAUCAAAGAUCAAAAUAUCUCUCUUUGCGGUACCUGGUAAAAGAUACCACUCUCCUAAUGACCUGCUAUCACAGUUCGCAAUUAAAAAAAAAAAAAAAAUUUGGGCCGUAGAGUCAGAACAAAUGAACGGGAUCAAAAAAAUAAAAAAAACCACUUAAAAUGUUAUUCCUUAUCAAAUUCUUCUUCUUCUUCUUUUUUAGGCCAAUUUGCAUAAAAAAAUCUACUAGUUUUGCACUUUUGUAAAAGUGGGCUAUCUUUUUCGAUUUUGCAGAUUUGGAUCGAAUUUUCAACCACCUGACCAAAAUGUCCCUCGUCUACAUCCGCCUCUUGCGUAUUCCCUGAGAUAUGUGUAUCCUAAUGUACGGUCCUGGUGGGCAUUAAAUGCGCCCUUUGUGCUUUACGCGAUCUCGCUCUCAUUGGAACCCGAACCAAAUCAGCCCCACUAUUCGCCAGCCCCAGUGUUUACUGUUCGGCUUUAAGAAAUUAAAUUUGCUGACAAGUUACAUGACAAGAACUCCGCGGCCAGCAAUCGGAAUAAUAAUGCAACGCCAAGGAGCAACGCGAAGAGAAAUGGUGGAACAACACUUCUAACAAUGCAUCUUUCAGCUGGUACUAGUGCAAUCUCCGCCCCUCAACUGGCGUUCAAUCUUCUCCCACACUAGGAUAAACCCCCACUCCCCCUGUAAGGUAGUAGUUCAUUAAAAGGCUUGAAGGUAAUAGUUCAACAAAAUGCUCGACGUGGUAUAACAUUCACCUAAUUUGUGCAAUAAAUAAAAGAAAAUGGUGCAACCUGUUCAAUGCUUUAACGCAAAUGGUGCAAUGAGUCCAUAAGUUUACAAAAAUGGUGCAACGAGUGUAACGACCCAGCCCACUAGCAACAAUAACUCGUUGGGCCCAAAUACCGACCCAAAAUGCUUAAGCCUAGUUAUUAUUACUAGUGUCUAAAUCUCUUAUAUACCCAAUCACAUCCCCAUUCAUAUCCAAUUUGGGAUUAUUGGGGUGUGACAAACUCCCCCCGUUAAGGCCCUGACGUCCUCGUCAGUCCAAUCACACACACAACCCAAGAUCACCAAGCGAUGUGAGACUCGUCUCACUAGCCUUGUUAUCCAGACCCUGGCAUAGCAGGUCACCUUAUCAUUCAGAUUUCGGCAUAACCUAUCACCUUGUCUUUCAGACCCUGACUCAGCCGAGACUCGCUACACAUUUUCGACUGGUGAACUGACUCUGAUACCAAAUGUAACGAUCCAGCCCACUAGCAAUAAUAACUCGUUGAGCCCAAACCAGCGGCCUAAAAUGCUUAAGCACAGUUAUUAUUACUAGUAUCUAAGUCUCUUAUGUACCCAAUCAUAUCCCCAUUCAUAUUCAAUGUGGGAUUAUUGGGGUGUGACAGACUCCCCCCGUUAAGGCCCUGACGUCCUCGUCAGUCCAAUCACACACACAGCCCUAGAUCACCAAGCGAUGUGAGACUCGUCUCGCUAGUCUUGUCAUUCAGACCCUGGCAUAGCUGCUCACCUUGUCAUUCAGACUCCGGCAUAGCCUAUCACCUUAUCUUUCAGACCUUGACUCAGCCAAGACUCGCCACACAUUUACGGCUGGUGAACUGGCUCUGAUACCAAAUGUAACGACCCAGCCCACUAGCAACAAUAACUCGUUGGGCCCAAACACCGGCCCAAAAUAGCCCAGUUAUUAUUACUAGUGUCUAAAUCUCUUAUAUACUCAAUCACAUCCCUAUUCAUAUCCGAUGUGGGAUUAUUGGGGUGUGACAGACUUCCCCCGUUAAGGCCCCUGACGUUCUCGUCAGUCCAAUCACACACACAGUCCAAGAUUACCAGACGAUGUGAGACUCAUCUCGCUAGCCUUGUCAUCCAGACCCUGGCAUAGCUGGUCAUCUUGUCAUUCAGACUCCGGUAUAGCCUAUCAUCUUGUCUUUCAGACCCUGACUCAGCCGAGACUCGCCAUAUAUUUCCGGCUGGUGAACUGGCUCUGAUACCAAAUGUAACAACCCAGCCCACUAGCAAUAAUAACUCGUUGAGCCCAAACCAGCGGCCCAAAAUGUUUAUGCCCAGUUAUUAUUACUAGUGUCUAAGUCUCUUAUAUACCCAAUCAUAUCUCCAUUCAUAUCCGAUGUGGGAUUAUUGGUAUAUACCCAAUCACAUCCUCAUUCAUAUCUGAUGUUGGAUUAUUGGGGUGUGACAACGAGUCUAUAACCAGUCAAAAUUUUUUCUGUAUUUGAUGAUAUAAUCUGAAGAUAAUAGUGCAAAUAAGUCCGUAAAUUUUUCUAUAGUAACGAAUGGCGUCCCCUCCAAACGCAGAUGAAGUGACGGCGGGGCAAAAGGGUCGUGCAACAUCUCUUGAAAAAACUUACUUUCUUAAUUUAGCCAUACAAUAAUAGUGCAAUGUAAAACACGAAUAAUAGUCCAAUAUGGGGUAAAAGAGUGCAAAUAAACUUGUAAGAGUGCAAUACGCUUCUUACUAAUAGUGCAACGUUCACCGUAACAGUGCAAUAUAGUUCCAACCAGUAUAACAUAAGAGUGGAACACUGGUUGAAUUAAGCUUUUUUGAAACUUAAUAGUGCAACCCAAUAUAAAAUGGUGCAAUAUGCAGCUCUAAUUAGUGCAAGUCGUCAUUAACUAUUGAGAAUGCUCUCUCUAUUAAUGUUGACCAAAGAUUAUAUUAUCUUUGACGAAAAUGCAACAUAUGAGAUACGAUUUGCUACAAUACAACGUUCUAUUACAUCAAUUGUAACAAAAUGCUCUCUCUAUUAAUGUUGUACCAAAGAUUGCAUUGUCUUUGACGAAAAUGCAACAUAUAAGAGACGAUUUACAUACAAUACAACGUUCUAUUAUAUCAACUGUAACAAACUCCUCAAAAUAAUUAUUUAACAAAAGUAUGGAAUCAUCUAAGCUUGACUGCAAUUUCACGCGCACGGAGCCGACGCUAACAUGUAUAGGCGGCCAGGGGAGAGAGCCGAAGGAGACUGAGAGGAGAAGGUAGCUCACUGGGAAGGGUACGAUCCAGCAACAAGGUGUUAAGGUUGAUUCAAUUUAUUUGGAGUGCUUUAUAUGCCUCAAGCCCUUUAGAUCUCCGCUCUACCAUGUUCAGAAAUAGACAGUACAGUCAGUAAAAUUAUAGAAUCGAUCAAUAACAAUAAAGAUCUGUAAGAAUUUAAGAACCUGGAAGAGAUGAGGGCCAAUGGGCUCGAGGCAAAUAAAGCACUCCAGAUAGUGCGAAUCAAUCUUAACGCCUCGUUGAUGUAUUGUACUUUUUUGAGCGAGCCGCCUCAUCCUCGAACUCUCCUUCGGCUUUCUCCCUCGUCGCCUAAACCUCCUGGACGAACAGUAGCAUCGUCGUCAUUACCUUCUUCAGCUCUAGCGCCUUCCGCUGCCGCAUCGGUUGCCCUCGUCGCCUUUACGUCUUUUUUUUAUAUGUAGUAAUGCAAUGAGGAAUGCUUUUGAAGAACCGUUGGCUGAAAAGCAAAAAGGCACUUGGGUUCUAUAGCCGCCGCUUUCCCUUCCCGAGGAGAAAAGCCUCUUGAAAUUUUUCUUAUGAUACAAUAACGUAUUUCAAGGACAAAACAUAAUCUUAAUGAUGUCACUGACGAUAUUUCUUAUUGAGAUGUUGUUUAAAAAUGGCGCUAAUACCAAAACAGAAAUACAACACAAUAAUUUAAAAUAUUAGUACAAUGGAUAACAAAAUAGUGUAAUACUGGUUGCAAUUAGUGUAAUAUGCUCGCAAGCAUUGUAACAAUCUGCCAAAAUGGUGCAACAGAUGCGCCGUUUUAUUAACAACUGGCGACGAUCGAAGGCUAUGCCAAUGUUGUAUACAGAGAUGUCGGAAAUGAAUUAUGGCAGGAACGGACAUACUAUUUCUCGCCUUUUUCAGAACUUACCAACUCAUGCAAGUUAAUUGGAUUAUAUUUUUACAAAAGAGUAGUAUUGCACUACUAUCAACUAACUGCAUUGCUUCCAACUCAUGGAUAACAUUGAAGUUCUAGUGCACCGCCAUUUUAAUGGCUUCUUUCAGGAGGAUAGAGUAAAUGUCAAGUAUGUAGGAGGAUCCUGCCGGCUCGUUUUCACCGGGCAAUGGGAGAGUUUUAAUUUCCUAUGAGCACGGUUCUUCAGAUUCAUGAACACUUCACCGGAAAGUUGCAAGAUUGAAAUUGAACUUUGCUACUGUGGGGAAAUCGGUAAACUCAUCGAUAUUAUAGACGACGACUUCACCGGAAAGUUGCAAGAUUGAAAUUGAACUUUGCUACUGUGGGGAAAUCGGUAAACUCAUCGAUAUUAUAGACGACGAUGAUGUUCGAAACAUGUCGAGACUAUAAAAACUAUGCAUUUCUGAUAGAACUGUAUGCCGCGAGGAACGUAGUUGAGAGAAAGGUUCCUAUAUGUGAUCCCGAUGAGAUAGACGAGGCGCUUAUCGACGAACGGCUGGAAUUGUUUAUUAGCAGCCGGUCCGCAGAUGCAUCAACGCCUCAGCCGCCAAGUUUUGAACUAGUUGGCUCGUAAGUUGCACUAUUGAUACUCUUUUGUACUAUUAGGUUGUAACUGUUGCACCCGAAAGCACUUUAUAUUUAACGGUUGCACUACUUCAUAUUUUUUUGCACUACUAACUCGUUUUAAUGCACUGCUUGCUUUGCGCUGGUAUUUCAGAUUCUGUCAUCCUAUUCUUAUCGACGAUGCGGCAAACAUUGACGAAGAUUCUUGUAUCAUUGAUAUGAAAGAUGAGAUGGAUUUCGACGAUAGCAUCCGUAUCGUCAUGUCCUCUUUCGACGGAUUUCAUCGGACGUACAAUGCCAUGGAUGUUGUUCCACUGGACCAAAGCGACGUAGUGGGACUUACGGCUGAGAAAUUCGACGACGAUGAGAUGGAAGAAAACCUUAUUGUCAACAGCGCAAUGCCGGAGUCAGUUGGAAUCGUCGCAGAUGUGGACGAUGUCCACGAGGGCCAGCUCUACAAAACACAAGCCGAUUUCAAAAGAGCUCUCAAAGCAUAUGCAAUGAAAAGAGGUUUUGAGUACGCCCCGACCAAAUGCAAUGAUCUUAAGAUAACUGCGAGAUAUCGUGUCGCAGUUUGCCCGUGGAGAAUAAAGGCGCGUCACCUACCAGAACUUACACAAUGGCGGAUGAAGAAAUUUGCUUCGAAACACAGUUGUAGCCGGGCAAUAGGGGGUUUGGGCGACAGGAAUUACGAUGAGGAAUUUAUCGUAUCUUUUGUUAGGGAGCAGGUCGUGGCAAACAAGAAAUACACGUCGAAGAUGAUUCAGACCGAGAUUCUGCGCCAGCAUGGCGUCAGAAUUUCUUUCUAGAAAGCCUACCGAGCCAAAGAAAGUGUAACACACUGGACUUUCGCAAAUUGUAAGGUUCGAGUGCUUGGGUUUGGUGUUCUGAGCUUUUCCCACACUUGGAGGAGGGUCGUAGACUGUAUUCCGACCAAAAAGUUCGAAAUCUGAAUUUCUGGAUAAGUCCUGAGAUUUUUACUCUCGGGGACCAGUCCUUGGUGGGAGAGACCGGUCCCCCACGGCGAGGCAACCGGUCUCCGACUUGGGAGACCGGUUCUCGAGAGCUGGUUUUGCGGGAGGGUCCCGAGGGACCGGUCCCAGCUGGGAGAGACCGGUCCCUCCGGGCGAAAACUGCCCAGUUCGGGUUGAUGCAUAGGAUGAAAAGUUGAGGGACUUUUCUGGAUUUUGUUACAAUAGAGGGCCUAUAUGGCCAUUUCACUUCUCUCUCUCCCUCAUUUCACAUUUUUCCUUGCAUCUUAGAGAGAGAAGGAGAAGAAGGUGAAAGAAGAAGAGCUUGUUUGAGGACUUGGAGCUUUACCCUCUCCUUCUCUUCUUCCCAUUGGUGGCUUGGAGCUUGUGCUUGGUGCUUGUAGAGGAUCAAUCUUCAACCCUAGAAUACUUGGAGCUUGGAUUGGAGCUUCUUAAGAGGUUAGUAGCUUGUUCCUCCCCUCUAGACCUAAUUUUGGUGGAUUUUGAGAGAUGAAACCCUAAAUUUGGAUUUUAGGGUUUAUUUUGGGGCCUUUUGUUUGGAGGCUUUUGGGGCUAAUCUAAUGGGAUUAGAACUUUGAGUUAGGUUGCUUUGGAAGGGAUUUGACUUCCAUUUGAGCUUUGAAGAGGAAUUUCUUCACUAUAGGUGAGAUUUUGGCCCUUUUGUCUAGUUGGUUAAUGAUUGAGCUAAUAGUUGUUCGUUUACUCCUUAUAGCUCACUUUUUAAUGCUUCUAGGGUGCUAGGAGCUUAGUGGACAUCUUCGUUGGAGCAAACGAAGGGUUGCGCGUUGUUCGGUGGGUUUGACCUAGCCUACAAUAUAAGAAAUGCUCAUAUUUGGUGAUUUAUGCUUCGCAAAGUGAAAAUUCAUGUAUUUUCAUGCUAAAUAUAUUUAUUGUGAAUUUUAGAAUGCUUAACAUCCCUAUGUCAUGUAUAAUAAAUUUUCGGACCUUUAUGUAGUAGAGAGUUGCAUGUGAGGCUUAUACUAGCAUUUGGCACUCUUAUGUUGGAUUUGAGACCAUGUUUCUUACAAUGAAAAUGAGCAUUGUGUAGUGCACUUAAACCUAUGCAUGUUAGAGACAUGAGAGAUAGCUAAUGCCAUAAAGAGGCAUCGGACUAGACUAUUAAGGAAAAAUUUGGAGCUAAUGUCAUAAAACGGCAUUGAGCUCGCGUUAUGUGUGAACCUAGUACUAGUGCCAUGAAGGGACAUAGAAUGUGGAUUGUACUUGGGUUACCAUAAGGCUUAAGUGUCACAAAGAGGCACUAAACAUAGUAAGUGUUGGAACAUCACAUUGAGACUUUGAUCUAGACCGAUGGGUUACUAGUGCUACUACCAUGUUAGAGACAUGAUGAUUGGAUAUUUGAGCUAUUGAUUAUGCUUGUUUGCCAUUUGUGCUCAUUCGCACAUGCUUGUGAGGGUCGCUCCCUACAAGCCGGCACUCCAGAGUUGGCCUACGCGACUUAUGUUCGCUCGUGCGGUAUCGAGAAACCUACGGGGUCGGAAGGGAUAGACUCAUUCCCAGAGUGGGAAUGCUGGAGCUACCACCGACACUUAGGCGGCACAAGCUGGACCACACUUGUGUAGGUCCCAAAUGAGAUUGAACCGUGACAUCAACUUACAAAGGUUAAUCACUACUAGAUAGAGUAUAGUAGUUGGAUACUCGGACAUGCUUACCGCAUAGUGAUGGAUAUUGAGAUAGACUCAUAGUAUACUUGAUAGUAUUACAUCUUAGUAUGCUUGUUGCCAUCAUAGAACAUUCGAACUAUGCAUUGGGCUUAUUUCAUCUUGAUAGAAUGGUUACAUAUCGUAUAUCUUGUGGCAUAGUAAUAUUGCAUUUCAUACAUGCUUUCUAUUCAGCAGCUUAUUAUUGUCUAUUAUUAUCGUUACUUACCCCUUUUCUUUGGGCCUAGUGGUGCAUUGUGUUAAGGUCAGUAAUUGUCCACUGGGAACUAUAAAUUAUAGUUCUCACACCCUCUGUUUUAUGUUCUUAUUACAGAGCCUUCCACUCCGAGCGAGGCUAGGGACCGCGGAAAGGGAAUCGCCACGAGCAAGCUUGUGAGCGAGGGACGUUCGAUAGGUGGUCCACCUCUUCUUUGUUUUCUUUUUGGGAGAGGACGAGAGUUGUACCUUGUAUAGAGACCACCCUUUUUGUAGUACUUUUGUGAUGACUCUUGUAUUGACUUUAUCUUUUUGUUUAGUAGUUUACUUUCCCCUUUCUCUACUUGUCGUUAGUUGUUAGCUGUUAGUAGCUCUGAUAUCUCUAGUGACUUUAUUUCUUCUUGCUUCCAUAUCUCUUUUGUUGUAAACGCCUUAUAUGUGCAGGCAUAUGGCGGGUCUGGGCACAUACCGGGCGGGCCUAUGCCGGGUCUCGGGGCGUGACAGAAAGGAUCCUUCAGGAGGUCCGUGGAGAUUUCGAGGGCUCGUUCGUUGCACUUCCGUCGUACACGCGAGAACUGAGGAUGGGUGACGCGGAUGCAUGUCUUCAACUACUUUACCAGGACGAGGGUUGUUUCCACUGAUUUUUCUGGACAUUCGAUGCAUCAAUUCGUGCAUUCCGGAAGCACUGCAGACCACUGCUUGGACUCAAUGGUAUGAUCUUGCACCAAUACGCUAAAUUCCACACCAUUAUACAAAUAUGUUGCACUAUUGUAUAUUACAACGAUGCGAAAUAAUCUAGUUGCACGAUUAUGAACUAAUAUACACGCUUUGCAUUACUUUCAGAUACUUUCCUAAUUGGUAAGUUUAGAGGGACUCUAUUAAUGGCUUCAUGUAUCGAUGGAAAUAACUGUAUUCUGCCAUUAGCAUGGGCAGUUGUGAAAGGUGAAAAUCGAUAUUCCCGGCAUUAAUUUCUUGAACAGUUGGGGGAUGGUGUCGUUGGUGAGAGAGCAGACGAGAGAGAGAGAUUUUGGGGGAGAGAGAAAAAGAGAGAUAUUGGGGAUUAGGUUUCGUUCAUUGAAGAGAAAUCGAGCGAUUUGACUCUAGAGGAAAGGAAUGUGGGCUGGCCGAGAGGACGAAUAAAAAGAAUAUAAAAAUAAUAAUACUAAAAGUCCGGAUAUCUCGAUCCGUAUCCAUUUUUUCGGAUAUCCGAAAAAUUUAGCUCUCUAAAACUAUAUCCAUAUUCGUAUCCGACCGGAUCCUGGAUACUUUGUAUCCGGAUAUAGACAUUAUCGAAUACUGAUACAAGUAUUUUUGGAUAAUAUCAUAUCCAUUUUCACCCCUAAUUAUUGAGAUAUUUAUAAUAUUUUGAAAUUUAUAAAAAUAUCUGUGAUAUUUUGAAGAUUUUUAUGGGCCUAGAUGAAACUGCCAUCUUCUUUUAUACUAGAUUAUAUUUAUAGGUUUUUCAAAUACUAUUGAAUGAUGUGAAACUUUAUUCGAAUUGAUAUUGCAGAUAGAAAUGUGUUGACAUUUGAGCUCUUGGAUGCAAGUAGCUGGGCAAAACAUCAAUUAUCGUUACUCAAGCUAGUUAAGAUGCUCAAGGCUAAAGUUCAGUUGAACAAAACUCGAUUUUCUAUUGAGUACCAAUACUUAAUUGGAAGUAGCGGUAUGAAACACGCUGGGGGCCGGGAAUGCAAGUACCAGUACUCCGAUUUGAGUACUAGUACUCAAGGCCGCAGCGGACAAAUUAAGUUAGAUUUGACUCCAACUUGUUCUAAUCUUGCUUUAAUAUUAAGGAUAGUAUGCGGACAUCUUGGAGAGGCCUUUUAGAGGAGAUCAACUUAUAGAAGUGAACCGGUGAUUUAGAUGGAAAGGAGAGAUCAUUUUUUUAAAAAUAUUAAAAUAUUAGGAUUUAAACCUUUCCAAUUUAUGUUUAUGAGUUUGAGGCUUUAUUGCAAUACUCUAAGUUGGAAGGAAAAUGUGGAAGAACUCCUAAGAGAAAUUCUUAUAAUCUAAUCUACUCUUUAUAUUUAUUGUGCCAAUGGUUAAUUGAAGGUGUUGAGAAGGUCUUGCCCGUGGAUGUAGGUACAUCGUUGCCUGUCUUUUGUUCUUUAUUGUUUUGUUAUCCUCCUACUUAUGUUUGUUUUCAUUUACGUAAGAUUCGAUUUUCGUUGAAUUUGUGUGUCGUGUGGGUUUGAUGUGUGCUAAAUGACUCCUCUACUUGUGUAGGUAUCAAAAUGUUGGUUCUUUGUAAUUCGGUUGACGGUGAAACGAUAGUGGAAAAAAUUACAACGAUAAAAUAUGAGAUUCCUCAGUUUAAUGGAACUAACUUUGCAUGUGAAAAUUGAAGAUGCGAGCGAUGCUGAUUACAGAUCGCGCUACAAGAAAAUGAGAAUAAGCCGAAGGAGAUAAAUUAAGGAUAAACAAUUAAAGAGAACGAAAAAGAGAUUUCGGCAAACAUAUAUUUGAUAUUGGAUGAUUUAAUGCUAUUAAGUGUGAAGGCCGAGAUUACCGCGAAAGAAAUUUGAAAAAAAAUUGAGCAAUUAAAAACAAUUUUUUGAUUAACAAAAUUUUUUUGAGACGAUAAUCGUAGGAUUGGAGGAUAAAGGACAGAGCACCGGAUAAGAACACUCGAGUACAUCCAACUCUAAGGGGGCAAAUAUAUAAUUUUACUAACUCAUAUAAGACAAGCCUUUUAUUAGGCAUCCAUGUGUUAAUAUUAAAUUUUUAAGGGGCAAAUAUCUAAAUUUACAAAUUCAUAUCAUGGUUAAGUUCAACGUACUACUCGUGUGGAUCUGGAUCCUCAAUCCGUUACGCCCACCAAUUACAACUCGCGCCAGCUGUACUAGCCGAGCACUUCGUGGCGAGCAGUUGAUCGUACGCUGAUAUAUAUAUAUAUUUCUAACUUUAGGUGAAAAUGUCCGGAGACCCCCUCAACUAUUGCGCAAUGCAAAAUGGCCGCUCAUUGAUCCUUUUUUUAAAAAAUGUUUUUAUGAAGUUAAAACUUUUUAUAGGCAUUCCUUUAAAAUAAAAUAGGCUUGAUUACACCAAGGCAACAUUUGGAUCGAGUUAUUUAAUAUUUUUACAAUUCUAAAAAGUUUUUUAAAAUUAUUUAUUUAUGAUAAUUAUAUGAUUACUGAAAAUUUAAUACCUUCUAUUUGGUUUGUAUAAUUAUUUCAUCGAAGAUUAUUAUGAUUAUUAUAUAAGAUUAUCGUAUUUGAUUAACAGUAAAAUUCCAUGACAGUUUUUUAUUCUUUUAUAGGUUAGGGCUAGAUUUAAAUUCAAAUUUUAAACUUGAAUUUAAAUUUAAAAUAAUAAAAUUAAAUUUAUAAUCUAAAUUGAAGCUGAGGAUAGUUUAGGAAUUCUCAAAAAUUGUAUUGUUAAAGAUUUCCCAUAUGUACUAGGAAACCAGAGAUAUCCGGCCCCAUAAUCAAUAGGAUUCUCCCAUUUGGGGAAAUCCUAUUCCUUUCGGAGUAAUAAUAUAUUUCUGACCUGAUUACUAACAAACAUUAUCCAAAUACGAUAAUAUAAGCAAGAUUUUUAAUAAUCCAAUACAGAUAGCAGGAGCAAACACAUCCUCAGAAACUAUUUUGGGAAGAGAAGUAUAGCACAGCCCAACGAAAAAUUGAAGAUGAUGAUGAAGUUGCAGGAGCAAACACUUCUCUAAGGAGCGGUUCCAACGAAGGUGGUGGCUACAGUAGAGGAUGAAGGAGAGAUCGUGAUAGCGAAAAAAAUACAGAUGGUAAAAAAAAAAAAGAAUAAAGAAAUAAGGAAAAAUAUUUUUUUCUAAAAAAAAGGCGAAGAACUAGAGAAAAUAGAAGAUGAUGAUGAAGUUGCAUUUUUAAGAUGAAGUUGCACUGUUUUAGACGAAAGUUACACUCUUUGAGACAAAAAUUAUAUUUUUUGAGAUAAAAGUUGUACUCUUUGUGCAAAAGUUGCACUUUUUGGACCAAAGUUACAUCAUUUCUCUUCCUCCUUAUAAGGAUUGAGAUUUUGACAGUGUAGCUAAACUCUCUGUUGACGAUAUUUUUAUGUGUAAUUUAAUUAUAUAAGCACUCGUCAAAUUUCAGGAGAAAACGAGUUAGGAUAGAGAAGUUACGCGAUCUUUACUAAUCACUUAAAGUGAAUAGUAACACCGAUUUUCCGGAGAAGCCAAUGAGUGGAGAUGGCUUCUGGUGCGUAUUGGACUCUGUUCAUAGUGAUCUAGUAGCUUGUUUCAAUGGUUCAACUAUCCUGGGCCCAAUGACACUGACGGAUUUGGGUUUUGAUGCACGAUUUUUGAGAAAAGGGGGUUUAUUGGAUUUAAACAUUUAUGUGUGUGGUUUUUGAAAAAUUGGAGAGGAGAUGGCUUUCGUUGCAAAUCGGCGACCAAAUCGGAUAAAACGAAAUUUAAGAUUUGAUGCCCCAGUCGUGCUGAACGUGUUGGCACAAUCCGAUCGGAAAUCCGACGGACGGAUCUCCGGGAAUCGCGUAAAGUUCGCUGAGGGGUUGAAAUUGGCAAAACGAAAAAUUUGGAAAAAGCCCAAUAUUUUAUGUACCGUUUUGCGUGAUUUGCGUGAUUUCGAACGUCCAGAUGCGUACGCGUAUGAUACACGUGCUGGCAGGGACUUGGCUGAAAAUAAUCAGCCUUGGGGGACUUUUCUGCAAAAGUGCGCACUUGUAUAUAAGGCGCAACUAGGGUUUCAUUCACGAAACCCUAGCCCUUGGACUCCCCCUCAGCUCAGCUAACCCUAGCCAUCACCAGCACCAUUUUGCCCUAGCCGCGCACGUACCCCGGCCGCCGGCGAGCGUCCCCGGCUGCAGGAAAAGUUUGGCUCGGCCUCUCCUUCAUUAUCUUCUCCACCUACCCGCCAUCUUCCUCGGCCGUCGAUCUCAGGGAGUCACCUGCACCCUGGGAAACUCAAUCUUCUGGCCGAGACUGAUCUCCGGCGCCGUUCCCGCCGGCUCCCGCCGUACCUGUGCACCGCCGGUGCCGCCUGCACUCCCUGCAGCCUCCCGCGGCCAGCUCGAGCGGACCUGAGACAGCUUGCGGCCACGAGCUGUUGUUGCAUCGGGGCAGGUCAUGCUGCCUCCCACAGGCCGUCGAUGACCUCCCGCGCGCCAUCCCCGCCGUCCCUGCAGGCCGCAGCCGCCGCUCGUGCUCCCUGCGGCCGCCCAGACCCAGAGCAGGCCGAACCAUACUCCUUUGGCUCCCGACGACGUGCCGCCGUCGCCCCAGUGCUCCCUAGGCCGCCGUCGCUCCUCGAACCCGAGCCGAUGCCGCACAGGUUCCUUCCACUCCACCGCGCCGCCGGCCAUCCCCCGCCACCGGCCAACGCGUGCCCGGGCCCCCUCUGACCUGCCACGACCUCCCCCUACCGGCGCAUCCGCAGUCCGACCGCCGCCGGUCGUCCCGUGCCCUACCUUGCUCCGGUAAGGCAAUUUACUGUUUCUGUGCACUGUUUCAAGUUUUGGUCGCUUUUUGGGUGAUCCGUGAACACUCGGACACUCCUGGAAGUGAGCGCGAUGAUCCUUGAUCUGUGUCAAACAUUGUGCUCACCUCCGUAGGGGUCAGCGAAGCCCCGAUUUGCGUGCAAAUGCUGUUUAGGCGCUGUGCGCGCUAUUUCACUGAACUUCGCGUUGAUCCCGCAGUCGCCACAGUGGCCGACCAUGCUCCGAAGUGUAAGCACGGCCUCCGGCACAUCGAGACCUAUCAGCGGGUGACUCGACCAGGCUAGAAAGUCCUCGGUUUGCGCUGUCGGACCGUAAAACCUCGAAAAUCACAUAAAAUGAUGUGAUUUUAUAUAGUCACAGGGGCUUAUAUGCAAUUUUACACUGUGUGGUUGCUGUUGGAAGCGUGUGCGGGCAUCGGGUGACCUCUGGACUAGUUGUCCAAGGCCCCAGGCCUUUCCGGAAAUAGAAUGUUGAUUUUCGGUGCGUUUUUCGACGAAAUCCGCCAACAGAACGCGAUUUCGGUUCGGAAUUCUUCCGACAGUGCCUCACGGUAGAUCAUGUUGUCGCUGAGCCUUGUUGGCUGGUCACCCACGUUGUUUCGAGGGUUUGAAAAUGAUGAAUGAGCGACGGUGAGUUCCGGUGUCGAAAUUGACACUUCCGGGAACCUGGAUCGGAACGAUUAUCCUGCGAUAAUCGUUUUAAUGUGAGGAGAUGUGUUUACUGCCGAGUCACACAAAUUACUAUGUUUAGUAGCAGCGGGUGACUUGUGGUGUAAGUCGGUGAGUUCCGGGACAGUUCGUGGGUCCCGACGGAGUCCCGGUGCAAUUUUCGAGACUUCCGGCGUGUCACGGCAAUCGGUUUUGGGAAUCGAUUCCCGUGGGUUUACUGGUGGGAAUGUGAGUUUGUGUUUUAUAUAUGUGGGUUGGAUACUAACCUGGUGGACCCUUCAUAUGUCCGAUUGUCGUUCUUCCGCAGUCGGAAAACAGGCGCGACAUUCGUACAGGUGGGUACUUCGACCCGAAGUCGGUACAGUGGUGCACGCUCGAUGACAUUUUUUCCACCCUUAUCCUAUUAUCAUUGUUGCAUGAUAUAUGUUGAGCCUAGCACCUUUGUUAUUCCUUUUACGCUCUACUUAGUUGUUUUCAUGUUUAGCAUCAUGAGUAGGAGUAGAGCAUGUUUAUGACUACAUGUGAGAUUUGUAACCUAGUCGGUCGGUUCUUGUAUCUCAUACUAUGACCUUUUCGGUCGGUUCAUUGCACCUGGUGGUAUUGUGACCUGCUUGGUCGGUUGGACUACUUGAUGACCUAUACGGUCGCCAUAUCCUAAGGGAUAUGAUUGUCAACUAGAGGCUGACGGCUAGUCCUGGAUUAUAUCGAUGCAUGACGUGACAUCCUUGUGACCUAUUGGUCAGUUCUUGUGCAUAUAUGUUAGUUGACAUUGAGUGGUCGAUACUUGCAUACCUCCGGAAGGAUGUUGAGUUGUUCUAUCCUAGUUGACCUGAGUGGUCGGUGCUUGUGUUCCUGACGGUUUGAUGACCUAUUGGUCGGAGUGCCCCGAGGGGCGGUGAUUGUCGGCUAGUUGCCGAUGGUUGGCUAUUGAGCAUAUCAGCAUCGAUCGCCACAUACUCGUUUGCAUUCACGAACACCAGCUGUCUGAUCCAACGCGGUUAGGUGUUCUUUUCCGAAAAAGUGGUUGGACGUGCCAACCUGUGAGCCUAUAGGCUACCUUGGGUUAUAUGUAGCCUGUGAGCCCAUAGGCUACCUUGGGUUAUAUACAGGUAGAGUGGCAGUGGCACAGGCUUGAGGUCUACGGACCGUCAUGCCAGGUUUCUGAUUGGGUAUUUUGGGGACUGAUCGUCCGGUUGAUGCAUACUUGCACUUUGUUCUGUUUUACAGUAGCGGGUAGUUAUACUCCUAUGUACUGUUGUUUACCCACGCAUCAUUGCUACUGUAGUUAUGAUAUCGACGUAUGCAUUCUGUUUUAUGAUAUCCACGUAUGGUUUAUGAAUGUAAUAAAGUUUACGGAGUUUUAUGAGUUGAUAGUUUUCUACCCCUCGAGGUAGCGUGUUUUAAAAGAAAAGAUUCCAUGUGGAAAACGGUUUUAAAAAAAGGGUUUACUGGUUUUCGUAAUUCUUAGCAUUUCAAAAUAAGUUUUCGAGUGUGAAACGUUUUAAACUAAUAGAUGUGAAUUUAUGAAUGUGAAUGGUGUAUGUAUGUAGAUGUUCGUACUUGUGGUUGUAUCUUGUACUUGUGUGACGCCGUGCAAAUACAAGGGAGAGACUCUGCCCGUGUGAACAGUGGAUAUCCUUUAUUUGUGACGGAUCUGAUAUCCUCUGGGGUCAAGGUUUUCAAAAAAAAAAAAAAAACUUGGGCACUUCCGUGUUGGUUUUAAAAUCCAAAGGGAUCCCGGGGCGUGACACUCCUCGUCCUCGUCCUCCUCUCCCUCCGUUUUAUCAUGCUUCUUCUGUGACCAUCUCCUUUUCGCCCUCCACCUCUACAAUAGCAGAUCCGCCGCCCACCAAACCCACUUCUGGGAACCCCCCGUCCCCACCGCCACAGAUGACGACGAAGAGGAAGUGAUUCUCGGCAUCGGGAAGCUCGCCGGCAAAGGAAGGGGCAUGGGGCCCAAGGCGCCCACCUGGGGACGACGACGCACGCAGCGGAGAUGGAUGAGAGAGCGGCAAUGCUGGAGAAGAGGCCGGGCGAGGAGGGCGUGGGAUUCGAACCCUAAAUUUCCCUUCUCGCUCGGCCUCUUCUUCGACAUCGCUGCGUUCUCCUCCGUCUCUAUUGCAUGCAUCAUCGUCCGCAGGUAGGCACUGUGGGCUUCGUGCCCUCUUUCUCGUCGGCGAGCUUCUCGGCGUCGAGAAGUGCUUCCUCUUUGUUGUUGACGAUAGCUGUGGGGAUAGUAGGUUCCCAGAAGUGGGUUUGGUUGGUGAUAGAUCUUCUACCUUUGAGGUCAAAGGAGAAAAGAAGACGGGCGCAGAAGAAGCACGAGAAAACGGAAGGAAAAAAGGGAGAAAGAAGGAAGAAAAGGAGAAACAGUGUAACUUUCGCCCAAAAGGGCAACUUUCACCCGAAAAGUGCAACUUUCAUCCAAAUAGUGCAACUUUCUUUUCACAAAAAGUAUAAUUUUUGUCUCAAAGAGUGUAAUUUUCGUUUAAAACAGUGCAAAUUCAUCAUCUUUUUUUUUUUUUAUCUAUUUCUUCUCCUUUUUUAUUGAAAAAAUUCUUUACUUUUUUAUUUUUUAUUCUUCUUAUUUUUUUCCUUGUCAUCUACAUUUUUUUUUACUAUCGCAUUCUCUCCCUCGCCCUCUAUCGUGGUCACCGCCCUUGCCGGAAGUGCUUCUUGAAGAAGCGCAGGCGCGUCUUUGUUCUCACUCUCAUGGGCGAUAGCAAGCGCUGCCUCGACCACGACCUCACUGUCUUCGUCCACUCCUCUCUCACCCACGCUCGCUUCAAGUCCUCCGGCAUAGAAAAGGAUACGGCACUGCUCUCAUUACCGUUGUGGAGUGCCACGGAGGCGGUAGAGGGGGGUCGAAGAGAAAAAAAAAUGAGAGAAAAAAGGAGAGAGAAAAAUGAAUAAGGAUAUUUUGGUCAGUUUUUUAAAAAUUCGACCCUAAUUUAUAAAAUCCAAAAAGACGUCCUACUUUUGCAAAUCUCAAAAUUAAUACAUUUUUUAUGCAAAUUGGCCCUAUUUUUAUUUAAAAAAUAUUUAAUGGUUCUAUGUCCUAUUAGCUGUUAUUUUUAUUAAAAAAUUUUUAAUGGCUCUAUUUGCUAUUCACUAUUAAAUUUAAUGAAUUUGUUAGUUAAUUAAAUAGAUUCUUUAACUCACCUAAAAUCGUUUGACAAAAAAGUUUAAAAAUUAAUAAGAUGUCAAUUUACGGGCCUAUAGUUGAGGCUACUCCAUACAUUAUUUCCUAAUUUUCAUUACGGGUUAUUAGGUGUUUUUAUAUUGGAUCAUUUGAGAGUGACAUAUAGGCCAUCGAAGAGUAAUGUUGCCCGUACACUUUAAAAGAUGGUAGAAUUCUUACUGUUGGCUUAAAUGGGUCAGCAUCCUGCCCUGUGGCGGAAUGCUAUGUUGGACCGAGUCAUGUUCGAAAUGGCGUGAGGCUGAGUGGGCCUAGUCAUGUCCGAAGUGGCAUGAGGCUGGUUGGGCCGAAUCACAAUUAAGACCCGUGGGCGCUAUAUCUGUAUACUUUAAGUGAAUUGGUUGUGUAUUUCUAAUAGCUUGAACAUUUGGGAUUAAUGGUUAGCGCCAACUGUCAUGUCUCGCGACCACCAAUUUGGUCGGUUUGGACACGCGCACAGACGCCGAACGAACAAAGCUUCCCUUGUCCGACCAAGGCUUCACAACUGCAUAAGCAUGUAUAAAGAAUUGCUCAGGAAAAUUUCAAUAUAUGUGACUUGCACGAGGGCAAGUAAACAAGAUCAAGUGAAAGUAAAAUACUAACUAUUACAUCCACACAUUGAACUUUGAUUACUUUAACCAAAAUACAACUCUUUUCAUACAUCAUUACAUACAAUAUUCAUCUCCCAAAAUACAUUCAUUUUACAUGUCUUUUCAUUAAGAACAAAAGAUGAAAUAAAUGGUACAACUAUGCCAUAGGAGGUCCACUACCUAUGACGCUAUGCCCUUGCCGCAAUCCUCAACCGCCCCGCUCGCGCUAGAAUCUACAAAAUGAGUGGGGUGAGAACUACAAGAAGUUCCUAGUGGGUUCGGCCGCUAAUUCCUCCGACUCUCCCAUUAGGUCUAAUUAGACAUAAGUAGAGAAAGAGAUAGAUCGAAAAACAAAAGUAAUGCAACUACUAUGCCUGAACAGGAAACUGAAGCAAGUAUAUAUGCUCAUGAUGUAUGUAACUUUUCUUUACCAUUAACUUUACCCAAUCCUCUUGGCUAACCUAUUGGUUAAGCCCAACUCAUCAAACCAAAUCCCUUUUGUCAGGGAGAAUUCAACUACAACCCGACGAGACCGUCUGCUGGGGAGAAUUCUGCUACCGCCCAGUUGAUGAUAACUCCGGAGCUCUCCGCUUGCGGUGAAGCGACUACCCUCAAGCAUAUCAGACUAUCUAUGAGUAUGAUCCAAUCCUGAACCUUGAGGAUACCAUGACACUAAUGUCAUAGCAUUAAUGUUCUAUUUUUUUAGCAUUCCAUGUUUUAGGUGCUAUUCAAUCCAUCUAGUCAUAAUGUCACCAUGUUUACUACAUUGUCAUAGUCAUAGUCCACAUCUUGAUUCAUACAUCAAUAGGGUUUUCAUACGUCUAAGGUUCUAUUCACAAUUCAUUUACAUCCUUACAUUAAGGCAUGCAAGAGAUUCCACAUAUUAACAUUUAAUCCUACUAUGCAUGAUUACUAUACAUAUACAUACAUGUUCAACGACGACAUAGACAUAACGAGAAAUUCAACUGUUUAGGAUAGAACCACGGGAUGCAAGAACCCAAGUCCCGAGAUUUAUCUUCGCCUAUUUCUCUUGACCCAAUGCCAACGAAAGCAAAAUAGGGUUUUUCUUCAAUAGGACGCUGUAGGCUUGUCGAAAUUUCGAUCCGAAAGGUCCAACAUGUCGAAUUAUCCUUCAAUUAGGAAUACAAGAGAUCAAUUCCAUCUUAGACCUCAAUUCCAACAAAACCCUAAGUUUGACCCUAGGGUUUGCAUACUUCACAUAUAUCCAAUUUUUCUAGGAAUUCAUGGAAUAAUCUAAGCCCUCAAAUCCUAAGAAUCCUAAAAACAUGCAAUUCAGGAUAAUUAAACCAAACCCUAACAUGUACAAGCAAGGGAACUUACCUAGAUCACCUUGCAACUCAAGUCCUUCCUUGUUCUUAAGCUUCUUUACCUCCAAGAGCUCCAAUUCACCCUCCAAUCUCCUCCAAUUCUACCUUGUUGGAGAGAUUCUAGAAAGAGAAGGAGAGAAAUUAAGAAGAAGAAGAGAAGGAAAUAGUUUUGCCCGUAUAUGAGGAGUAAAUGCAUCAGGCCCCUAAUAUAGGCCAGCGUAAUUGCAUAUAAACCCUCCAACUAUUCACAUUUACAGCCACUCAAAUUUUAAAUCUCGUAGGGCUGACUACCGGUACUCGAAUUAGAGUACCGGUACGCGAGUCCCCCAGUACUGGUACCGGGUACCUCAACCCGAGAGCAAACAUUUUGGGUUUUAUAUAGGGUUCCGGUAGGCGCCACCCAAUACCGAUACACGACCUCCAGUACCGGUACCCGCUACGCAGUAUCGGUAUGCCCCAAGGCAGCAACCAAACCCGAGAGCUGGCUAUUCGAGUAAUCAACUGAGUACCGGUACUCAACCUCCAGUACCGGUACGCAGCCUGUACAGUACCGGUAACCCCAGCUUAGUAGCUCAACCCAAGAGUUGGUAAUUUUUCAUUUGUAUUGGGUACUGGUACCCCAUUCUUGGUCUUGGUACUCAAUGUAAUUUCUACAAUUUCAGCAGACUUAACACUUUGGAGCCCGUUUUCGUACCCGAUUUGCGUCGAAAAUACUCAAAUACUCUCGAAAGUCACUUCUAACCAUCCCAACGCCUUCAAGGCAACUUGGGGACUUUGCUUAUCACCCCCAUACCACACUUUGAUCACUUUGAUCAAAGUUACCAUACGAUUCGGGAAUUUGGUAUAUUACACCAACGAUCCGACAAGUGGUAUUAGAGCUAGAGGUCACGGGUUCGAUUCUCACAUACUGCAAAUAUAUGCAGGUGCUGAAGGGGUCAUUGUUGGCUUAAAUGGUCCAGCAUCCUGCCCUGUAGCGGGAGGCUAUGUUGGGCCGAGUCAUGAUCGAAAUGGUGUGAGGCUGGGUGGGCCGAGUCAUGUUCGAAGUGGCGUGAGGCUGGUUUGGCCGAGUCACAAUCGAGACCCAUGGGCGCUGUAUCUGUACGUUUUAAGUGAAUUAAUUGCAUAUUUCUAACAGCACGAAUUUUUGGGAUUAAUGAUUAGUGCAAACGAUCCGACACUUGCACUAUCUUUAUUUAAAGGCCAAUUGUAGUAUCCCUGGUUUGUGGGUUGCCGUGGAUCUCAGCAUCUAAGGCUUGUCGACAUAUCUGGAGAGUGUCAGGACAAGUCGGAGUUGUUUUGGCACAAAAUGGACGCAAAACGGACUCAGUGCGACGCGAGAGCAGAGUUUUGACAUUGAAAUGUGCAAAGUGCAGGUUGUCAGUGUUGAGUACCGGUACCAUAUAGGGGAGUAUCGGUACCCCAGUGUAAUUUCAGAACAGACUGCUCUCAGGUUACGCUAUUUGAUGCUGAGUACCGGUACGGCAUCGGGCUGGUACCGGUACCCUGUGUGCGUGGUUGCUGGCUGAGAGGCCGAGUACCGGUAACCAAAUCGGGUACCGGUACUCCAAUGGCUUGUUGAGUUGGUGGGGGGUAGUAUUAUCUUUUUGGUUGGUGGUUAUCCACACCACCUACUCCCCCUCAUAUUUAUCCACCUGAGAGAGAAUAAUUAUCUCAUGUUCCUCCUUAGUUUGAUCGUGUGCUUGGUGGAGGUCGUGGCCCGAGCUCGGGAGAUUUUCGACGUCGAUUCGGAGGGCCAUUCGAGUGUGCGUGCGUCGCGGUUGUGUCGUUGAAGGCCGGGUCAGCGCGUGAUUUCCUCUCCUUUCGACUUCUCGCCAUAGUUGGACGAGCUUUUCGAGGUGGGUUGAAGUUUACCGAAAUCGCCGGAAUGCCUCCUAAGUUUCUAUAUCGUCAACAUGUAUCAUUUGUUUAUUUUCUUGCUAGUACUCGAAUUCAUGGAUUAGAGUUAAAAUCUGAAUUUGGAGUUAAGCUAGUAGUAUAAUUUUACAUGUUGAACUUGGAUUUGACUUAGGAGAAAACAUAUAGAUUCUACACUAUCACUUUUUGAAAAUUAUCAGAUUUAGUUUUAGGAGUUAUGGUUCAUUUGUAUCACCGCUGUUCGUAUGCGGUGGAUACCCAGAAUAGUGUAGAAUAAAUUUACGCUCGUGCUGAGAUGCCGAGUUUAUUUUACAAUAGUGUGUAGACUGUUCCGGACUAUCGGGUGCCGUUACGGCUAACGGUGGACCCAGAUUGCUGUUUUUGCAUCGGAUUGUGCCAAGGGCACGUCAGUUUUGAUUGUAGGACCAGUAAGACCCUUUUGCUUUGAUUAUAGCCUGUGAGAGCUUAAUUGAGUUCGGCAGAGAUACGCUUGCAUACUCGGUUAGAUAGCGCCCACGAGUGCCACUCCGGAGGCGGGCGCGGUGCUUUUGCGUUGGUGUCGCUCAGGCUAGUUGGACUUGCUAUCCACGGACUGGUUAGUGUGGAGGUAGCUAUACAGUCGCAACUGAGCCGGGACGGGUGUGUUCAUAGUCCUUAGUAAGAUUGGGUUAGAGAGUGCAUUUCUAUAUUUACAGAUAGUAGUUAGCGAUAGUAUAGUGGCCUAUAGCUAUAGAGUUUUACCAGCAUUCUUUACUAUUCUUGUAUAUAUUUUCUGUAGACUUAGUGGGUGAGCCGUUGAGGCUUGUAGCGGUACCCAUUGAGGACUACUUUUUUUUGCAGUCGUUCUCACACCCAGUUGUUGACCCAUUUUUGCAGAGCCUUCUUGUAAUACACUGGAUCUUAGCAAAUCGCAAGAUUCGAGUGUUUGAUUUAUGAGUGUAGCCUUUCCACAGUUUUUGGAGGGUCGUUGAUAGUGUUCCGACCCCUGGCACGCACCCCGAGGAUGUUGGUUUGAGACUUGGCACCAAAAUCCCAAAAUUGGAAUUUUUGGUCAGCCCUCGGAUGGCCUGCAGCAGGGCUUGUACCGGAACAAGGCUGGUCUUGUACCAGUACAAGGGUUGAUGGUUGUACCGGUACAGCCAUCGGGCUUGUACCGGUACAGAGCCGCAGACCGAGCGACCCGAGCCUCGGGUUUGCAUUUUCGUCGGCCUUGUACCGGUACAAGAGCCCGUGUACCGGUACAAGGAGGCAGAUUUCGUGCAGUUUGAACUGCAGGGGGUUUUUCGCGAUUGUGGGCUUCUUAUAACAGCACCCACGCCCCUUAGGGCUUUUUUUGUGCUGGAACCAGAGGAGGAGAAGGUGAGAGGAGCUCCACCUUGCUCCAUUUGGAUUUGAUCUCCAUUUUUGAUGGUUUUGGUGGAUUAAUUCUUUUCCUUUUCUCCUUUUUAUGCUUCUCCACCAUUGUUGAAGCCUAGAGCUUGGAUUUGGAGCUUGGUAGAGGGAAGAUCUUGGGACUUGGAUAGUUUAGAGCUUGGAUUGAAGCUUCUAAGAGGUAAGCAACAUGUUCUCUCCCUCUAGAUUCAAGUUUUAUUGGAUUUCAUGAGAUGAAACCCUAGAAUGAGGUUUUAGGGCUCAAAUUGGGUAUUUUGAAUCUAAGGCUUUUGAAGCUAGAUUGAGUGGAUUAGAGGCUUCCAUUAGGUUGGAUUGGAUGAGCUCUAGCUUCAUUUUGGAGCUUUAGAGGAGAUUUUUUUUGCACUAGAGGUGAGUUUUCCUCACCUAUGCUUGAUUAGCUUAAUGAUUUAGCUAAGUUUUGUUCGUUUGGCCCGUAUGACACAUGUUUCUAUAUCUCUAGGGUACUAGGAGACUAGAGGACACCCUCGUAGGAGCGCACGAGGAGUUUCGUUGNGUACAAGGGUUGAUGGUUGUACCGGUACAGCCAUCGGGCUUGUACCGGUACAGAGCCGCAGACCGCGCGACCCGAGCCUCGGGUUUGCAAUUUCGUCGGCCUUGUACCGGUACAAGAGCCCGUGUACCGGUAUAAGGAGGCAGUUUUUGUGCAGUUUGGUCUGCAGGGGGUUUUUCGCGUUUGUGUCUAAUCUAUUUAGCACCCACGCCCCUUAGGGCACCUCCUGAGCUCAGAGCACAGGGAGGAGAAGGUAGGGCACCCUCCCCUUCAUUUCUUUGGGUUUGGUCCCUCUCUUUUGGGUUUUUCUUGGAUUAACCCCUCUCUUUUCCUUUUUUGGUGCUUUUCCUCCAUGGUUGAAGCCAAGAGCUUGGGAUUGGAGCUUUGUGGAGGGAAGAUCUUGGGACUUAGAGCUUUUAGAGCUUGAGUUAAAGCUUCUAAGAGGUAAGCUUCUUGUUCUUUUCCUCUAAAUAGGGGUUUUAUUGUUUGAAUGGUAAUGAAACCCUAGAUUGUGAUAUUAGGGUUUGUUUUGGGUAUUUUGAAUCUAGGGCUUUUAAAGCUAGAUUGAGUGGAUUAGAGGCUUCCAUUAGGUUGGAUUGGAUGAGCCCUAGCUUCAUUUUGGAGCUUUAGAGGAGAUUUUUGCGCUAGAGGUGAGUUUUCCUCACCUAUGCUUGAUUAGCUUAAUGUUGAGCUAGGUAUUGUUCGUUCGGCUCGUAUGACUCAUGUUUUCAUACCUCUAGGAUACUAGGAGACUAGAGGACACCCUCGUUGGAGCGCACGAGGAGUUUCGUUGUCAUCGGUGGGUUUGGCUUCGUGGAAAUGGGGCGAAAUGGCCCCUAUGCUCUUUCUACUUGUUGUAAAAUAUUUCUAAAUUCAUUUUAUGCAAAAUGCAUGCCUUGUGUAUUAUGAGAAAUUUCACUAUAUAGUAGAGCUAUAUGAGUAGAAUACAUGCAUACGGAAAAUGUGCUUAUUUUGCAAGUGAAAAAUGCAUUUCUUAUGAGGAUUAUGACUUGGAAUAUGUAUUUUGGAACAUAGUUGCCAUGUUUUGAUAUAGAGAGCAAGAGUGUCAUAAAGGGGCACUUGAAACUAGUAAACUAUGAAACUGCAACAUAGAGAUAUAUUGAUAGGCCACCACAUAUCUGCUAUAUUCCAUGUUAGAGACAUGAUGACAUAGGGAUAGGCCAUUGAGAUACUUGACACAUUCCAUGUUAUUAGACAUGAGGACUUGGUACUUGCGACAGACCGUUUGACUACUUGCCAUUGUGCUCAUUCGCACAUGCUUGUGAGGGUCGCUCCCUACAAGCCGGCACUCCGGAGAUGGCCAUCGCGAUUCAUAUUCGCCGUGCGGGAUUGGGCGCCGAAGUGGAUUGCCGUGGGACAGGCUCAUUCCUAGGGUGGGGAUGAUGACUACCACGGGGCCAUUAGGCUCGGCACCGGCCAGACAGCCUACGGGUGGGUCUCAGGGCCAUAGACAGCCUUCGGGUGGGUCUCUUCAGAUUGGACUUUAUAUAUCCAUUAUGACAUGUGGACAGAUGAUGACUUAGUGUACUACUUGGACAUUGAUUAGAAUAGUAAACAACGGAACUUUACUAUUUCACAUUGUGAACAUCAUGAUAGUUGGAGACAUUUACUUCAUGCAUAGUUGCUUUCAUACUUAUGCUAUUUAUGCUAAGUAGAGAUAUCAUGUCGUAGUGGGUUACAUUUUACUUACCUUUCGCCUUUCUACUUUUAUAGUCACUGACAUCUUUUGUAGCUUUGGGCCUUGUGGUGCAUUCACUGAAGUCAGUAAUUGCCCACUGGGAACUAUUUUUAAUAGUUCUCACGCCCCUGUUUUAUGGUUUACUUUUCAGAGCCUUCGGCACCGGCGGAGGCACGGGAUCGCGGCAAGGGGAUCGCUUAGCUAGCUAGCGAGGGGCGGUACUUUGCCUAGGUGGUUUACUCUUUCUUUUGUAGUUGAGAGAGUGAGAGAUUUUUGUAUCCAUGUAUAGAGACCACCUGUGUAUCUACUUUUAGUACUUGUUAUGGGAUUCCUAUUGUAUUUACUUUAUGUUUUACUUAGUGGAUUUAUAGUUUCAUCCUUAUUUCUUGUUGUAGCAUUUAGACAUUCUUUAUGCUCUGAUACUCCUAGAUGUCUUUUAUUAUUGCUUUUAUUAUUGUUGUUGUUAGACGCCUUAUGCGUUUUAGACGCAUGGCGGGUCUGGGCACGUGCCGGGCGGGCUUCCGCUGGGUCCCGGGGCGUGACACUUCUUCUGCGGCUGCUGCUGUCGUCGAUACUGAUCGUGGAAGGGGAGUUGCGACCUAGAUCCCUUCCCUAGUUGCAGUUCUAGAGGAGUACCAUAUACAGGUAGUUUUGAAUUUUUGGUUCAUGUACAUACUUAUACUGGUACUCGCUGGAGUGAGUGAUGUCUGUAUCUUGGAGACUAUGUAUGUAUAGUGAAUCUGAUGUUUAUUUAUAUAUAUUUACAGUUUUGUUAGCAGCUCUAUAUUACUAGUUAUAGUUUUGUAUGAUUACAGGUAUAGGUACAGCUAUCGCUUCGUAUACAGAGAAAAUUUUUUUGUAUACGGCAGGUCUGUUGGUGUGCCCGGAGAAACGUGGUAAUUCGGGGCGUGACAGAUUAAGUUGGUAUCAGAGCUUAGUAUUAGAUUGUUGGGACCUAGAAAACUUUAAGCUUGGCAAAGCUUAGGAAGACAAGACGCGAGAGGCGUGAUUUAUCGCGAAAGUCAGCAUUUGAAUUGUUUUUAACUCAUCCUAGAGUAGAGUGAGUGACUGAAGGAGUGUCUGUUUCAGCCAAGAAAAUUAUGUCGGCUGCAGAUAGCAUAAUUUUGAGGAGAAACAAGGGUGGCUUUCUAGACUUUCGCUUUAUUGGGUCGAGAGUUGAUUGUGUUUUGUAUUUGACCCUUUUUUUGAUUUCUGGGAGCCAUGUAUCGAUGCUGAGAUCGACCGUCGACGCGGGACCGUUUUGCACUAACUGAGAUACCUGAGCAGGUAGGGCCGAGCGUACCCCCUGAUCUGAGAGAGCAGUUGGCUGCCCUGACUGAGGUGACGAGGCAGCAUGGGGCAUUGAUACAGAGGAUGUGUGAGACAUUUACUCUACCGUUGAGCAUAGCGCCUAGAGCACCAGAGUAGUCAACACCACCACCCACUAUUCCCGUGGCCGCACCAGCCGCAGCUGUACCCCCGCCGGUGACAGUUCCUAUGGUGCCAGCUAUAUUCUCUGGAGAGGCGUCGCAUAUGUCUGAGGCUGAGCAGGAGCGGAUGACUGAGAGGCUUGCUCAUUUUUGUCGGUUUGAUCCGCCGCGCUUUGACGGCAGCUGUACGGAACCCUAGGUUGUAGAGGGCUGGGUGAGCGCGAUGGAAAAGUUAUUUGAGGACUUGUUCAUACCGGAGUGGGAGCAGGUACAUUUGGGAGUGCACUGUUUGGCUGGCGAUGCGCAUUCUUGGUGGAAGAGGAUGAGGGAGACUCGAUGGUUGGUGGCGUUGCAGAUGAAGUGGGAUGAGUUCUACAGAAUGCUGUAAGGGGCGUACUUCCCAAACAUAUGAAGCAGAAACUCGAGGAGGACCUGAAGAAGCUAUAGCAGUGGGAGCGAUCAGUUCAAGAGUAUACCCGUGAGUUUACGUGACUUCUAAACUGUGUGCCAUUUGUAGCCAGGGAUGAGGCCCACAUGGUAUAUUUCUAUGAGGGGGGGUUGAGGCCAGAGAUCUUUUGGUUGGUACAGGCGCAGAGGUUGUGGACCUUAGAUGCAUCGAUUGAGCAGGCAUUGUGGGUGGAGAGAGGAAAUGUAUCGAUCCGUGAGCGGGCUCAGGUGCCGGGGCAGAGUCAAGAUAGGAAGCGCCCGGUUCCAAAUGAUGGAGGGAAGUCGAGCAGCAGGCUUCCGCCAAGGCCUCCACGAUCACGCUCUUAGGGUCGUGGGUCUUCGGGGCCACAGUGUUCUGGGGGACCUCGUCAGUAGAGGCAGUCGCAGGGGACUCCGUGGUGUGUGAUUUGUGGGGGGCCACACUGGCCCCGACAGUGUGAGCAGCGGAAGAGCCGAUAUUUCACUUGUGGACAACGGAGACAUAUGAGGGCAGCUUGCCCUCGAGCAGUAUCACCAGCACCAUCGACGGUGUCAGCACAGUCGGCACCUCAGCAGUCUCAUGGAGCAUCAUCGAGCUACUGUCAGGAGGACAGAGCAUUUGUGCCGCGACAGAGUGAGCGGCGACAGUAGGCCCUCAGUGGCAGAGUGUACACAGCUCAGGUGGAGGCCUCUAUAGCAACAGACUGCGUGGUGGCAAGUAUCAUUUUGAUUUCUAGUAUUAGAGCUCGUACAUUAUUUGAUACCGGCGGAUCACAUUCUUUUGUUAGCUGAGCAUUUGCAUCAUUACAUGGUCUAGAGGUAGGGCCAUUGUUGCAUGAACGAGAGGUGCAGAUUUUUGACCAUAUUUUGCAGGUAGCGGAGUGUUGUUGGUCGUGUCCGGUGCAGUUGGGCUCUUGGAUUAUGCCCACAGACCUGUUGGUUUCAGGGCAGCUGCAGGACUUUGAUGUUGUGCUUGGCAUGGAUUUGCUGGCGAGGUACUAUGCUACGAUCGAUUGUAGAGCGAGGACAGUGACGUUCCGCGAGCCAGGCCAGGAGGUGUUCAUGUACAUGGGCUGCAAGAGUACGUUGUUUGCCACUUGGAUCUCGUCUGCGAGGGCUAGGCAGUUGUUGAGUAGAGGAUGCAGCGCUUUUCUAACGACGGUUGUAGAAGUGCCUAUGGCGGCGUCGGGACUCGAGGAUAUUCCUAUAGUCCGCGAGUUUCCGAAUGUGUUUCUCCCGGAGUUGACGACUAUGCCGCCGGAUAGAGAGAUUGAGUUUGUGAUUGACGUAGUUCCUGGAAUUGCGCCAAUCUUGAAGGCACCCUACCGGAUGGCACCUGCAGAGCUCAGAGAGUUGAAGGCGCAACUUUAGGAUUUGAUGGAUAAAGGGUAUGUGAGAUCCAGUGUAUCGCCUUGGGGGGCGCUCGUGUUAUUCGUAAAGAAGAAUGAUGGUUCACUUAGACUAUGUGUGGAUUAUCGGGAGCUAAAUAAAGUGACCAUCAAGAACAAGUAUCCUUUGCCACGCAUUGAUGAUCUAUUUGAUUAGCUAUCAGGAUCUUGUGUCUUUUCGAAGAUUGAUUUUCAGUUAGAUUACCACCAGUUGAGGGUGAGGGCCGAGGAUGUUUCCAAGACGGCUUUUCGGACUCGGUACGGGCAUUAUGAGUUCAUUGUGAUGCCUUUUGGAUUGACGAAUGCCCCUGCCACAUUUAUGGAUUUGAUAAAUAGAGUGUUUAAGUCGUACUUGGAUAGAUUCGUAGUUAUAUUCAUUGAUAAUAUUUUGAUAUACUCCCGGAGUGAUGUUAAGCAUGAGGAACACUUGAGGAUAGUGUUAUAGCUUCUGAGGGAGAAGAAGUUGUAUGCUAAAUUGAAGAAGUGCGAGUUUUGGCUGCGGGAGGUUUCUUUCUUGGGCCAUGUGAUUUCUGUAGUUGGAGUCCAGUGAACCCGAAGAAGAUUGAUGCUAUUGGCAUUACUUGUAUGGCGAACACUGCGAGGCUUUUACAAAUCAUGAUAAGAGUUUCAAGUAUCUGUUCACCCAAAAGUAGUUAAAUUUGAGGCAACGCCGGUGGUUGGAGUUAUUGAAGGACUAUGAUGUUAGUAUUCAGUAUCACCCUGGCAAGGCAAAUGUAGUGGCAGAUGCGUUGAGCAGAAAGUCAGUGUAGAGCUUGAGCAUAUUGAUUACUCAGUAGAGGCCGUUACUUGAGGAGUUGCAGCGGUUGAGGCCUGAGAUAGUGUCCCCUGGGUCUACUAUAAGACUGAUGUCUAUGGUUUUACAGCCCACUCUGUUGGAUAGGAUUAGGGAGAAACAGAGUGGAGACACUCAUUUGUUGAGAAUUCUAGAGCAGUUAGAGAGGGGACAGGCGGAGGCCUUUCCAGUAGACAGUUCGGGAGUACUGUGGUACAGGGACCGGCUGUGUGUGCCUAUAGAUUCAGAGAUCUGAGAGGAAAUUUUGAGAGAGGCUCAUUACUCACCUUAUAUGGUUCACCUCGGUGGAACCAAGAUGUAUAAGGACUUGAAGGCACACUUUUGGUGGAAUGGAAUGAAGCGGGACAUUGGCAGAUAUGUGACUAAGUGUCUGACUUGCCAACAGGUAAAGGCAGAGCAUCAGGUGCCCGCUAGCAAGCUUCGGAACCUGCCAGUGCCCGAGUGGAAAUGGGAGCAGAUCACGAUGGAGUUUGUCGUGGGAUUACCUAGAGCACAGAAUGGUUUCGAUGCUAUUUGGGUGAUAGUGGACAGGCUGAUCAAGUCUGCUCACUUCCUACCAGUAUAGACCACCUGGUCCAGAGAGAGACUCGCUCAGUUAUAGUUAGAUGAGAUUGUCGGAUUGUAUGGUGUGCCUACCUCGAUAAUAUCGGAUCGAGACCUGAGAUUUGUCUCGCAUUUCUGGAGGAGUCUUCAAACGGCCUUCGGUACACAGCUACAUUUCAGAUGGUCAGUCAGAGCAAACCAUUCAGACUCUGGAGGACAUGCUGAGAGCAUGUGUCCUGAAUUUUGGAGGAGGGUGGCAUUGACAUUUGAGGCUGGUUAAGUUUGCGUACAACAACAGCUAUCAAACGAGCAUUCAGAUGGCUCCGUUUGAGGCGUUGUACGGGCGCAGAUGUCGAUCCCCUUUGCAUUGGAGUGAUGUGGGUGAGAGGAAGACUCUGGAAUCUGAGAUUCUGAUAGAGGCAGAGAAAAAGGUGAAGGUUGUACGACAACAUAUUUUGACAGCCUAAAGUCGACAGAGGAGCUACGCCGGAGAGGAGACUUAGAGUUUCAGGUUGGAAAUCAUGUGUUUUUGAAAGUCUCGCCGUCUCGAGGGAUACACAGAUUCGGAGUAUGUGAAAAGCUCAGUCCACGCUUUGUAGGCCUUUUCGAGGUAUUGGAGCGAGUUGGACAGGUAGCCUACAGGAUUGCUCUACCCCCUCGACUCGCCGGUAUUCAUGAUGUUUUUCACGUUUCAGCAUUGAGGAGAUACGUGUUUAACCCCUCAUACGUGAUUGACUUCACCCCACUGGAGCUUGGUGAGGAUUUGAGAUACGAGAAGCGACCAGUGCGAAUUCUGGCUCGUGAAACGAAGGAAUUUCGCAACUGGGUCAUCCCUUAUAUGAAAGUGCAGUGGAGUCAUCACGAGGAGCAUGAGGCGACUUGGGAGUCAGAGACGGUGAUGCGGGAGUCCUACCCUUACUUGUUUGAGACUCAGGAUUGAGGUAUGCUCUAAGUUUCGAGGACGAAACUUUUUGUAGUGGGGGAGGAUGUAGUAUCCUUAGUUUGUGGGUCAUCGUGGAUCUCAGCAUCUGAGGCUUGUCGACACAUCUGGAGAGUAUUGGGACAAGUCGGAGUCGUUUUGGCGCAAAAUGGACGCAAAACAGACUCAGUGCGAUGCAAGAGCAGAGUUUUGACAUUGAAAUAUACAAAGUGUAAGUUUUCAGUGUUGAGUACCGGUACCAUACAGGGGAGUACCGGUACCCUAGUGUAUUCCCAGAACAGACUGCUCUCGGGUUACGCUAUUUGAUGCUGAGUACCGGUACGGUAUUGGGUUGGUACCGGUACCCUGUGUGCGAGGUUGCUGGCUGAGAGGCCGAGUACCGGUAACCAAAUCGGGUACCGCUACUCCAGCUGGCUUGUUGAGUUGGUGUGGGGUAGUAUUGUCUUUUUGGUUGGUGGUUAUCCACACCACCUACUCCCCUUCAUAUCUAUCCACCUGAAAGAGAAUAAUUAUCUCAUGUUCCUCUUUCUCUUUAGUUUGAUUGUGUGCUUGGUGGAGGCAGUGGCUCGAGCUCGGGAGAUUUUUGACGUCGAUUCGGUGUGCUUGCGUCGCAGUUGUGUCGUUGGAGGCCGGGCGAGCACGUGAUUUCUCUCAUUUCGACUUCUCACCGUAGUUGGACAAGCUUUUCGAGGUGGGUUGAAGUUUACCGAAAUCGCCGGAAUGCCUCCUAAGUUUCUAUAUCAUCAACAUAUAUCAUUUGUUUAUUUUCUUGCUAGUACUCGAAUUCAUGGGUUAGAGUUAAAAUCUGAAUUUGAAAUUAAGCUAGUAGUAUAAUUUUACAAGUUGGACUUGGAAUUCACUUAGGAAAAAACAUAUAGAUUCUACACUGUCACUUUCUGAAAAUUACCAGUUUUAGCUUUAGGAGCUGUGGUUCAUUUGUAUCGCCGUUGUUUGUAUGCGAUGGAUAUCCAAAAUAGUGUAGAAUAAAUUUACGUUCGUGUUUGGAUGCUGAGUUUGUUUUACAGUAGUGUGUAGAUUGUUUCGGACUGUUGGGUGCAGUCACGGCUAACGGUGGACCCAGAUUGCUGUUUUUGUAUCGGAUUGUACCAAGGGCACGUGAGUUUUGAUUGUAGGACCAGUUAGACCCUUUUGUUUUGAUUAUAGCCUGUGAGAGCCUGAUUGAGCUCGACAGAGAUACGCUUGCAUACUCGGUUAGGUAGCGCCCAUGAGUGUUACUCCGGAGUCGGGCUUAGUGCUUUUGCGUUGAUGUCGUAGUGUCCUAGUUGGACUUGCUCUUCACCAACAACCCAGCGUGGUGGUGGUUGGUAUAGCUUCGACAGGCGGGACGAGUGUGUUCACAGUCUCUAGUGAGAUUGGGUCAGAGAGUGCAUUUCUAUAUUUACAGAUAGUAGUUAGCGAUAGUAUAGUGGCCUAUAGCUGUAGAGUUUUACCAGCAUCUUUACUAUCCUUGCACAUACUUUCUGUAGACUUAAUGGGUGAGCCGUUGAGGUCGGUAGCGGUACCCACUGAGGACUACUUCUUUUUGCAGCAAUUCUCACACCCAGUUGUUGACCGCUUUUUGUAGAGCCUUAUUCUGUGGCUGCUGCUGUCGUUGAUACUGAUCGUGGAAAGGGAGUUGCGAGCUAGAUCCCUUCCCUGGUUGCAGUUUUAGAGGAAUACCAUCUACAGGGAGUUUUGGAUUUUUGGUUCAUGAAGGUACUUAUGCUGGUACUUGCUGGAGCGAGUGAUGUCUGUAUCUUAGAGACUAUGUAUGUAUAGUGAACCUGAUAUUUAUUUAUAUAUGUUUACAAUUCUGUUAGCAGUUCUAUACUACUAGUUGUAGUUUUGUAUGAUUACAAGUACAGAUACAGAUAUCGCUUCGUAUACAGAGACAAUUUUUUUGUAUACUGCGGGUCUGUUGGUGUGCCCGGAGAAACGUGAUAAUCCGGGGCGUGACACUAAUAAUUGAUUUUUUCUUAUUAAUUUUCUUAAAUAUUAAAAAUCUAGCAAAAUUUGUGAAUCCUAAGUGAGGGAUAUAAGAUUCUCAUGUGGUGCUACUAUGCUAUCUGAAGUAUAGAAAAUUUGAUGUUUUCGAUUUUUUUACUCUUGGAUUAAGAAUUAUGUGGUUGGGUUGAUUGCGGUCUCCCCUAGAGUCGAGUGGUCCCCACAGGGUAAUAGUAUUAAUCUAAAAGUUAGAAAUGAUUAAAGCGACUGAUUUAAGAGCCAAAAAGUCGGAAGCACCAGAUCCUUUAUACUUCCGAUAGUAUAGUAGCUCUACUCUAAGAUUUACGGCCCCCUUUUGGAAUAUACAAUUAGCAUUUUCUGCCGUUUAAUAUUGGUAACAUUAUAUGUAGCCACCCUCAACUAUCAACCAUUUUGGAAUAGAACCCUCUGUUGGAUGUCAUCUAUGUGAUUGAUUUAAGGUUAUCCCUAGGGGUAAAGUCGAUACAACGGUUGGGGUAUAUUUGGGUAUGUUUUUAAUGGACACACGUGAUCAAAACAUCUUUACAUUAGGGGCUUGUUUGGUUCAGAAUAGAAAAUGGAAUCAAAAUGUGAAUCAAAAUGGAUAUAAAUCAUAAACGGAAUGAUACAAUCUCCUAAUAUGUUUGGUUCAGAAUAAUUUAAAAACAGACGUGAUCAAAACAUCUUUACAUUAGGGGCUCGUUUGAUUCAGAAUUGAAAAUGGAAUUGAAAUGUGAAUCUGAAUGGAUAGAAAUCAUAAACAGAAUGAUAAACAAAAACUACCAUUUGUAAUCCGUCUUUUGCGGAUCGUGAAAAGGGAGGAAUCAUAAGAAAGAAUUGCCAUUUGUAAUCCGUCUUAGAAAAUUAAAAGUUAUAACAGAAUGUGCGAUACUAAUAUUAAUAUGAUAUAACAUGUGGUAUCAAAGAGCCAAAUAUUUUGCCGCAGUUUUUAUUUUUUUAAAAUUUAAUUCAAUUUUAUUUCUAUUUAAAAAAAAGAUUAAUUUCAUACAGAUCUCUAUAAAUAUAGUGAAUUGCAAAUAUAUCUCUACAAAAUUCAACAUUUAUAUGUUGUUUCCGUAAAAGUCUUAAUUUUUUCAAAUAUGUCCCUCUGGUUUGUUACCGUUAAAGCACCGCCUAUUUUAUAAGUGAAACGACUUUUUUACCAUCACAAAUAUAUCCCUUAAAAAAAUCAACUGUUAAUUAAAGAGGGAUAAAAAGGUCAAUUCAUCUUAUUAACUAAUCAUGGGUAAGUAUUUAACCUAUGGUUAACUAAAAUUUUCUAACGGAUUCUAAUGGUAGGGACAUUUGAAAAUAUCAGAAUUUUUGUAGAAACAACAUAUGAAAAUUAAACUUUAUAGAAGUAUAUUUAUAAUUUACUGUAUUUUUAGGUACCUGUAGGUAAUAACCCUUAAAGGUAACCCCAUGCGGCAGGGGCUCUCCUCGGCAGUCCCACUUGGGGCCUGCUCUAGGCAAGGCAGCCCUGUAAGGAAAUGCAGCUGAAAAAAAAAUAAUAAAGAAAAUCUUAUUUUUAUUUUUAGUAUUUUAAUGAAAGGGAGACAAGAUUACUUUAGUAUUCAAUUUUAUUAAACUUUUUGUAAUAUGGCUUUUUUUUUUAUGAGUCUAUAUCAAAAUCAUGUAUGAUGUUUAGUUUGAAUUGUAUAUAUAUUUCUUCGUAUUGCACAUUCACUUAUUUUGCUCAUAGCAAUAAAAUAAUGUGUUUAAUUUUUUUUUCCUGCAGUACAAUUAUUUGCAUUAUUGUUUUAAACACACAUAGGGUGAUCAUGAGAGCUUAGAGUGGUAUAUAUAGAUUUUAUACAGUUUAUAAAUUUUUAGAUACGUAAUAUUGCUAUGAAAAUUCUUUUGAAUUUUUAUUUUUUCGCUAUAUUAUGAAUAACAAGUUUUUGGAGUCAUUCAAUGUCAUAGAAGAUUUCUUAGAUCCACUAUAUCUAGGAGUAGCCACAACAUGGCCAUCAUUGUGUGAGAUUACUUAUGGUAUUUCUAUAAAAUGAUAUUGAAAUAAAGUUAACGCGAAUACAGAUCCCUAGUUUUAUUUAAAUAACCAUUCAAUUAAUGCCAUACAAGGUUAUUUGUAUUUUUAUUAUUUUCAGCAAUAGACACAACAUCCAACAAGUAGUGAAGAACGCCUAAGGAUUUUCUAAUAUUGAAUUAAAGUUUAACUAUUUAUUGCACUUAAAUAAAAUAUUAAUUCUUUUGAAUUCUGACUGGAAUUGGAUAGUGGAUUGAAUUUUUAGAUAGUAAGUUUCUUAUGCCUGCAGAUACAGAAAUUUUAUUGUUUAGGAAUUAAUUUUCAGUUAGUCUUAUUAUUAAAAUAGAUAAAUCCUCUGCGUGUAGUGCCUUUACCCACAAAAGUUAGAAUUUAUUUAAUUUGAAAAUUAUUGUCUCAUAGUAUGUGAUAAAGUUCUUUAUUUUCUUCAUUCUUGCAGCUUUUUUCUUUGUUGCUUUCCUUAAUGAUGUUUCUCAUAUCCCUAUAUUUACUGAGGGCAACUAUUCUAAAUUGAAAAAAGAUUAUUCGUUUCACUUUGGCCUAUAUGGAUCUUCACUUGGCUUUGCAAGUUAAGCAGUUUUCUAAGGUAACGGUGUCAAUGACUCCACAAUAAAUCCGUGUAGGAUAAAUAGAAGCGAUCUAACUGCUUAAACUUAAGGGUCAAUGACUCCACAAUAGAAAUCCAUGCAGGAUAAAUGGGAGCAACCUAGCUGCUUAAACUUGAUGCUCAUAAAGUUUAGAGUGUUAAGACUUAUAAAGGGAUCAAUUAUGGAAUGUGAUGAAGUCAAGAAUUACCCAAAGGUUAUUGAGGAGUAGUUUGUCAGCUCUGAUAGAACCUUCACGAGUAUGCUGAUAAAGCGACUUUCCAGCAUCAAGUAUAAAGGUGCGCUUGAGUAUAUCACGGAGAUGCGGAACAUAGUGUUGCAACUAAAGACUUUAAAAGUUGAGAUCUCCAAUGCCUUUUUAGUCCAUUUGAUCCUAAACUCACUGUCCCUGAGUUUGACCUCUUUAAGAUCUCCUACAACACGUUAAAAGACUUUAAAAGUUGAGAUCUCUGAUGCCUAUAUGAUCCUAAACUCACUACGUGUGAGUUUGACCCUGUUAGGAUCUUCUACAACACGCAUAAGAUGAGUGGUCGAUAAAUGAAUUACUGAUUAAUUAUGUGUUUUCAAGAAGAGAGGAGACUUAAGGAGGAGCAGCCGAAGAUCAUGACAGAAUUUGUCAAUUUGACCACUCAGUGUGGAAUGGUAAAGAGUAAGAGUGCAUACAAUUAUAAGAAGUUAAUACAAUUGCCAAUAAAGAAUUCUAGCCAGAAAAAUCAAUUCUACUAUGUAAGAAGGAAAUGCACAUGAAAAAGGACUGCUUGAAAUAUAAAACUUAGCUCGAGAAGAAAGAUAUUAAAAUGCUCUAUAUUUGUUAUGGAUCUCAUUAGUUAUUGUUCGUAAAAGCAUAUGAUGGAUUUGACUUUGGCACUACUGUACAUGUUUCAAGUACCAUGCACGACUUUCACAACCUAAAGACGUCGAAGUUAAAUGAAAGGUUUUUAUUAGUGGAGAAGAAAAUAAAUAGUUGAAGUUAUAUGAAACUUUGUUUUAGAACUUAGCACUUAUUUUGUACUUGAAUUUGAAAAUACUUUUUAUGCUCUUGAAUUUUUUAGAAAUUUAGUUUUCAUAUUUAAACUGAGAAAUAAAGAUUUUAAGUUUCAAUUUGAAGAUUAAUCUUUUACUAUCAUUACUGUUGGUGAUGGUUGUUUAGUAAAUGAUUUUUACAAGUUUAAUUUGAGUUAAUGUUUUGGAAAUAACUUUAAUAUUAAUCAUGGUAUUGGUGUUAAAAGGAAUAUUCUUAAAAAAAGGUCCUCUUCUUUGUGACAAAAGCGCUUGGUUCAUAUAUCCUUAGAGAGAAUAAAGCGAUUGAAGAAAUAAAAGAAUUUCGUACUUAUGUGGAAUGCAUAAUGAAAAAUCAUACCAACACGAAUACUAAUAAAGAUAUAUAGAGACAUUUGCACACCUUUUCUCACUCCUUCUUUUAGGGGCUAUUUGGUUAGAUGUAAUUAUAAAUGCAGUGUAGUUAGAGAUGUAUGUAGUUGGAAAUACAGUAGUUACAACUAUAUGAAUUCUGUUUGGUUGGAUGUAGUAGAAAACAUUACAAGUAUAAAUAAUUGUUUGGUUGCAUGCAGUUGAAAAAUAAUUUUUAAAAUUUUAUCAUUUUAUAUAUAUGAUGGUGAGAUUACCUCCAAUGUAAAAAAGAAAAAUAAUUUUUAUUUAAACAAUAUUGAGAAGGUAAGCAUACCUUUUAUUUAAAGUUACUAUUUUCAAUUGUUGCAGUUGGAACUGCAGCCAAUUUGGGUGUAGUUUGAACUGCUGCAGUUGGGCCUCCUCUUGCAGUUCCUACUGCAGCAGUUGGAGUUAAAUACAUCAAACCAAACACUGAAUUUAUAUUUACGUGCAAUUACAACUGCAAUGCGCGCAGUUGCAACAACAUGCAACCAAAUUACAACUGCAAUGCGCGCAGUUGCAACAACAUGCAACCAAACGGCCCCUUAAUGGUUAAAGAUAUUUUAUCUCAUUGAUGACCAGUUUAGAUACAUAUAUCUCUAUCUCCUACUUGAAAAAGCUAAGGUGCUUAGUAUUUUCAAAGCUUAUAAGGUUGAGAUGAAAAAAAUAAUUAGAUUAAAAAAAUCAAGAUUGUGAGAUCCGACAAUGGAAGUGAGUACUAUAGAAGACAAAUAAAUAAAGGUCAAAUGACCGAUCAAUUUGCUUAAUUUCUCAAAGAUGAAGACACCAUUGCUUAGUAUACGAUGCUAUACAUGCCUCACCAAAAUGGCAUUGUGGAAAGGAAGAGCAAGACACUCAUGGACAUGGUUAAGGGUAUGAUUAACAGCUCGUCUUCCAUUGUCUCUUUGAGUGAAGCACUAAAGAUACCGGUAUAUAUUUUAAAUAGGAUUCUAUCAAAAGCUGUUUUCAAGAUUCUUUAUGAGUUAUGAAAAGAGUAAAAAUCUAGUUUGAAUCAUUCACAUAUAUAGGAAUGUCCAACUAAGGUGAGGAUUUAUAACACACAUAUAAAGAAGUUUGACUCUUGAACAAUUAGUGGAGUUAUUGACUUCUAAUCUUUGUUCUAACUUCGUUCUUGUGAUGGCUCCAUUUCCGAAGAUAAGGAAAUAGACUGAUCACGUCCUACUCUUUUGCAUAUCGUGAAUGAGAAGGAAUCACAAGAAAGAACCACCGUCUGUAAUUCAAUUUUGGAAAUCGAAAAUUAUGGCAGCAGGUAAGAUUUUAAUAUUAACAUGCUAUAACAUCCUCAACUUUUAUUUUUUUGAUUAACACACUACAACAAUAUUGAGCUAUGGAGACAAAAUAUUUAGCGACAAAGUAUAUAUUUGUCGUUAAAAGCAAUUAAAUAGCGACUAAAUUUAAUGUUCGUCGCAAAAAAAAAAGGAGAGAUUUUGUAAAAUGUCAUUAGCGACAAUUUACCUUUAUUGCUAAAACAUAGUCGCUAUUAGUUUAAUGAGGUCACUUUUUUCUUCCCUAAAUUAAUUUUAGCGACAGACAUUAAUUAAUAGCGGCGAAACCUAACGUCACUAUAAGGUUCAAUAAUUAGCGACCAAGUAUUUGGUUGCUGAAAGUCAAUUUUUAGCAACACAUUAAUACUUUGUCGCUAAAAUAUUAAAAAAUUAUUUUUAUUUUUGUUGUUAUAUAUUUAUGAAAUAAAAUUUAAAUUAUUUUAUUUGGUUAAAUUAAAUAUUUUGGUUAAAUUUAAUAUUUUGGUUAAAUUAAAUAUUUUACUUCAUUUAACUAUAAUAUUUUUUUUAUUAGUGCUUAAUUCUUAUAAUUUUAUUAAUUAAUUAAAAUUUAUGAAAUAUUGAUGAUUUGUUAUAAUUUUGAUCUUAUAUGGUUGUUUUGAAAUUUAACUUAAAUUAAUUCUUUUGCUAGUAGAUUUAAAAUUUUUAUAUAAAUUUUUAAUUAAGUUUAAUUAUAAAUUUUAAUAAAUUCAAUGAUUUUAUUUCCUUUCUUAUCUUUAAUUGGUUUAAUUUUAUUAAACAAAAAAUAUAAAUAUCAAAGAUUAUGAAUUAAUAAUUUUAUUAAAAAAUAAAAAAUAUUAAUUAAUGGUGGAAUCAUUAAUUAAUUAUGAAUUAAUAAUUUUUUUGGACUAGAUUAUAUAAUUCUAUAUAGUAAAAUAAAAAAAUUUAAAACUUAAAACUUAGAAAAGAACUAUUAUAGAAUAUAGUACAAGUUGAGGGGCCUAAACUAAAUUUUCCCAAACUUUCCAAUCCCGCCUCAAUAUCCCUCAAUAUCCCUCGACUCCAUAAACCGUACGGCACUUCCCACCUAUUGUUUGCUCCGGAAGUUUCAUCUAGGGUUUUUUUUUCACUUUUUUUAUUUUUUAUUUUUUACUUCUCUUCUCUCCAAGUAAAAAAAAAAAAAAAAAAUCUCAGUUGUUCUUUCCGUUCUUCCAUCCGCAGGACAAAAAGGAGGAUUUUCUUCAUUGUCUUCUAGCAAGAAGGAGCCCAACAACUAGGACCCCACCAAGAAAACGGUAAAUUGAUUUCGAUUCUCUUUAUAAAAGUAUUUAUUUCAUUCUUUACCUUAAAAUAGAUAGGUUGAUUUAUACUUUUUUGAAAAAAAAUACUCUUUUUUUUAUUUUAAAUUUACUAGUUAAUAAUAGAUUUAAGUAUUUCUAGGUUGUAUGAUUAUGUAAAAAAAGUAAAAAAUAUAUAAUAGUUAUUUUUUUUUCUAAAGACUAGAUAAAAAAUUAGAUGGAACCUACAUUCAUCUAUGUCUUUACAUAUAAAAGAGGAUAAAGAUGACCUCUUUCCAUCUACAAUUUUUUAUUCCUAAAUAUAAUUGAAAAAUAAUAUUUAUUUUAACAAAAUAAUNAAAAAUGGUGGGGGAGGUGAGAACAUGUAAACAUGUCUCCCCUCCCAGUGGGUACCGCAAGCUGAUGAAGGCGAGGAGUACUCACCGGAUCAGGAAGAGAUAUAUAACAAUAUGGUAAAUAGAUACAGAUGCUGAUACGAAGAAACUACAGUAGCUAUAACAGAUAAAUGAGCAAUAAAUAAAACUGCUACUGUAAGAAAUACAAAGCUGAGUAUGCCUCAAGGUAACCAAACCAAAACUGUACCAAAUCUGGUACCUGCUAUAUUGGUUCGCAGACCUCAAGCGCUGCCUGUCACUGAUCUGCACCGACCUGAUUCACCCGCCCCACAGGACGACCGAUCCGGAUAAGCACACCUCCGGUCGGUGGCCAAACCGACCUGGUGUCGUGAAUACCCCCAAGUGCUGUGACUAAGUCAUGCUGGUAUGCUCAAUAUAAAAACCGGCUGAAGCCGGUGCCUAGGCCGAAGAUAGAAACAAGGGCGUACCACGCCGAACCACGAUCAACCAGAUCAACAGAUAUGCAUAUAUAUAAAACUAAUCUACUCCUGCAAAGAAUACUAAGCAUGCAAACAACGAGUAGAGUAUACCGAAAUAAUCAUGGGUGCAAGGCUCAAAAUAUACUAUGCGAUAGUAACAACAGAAGAGUAAGGGUAAGAAACCAUCACCGAGCGUGCACCACUGUACCAACGUCGGAACGAAGUACCCACCUGUCACUAUCGCGUCGGAAAACCUGGAUGCACACAAGUCGACCAGACUUACGAAGAUCCACUAGGUCAGUAUCCAACCCACUAACCUGAAGUACACAAUCUCACAAACCUCCACAAAAGAUCUCUGUAAUCGGUUUCCCAAAACCAAUCACCGUAACUCACCGAAAGUCCCGAGAACCACACUGGGACGCCGUCGGGACCCUCCUGAAACUCACCGACUCGUACCACGAGUCACCCGCUACCACAAAACACACCAAUUUGAAGGUCUUGGCAGCAAACACAAUGUAACACAACCUAAUAAUUAUCGUCGGAUAAUUGUUCGGAUCCGGGUUCCCAGAAGUGUCUAUUACGACACCGGAACCCACCGUCGCUCACUCAUCAUCACCGAACCCACAAUGUGAUGAUGGUGACCAGCCAACAAGGCUCAGCGACAAUUUACAGGACAACCAAACCACGUCGGAAGAAAUCCGAACCGAAACCGCGUUCUUUCGGCGAAUUUCGCCAAAAAACGUACCGAAAUCGACUCUUCGAUUUCCGCAAAAGCUAACGAAUCAUGGACAAUCAGUCCAGAGGUCACCACACAUGCCUACACACUGCCUACAGUAGCCACAAGGUGUAUAAUUGCACAAAAGCCCCUGUAUUUACAUAAAAUCCCAAUAUUUUAUGUAAAUCGGGCGAUAACAUGGCUCGUUUAUGCAAACCGAGGACUUUCAAGGUCCACCAAGACACGUACCAACAGGUCUCGAUGUACCGGAGGCCGUGCUCAUGGUCCGGAGCACAUCGGCUCACUGUGGGUGGUGCGGGGGCAACCCGAAGUUCUGCGAACAGCGCGCAGUCGGGGAAAAACGCACCAAACAGGACUAACCGGACUCUGUUGAUCUAAAGUGAGGCGAGCACUGUGAUCGGAACUGACCGAAGAUCACCGUGCUCACCUCCAGAGGCAUCAGGACAGCCUCGGAUCGCCGGAGAAACGCGCGCAAACCAGAAACCGUAGUAAAAAAGGCUCUACAGUGUCGACAUUGCCGAACAGUGGAACGGGGCCUUCCCGACAGAAACCAAGGUGAGCACGAUAAUCAAAAAUUUUCCAUGAUCAUCGUGCUCCCUUCCGUAGAGAAAGGGGAGGCUCGGGAAGCUCACAACAGAAAACCACUCAACUAAGCCCUAAUUCGGGCUUGGCCAGAGCAAACUUGCUCCGGCCGGCUUCCGGUGGCACGGCGAGGCACGCGCGGGACAGGGAUGGGUAUAGGGGAGGUGAGGAGUACGAGGCUCACCUCAGUUGGCGGCGGGGAGCGGCGGCGACGUCGGCAGAGCAAGCUCAGCCCACACGAGCUAAAGCUCGGGUUCCACAGCAAUGGCGGCCACGGCGGCAACCGGGAAGCUCCGGGACAGCGGUGGUAGGUUUCAGGAGGCCGGAGGGGUGCCUCAGGUGCGGCCCCGAGCGGCGGCGACGCAGGGAAGGAGUCGCGAGCUCGGCUCGGACCGAGCUUGCCUAGGGAACCUGCCAGGCGGCUGCAGCGCGGCGGCGGCGCUCGGGACGGCUCGGGGCGGCGGCGAUCGGCUAGGAUGGUUGCCUAGGCUCCGGGGAAGGUGGCUGGAGUGGUCUCAGGUGGCGGCAGGGCGGGGGAGAAGUCGCAUGCUUGCCUCAGCCUGGGCUCGGCCUAGCUAGUUGCAGGGUGCAGUAGCGGCAGCGGUGGCGCACCGAGGCGACGACGGUCAGCGGGGAGGCUUGCCAGGGCACAGGGGCGGCGCUGGAAGGGUGCAGGGAGGCGACUGCAGCCUCAGAUCUGUCCACAACCCGAGAUGAAGAAAGAUGGAGGGAGGGGGAUGGAGAGGGAAGAGAAAAUGGUGGCUGCAGCGGCAGUUGGCCGGCCGGGGCUCAGUCGGAGGCGGCCAGGGGUGUGCGGCUAAGGCAGGGAAGAGGGAUGAAGGUGGCUGGGGGUUAGCUCAAGCUAGGGUUAGGGUUCCAAGGUAGAAAACCCUAGAAUACAUAUAUAUAUCAAGGUGCAACUUUGCGAGUUAGGCCCCCAAACCUCAGUAUUUUAUACUGAGUCCUUCUCAGCGAGUGUAAAACGCGCGAACACACCUUCACGUCCGGUUUCACGCGAAACGAUACAUAAAAUAUCACAACUUUUGCGAAAAUACCGUUUUGCCAUCACCGACCUCUCCUCGAUCAACGCGCAAUCUCCGCAGAUCCGUCCGUCAGAUUUGCGAACGGAUCACACCAGUGCGAUCAGCACGACGGAGACAACAAAGCUAUCAUUUUGUUUUGCCUCGAUCCAUCGCGGAUUCACGACGAAAUCCGAUCCAUCUCUCCAACAAAAGAACUACGCACAAAUACAUAUAAAACAUGUAUUUUCAGAUUUUCUCGAAAUCCGUGCGUCAAACUCAAAAUUUGUCAGCGCCAAUAGUCCCAGAAUAGCUGAAUCGCUCGAAACGAGCUAUUGGAUUGCUAUGAACGGAGUCCGAUACGCGCUAGAAGCCAACUUCCCACCGUGACUUCUCCGGAAAACCGAGUUACUAUUCACUUUAAGUGAAACUUACAAAUCGCGUAGAAUCUCCGAUUUAACUCGUUUUCUCCCGAAACUUGACGAGUACCUUUGUAAUUAAAUUACACACAAAAACAUCAUCAAUUGAGAGUUUAGCUACACUGCAAAAAUCUCAGUCCUUACAAAUAAUGAAUUCGAAAUUUAAUUAAUUUACAUUUCUAGUUGAGUUCAUUUUUUUAAAAAAAAGAACAAGCGAAUUACUUAUUAUCUUACUCUGAAAGUAUAAAUAUUUACUAUCAUUUGGUGAUAGCUUUUUUUUUGAUAAAUUAAAAAAUUUAAUGUUAUUUAUAUAGAAUUUGGAUAUGUUACAGGAUUGACAUGGAUACCGAAUCUUAUCAUUAACCAAACUAUGAUGAUCAAGGGCAAAUUUUAUGAAAGCAUCAACUCCAUCCAUGUAUUGUUUUGAGAAUCUAUUAUUGAGAUUAAUCCAAGUCUUAUCCAUGUCAAUCCUGUAACAUAUCCAAAUUCUAUAUAAAUAACAUUAAAUUUUUUAAUUUAUCAAAAAAAAAGCUAUCACCAAAUGAUAGUAAAAUAUUUAUAUUUUUCAGAGUAAGAUAAUAAGUAAUUCGCUUGUUCUUUUUUUUAAAAAAAUGAACUCAACUAGAAAUGUAAAUUAAUUAAAUUUCGAAUUCAUUAUUUGUAAGGACUGAGAUUUUUGCAGUGUAGCUAAACUCUCAAUUGAUGAUGUUUUUGUGUGUAAUUUAAUUACAAAGGUACUCGUCAAGUUUCGGGAGAAAACGAGUUAAAUCGGAGAUUCUACGCGAUUUGUAAGUUUCACUUAAAGUGAAUAGUAACUCGGUUUUCCGGAGAAGUCACGGUGGGAAGUUGGCUUCUAGCGCGUAUCGGACUCCGUUCAUAGCAAUCCAAUAGCUCGUUUCGANUGAUUGUGUUCUAUUUUGGAAGGAAUUCAAAGACCAAAAUGAAUGUCCAGAGUGUAAAGAGUCUCGAUGGAAAAUCAAUAGUGGAAAAGGUAAGCAAAUUCCUCAAAAAAUCUUACGCUACUUUCCUUUAAAACCAAGGCUACGAAAAUUGUAUAUGUCGAGGAAGACAGCUUUGGACAUGAGAUGGCACGAGGAAAAACGAGUCGAAGAGGAGAAUGUUAUAAGACACCCAGCUGACUCCGAAGUUUGGAAAGAUUUUAAUAAACAGUAUCCAUGGUUUGCACAGGAUCCUCGUAAUGUGAGACUUGGUAUUGCAACCGAUGGCUUCAAUCCUUUCAACAAUAUAAGUAACUCAUAUAGUAUGUGGCCUGUUAUACUUAUACCAUAUAACUUGCCACCUUGGAAAUGCAUGAAAGAGCCAUAUUUCAUGAUGUCGUUACUGAUUCCAGGACCACGGUCACCAGAAAAAGAAAUUGAUAUAUUUUUACAACCAUUAAUUGAUGAGUUGAAGGAGUUAUGGGAAAUUGGUAUAAACACUUAUGAUGCCGUAAGCAAACAAAGCUUUCGCAUGCAUGCGGCAGUUUUGUGGAGUAUAAAUGAUUUUCCAGCAUACGGCGAUAUAUCUGGAUGGAGUACAAAAGGAUAUCAAGCAUGUCCAGUUUGUAAUGAAGACACCUAUUCGCAACGAUUACGAGGUAAGAUUUGUUACAUGAGUCACCGUCGUUAUCUACCCUCUAAUCAUGCUUGGAGAAAAAGUUACAAAUUUAAUGGUAAACAAGAACAUCAAUCUAAGCCUAAGGAACGAUCAGGGGAAGAAAUCUUGUCACAAUAGGAAGCUUUGAAAAAUUUUAAGUUGGGAAAGCAUCCGAACAAUAAAAAAAGAAAGCGCUCUCCAGAAGAACGUAAUUGGACCAAAAUGAGUAUAUUUUUUGAGUUGCCAUACUGGCAAAAACUUAAAUUGCGUCAUAAUCUUGAUGUUAUGCACAUCGAAAAGAAUAUAAAUGAUAAUUUAUUGGGAACUUUACUAAACAUUGAUUGAAAAACAAAGGAUACAGAGAAAGCCCGUUUAGAUUUGCAAGAUUUAAAAAUACAGAAAGAGCUACACUUGCAGCAGAAAGGUGACAAGCAUGUGAAGCCUCCUGCAUGUUGUCAUUGAAGGAAAGGCAACAGUUUUGUGAAUUUUUGAAAAAUGUAAGAUUUUCUGAUGGCUAUGCAGCAAGUAUUUCAAGAUGUGCGAACACCAAGGAAGGUAAAAUAACGGGCCUAAAGAGUCAUGAUUGUCACAUUCUUUUGCAACGAUUGCUUCACAUCGGCAUGCGCGGUUUUCUAAAUAAAGAUAUAUUUAAUAUCUUAAGUGAGUUGGCAAAAUUUUUUCGAGAAUUGUGUUCAAAAACAUUGAAGUUAGAUGUCCUAGAGCAAUUAGAAAAAAAGAUUGUUAUAAUACUAUGUAAAUUGGAAAUGAUCUUUCCGCCAGCUUUUUUUGAUGUUAUGAUCCACUUGGCAAUUCACUUGCCACAUGAGGCUCGACUUGGAGGACCUGUGAGUGAUGCAGGUAUAAUUUAUAUAUAUUAAUAUAAUCUGAAAUUGCUAACCUCAUAUUCAUCCUUAUCUUAAAAGUUUUUAACUUCAUUAUUAAUUGAUAUUAUAUCAAUUAAUUGAUACUUUUUGAAGGAUCCACAACAACUAGAAAGGUUCGUGGUCAAAAUAGAGGAUUAGAGUUAGAAAGACUUAUUCGCAAAACUGGAAAGUUGAAACUACUAAUUCCAGAAGGAGAGAAUAGGCCAGUUGGUGAUGACAGUUGCAAAUUAUCUAGAGAAAUUGGGAUAGUUGUAAGACAAUUCGCACCAAUCAAGAUAUCAGGUUGGCACGAAAUAGCAGAUGUCGACAAAUUAGCACUUUAUGAGCGUAUUGUGGUAAACACCUUGUAAAUAUCUAUUAUAUUGUUUUAUCUUAUUUGAUCUUAUUUUGGAGAUUUAUAACUACUAAUUGAAGUUUUAUGCAGGCAAAAUUUGAUUUGGAGUGGGAUAAAAAAAAUGUUAGGGAAUGUGUGGAAGAAAUGAUGAGUUUUUGAUAUAAAGACUUCCGCUAUCGAUGCCAUUUAUAUUAUGAGAAAUUAGGAGGAGGUGAAGCUGCUAGACAAUGUCCUCAUAAGGAUUUUGUUAAUAGAUCCGAUGAUUGGCUUUGGUUAUGUGAUCAUUUUGAUUCAGAAGCCUUCCAGGUAAUACAAUUUUUUAUUUCUUUAAUUUCAUGGUGAACAAUAAGUAUAUUAUUAUUUCGAUUAUUAUGAGUAAUACAAAAAUUUAUUUGUAUCUCUAUCAAAAAUAUAGUUAUUAUACUUCUUAAUAUAUUAAUAUUAAAAAUCAUAUCUUAAUUCUUUUUUACAGAGGCGUUCAACGGCCAACUCCAGUAAUCGAGGAAAAUUACCAUAUAUUCAUCGAGCGGGUACUAGGACAUUUGUGGCUACUCGACAUAAAUUGGUAUAUUUUAAAAUUUUGAAUCUAGCAUAAUUUAUUUUUCAUGAAUUAUACUAAUGUGUUAUAUUGUAACGCAGCAAUGUGGUGAGAUUGCCUAAUUCAAGGGAUGUUAUCAUAAUGGAAAAGGAUGGGCCAAUGAUGGGGCUAAGAAAAGAUAUGUUAGUUUUUACCAAUUUUGAAUAUAUGUUAAUAAAUUGUUAUGUAAAAGAUAUAGUUAAUAUUUUUUUAAACAGCAUAUGUAUUAGAUUAACCAUUUAUAUUAUUUCCUCUAAUUAUAGGAAACUAUGGUGAAUAUGCAAUCACAACCCCCUUCUGACGAGAAUGAAGUUCCUACGACUGAGCAAGAAAUUUGUGCUCAAGUACUUGGCACUAGAUAUGGAUACAUACCUGGGCGAGGUCAUGGUCCAAAACCCAAGUCACGACGUGAAGUUUCGGAAAAUCAAUCAUCACAGCUGCAAGAAGAAUUGACAAAUACAAAGACUGUUCUCGAGACCCAACAAUCUCAAAUUGAGACCCAACAAUCUCAAAUUGAGACUCAACAAUCUCAAAUUGAAGCUCAACGUAAAGAGAUUGAAUGGUUAAAGACUAUGGUGCAACAGAAUCAUUCAGAUGCCCAUCAAGAAAUGAAGAUUAUGGACCAUCUAUACGUGGUAAAUAAAAUUUUGCCACAAAAUUUUAUAUAUUUAUAAAAAUAAUUAUACAUAUUAACCAUCUUCAAAUAAAAAAUUUUUGUAAAUGAAAAUAACUAGUUUUUUUGCUUAAAAAAAAUAACAAAAUCAAUAAUAUUAAUUUAUUUAUCUAUUUUUUUAUCAUUUUAGUCUUUGUGAAAUUCUGUAAUAGAUUACUUAUAUAAAUAAUAAUUAAUAGGUAAACUUUAUUAUUCAUCAUUUUAUAAUUUUUUUUACUUUUGUGCAGAAAUAUGCGAGUGGACUACAUCAAAGCAAGCCAACUACAAAAUUUCUUAAAAUGGAAUGUUGGUGUUUUUGUUGAAAAAACUAGUAUUUAACCCGUGCUAUGCACGGAUAAUAUAAUAAUAUAAAAUAACAUAAGUUAUUAUGUGAUAAUAAAAAAAUUAUUCUAAUUAAUAUUAUAUUUUUUUUAAAUAAUAAAGAAAUAUACUAUUGAUCUUAUUAUAGUACAUAUUUAAAUACAAAAGCUAGAAGAAAAAAAAUUAUAGACCAAAAUAAAUACUCAAAUAAAAGUAAAUUUUAACCCUGUUCUAUAAUCUAUGAUUAAUCUGCAAAAUAAUUUUAUAAUUAUAAAUUGAUGUGCAAAACAAAAUGAUAACUAAAUUGAUAUUCAAAAUUACAAAUGACAUUAGUAUUUAAGCAUAUAAUGAAAUCAACUAAACUUUCAUAUUUGACACAAAUUAGAGUAAGCACACGUAUAUGAGAGACAAACAAAUUUUCAAGAUUCAAAAAUAUAUAGAUGUUGGUUUCUAGAAAAUAUAAGAAAAAAAACUUGUUGCCCAUGAAGAUAAAAAGUACCUGCUCCAAUAACAAAUAGAUAAAUUGUUAGAUAAGUAAAAUGACUAAAUAUCAUAAUAUUAGUGUAUUUUUUCAGAAAAAUAUCUAAACUUAUUUAAAAAAUAAAAUGACAGAAUUGAAUUGUUGAAAAAUUGUAAAUUUUGAAAUAACAUGAAGAAAAAUAAACCGCUCACCUAUUUUAAAUUUUGAAACACUUCCUUAAAAACCACAUUACUUGUGGUUUUGGAUAACAAACCAUCUUUAUCACAAAUUAGAAUAUUCAAUCCGUCCUUGUUUCGAACUCUAGAUAUUGCAACAUAUAACUGACCAUAACUGAAUAUCGGUCUAGGAAGAUAUAAGCCAACAUGUGAUAACGAUUGACCUUGACUCUUGUUUAUUGUCAUAGCAAAACAAACAGCCAACGAAAAUUGCCUUCGUUGCAUUUUAAAAGGUAACUUGGAGUCUGAUGGAGUAAUCACCAUACGGGGUAUAAACACCUUCUCCCCAAUAUUGCUCCCAGAGAUCACUUUUGCUUCUAGUAUAUGUUUUCCCAAUUGAGUGAUCAUUAAUCUGGUUCCAUUGCAUAAACCUAAAGACUUGUCUAUGUUUCUCAAUAACAUCACAGGAGCAGCUUGCUUCAAUUUGAUCAUGUGAUUAGGAACUCCUGAACAUUUAAUACUGUUUAAGAAAUCAGGUGUAUAUACAUCUUCAGGACCAUCUAGGCCCACAUCUGUCUUACAAACACUGUCAGAGCUCAAAUAAAUUUUUUCUUCACCAUGAAGCAAUGAAAGCAUGUAUUCAUUCACAGCAUCCACAAUUUCAAGAGUAGGAGCAAGAAUUGCUUUUUCUUGUAGGUAUUGCAAAUCAUGAAUAUUGCUUAACAAUGAAGGAUACGUACAAUCCACUAUUGAUGCAAUUGGAUUUGUUGAUUCCUUUAUGAGAAAUUCAGAAACUCAAAUUUUGUAUUGCGAAAUUUGCGAAAUUUGAGUUUAACCAAAAAUUUUAACUAACAAUACGAAAUUUGAGUUUACGAAAUUUGAGUUUGAUCAUUAUCUAGUUUCAAAACAACCAACCAUUUCAAAUAAUUCGCAAUAGAUUUUUCACAACCAAUAAAUUUAAAUAAUUAAUUAUCCGCAAAUACGAAAUUUGAGUUUGACCUUUUUUUCGCAACCAACCAUUUCAAAUAAUUCACAAUAGAUUUUUCGCAACCAAUAAAUUUAAAUAAUUAAUUAUCUGCCAAUACGAAAUUUGAACUAAUAAUUUUAAAUAAUAAUUCGCAAUAGAAUUUUAAAUAAUAAUUCGCAACAGAUUAUUGCGUGCCAAUACGAAAUUUACGAAAUUUGAGUUUGAUCGUUAUCUGCCAAUACGAAAUUUAGAUUUUAAAUAAUAAUUCGCAAUUAAUUAAGUAAUAAUUUAAAUAUCCAUAUUUGAGAUUGACAUAUUUUAAAUAAUAAUUCGCAAUUAAUUAAGUAAUAAUUUAAAUAUCCAUAUUUGAGAUUGACACGUGACAAGCAUAUAGAAAGCCACGUGUCAGCUUAAUUUUAAUUGACAAUACGAAAUUUAUACAAAAUUUAGAUUUUAAAUAAUAAUUCGCAAUUAAUUAAGUAAUAAUUUAAAUAUCCAUAUUUGAGAUUGACACGUGGCAAGCAUAUANAAUUUGAAGUUUAUACUAUUUUUUUUCAUCUUUUUUGCGCAUUGGUGGGGAAAACAAAAAAAAAAAUCCUCGAGCUGCUCAAUCAUCAUAUGAAGAGUGGUCGAAUGUCUUUAUGUUUAGUAGCUUUAUUCUUGUAAUCAAGAGGUCUAUUUUAUUUCAAAAAUUCAUUAAUGAUUGGAAACUUUUUAUCUAAAAAAAGGUGAUGUAACAAGUAUUUAUUAUAAUAAAAAAUUGAUACAUGUACAUUCUAAGGUAGCUAGCGUACGUUUUACACCCUUAUUCUAAAGUUUAGAAAAUUUGUUAAACUUCUAAUUUUUUUUUUAAAAAAAAAUGCUUGGUAAGAAUAUUAGGGCUAAUUCUUGACUUUGAACAAAAGGAUGUAAGAUGUACACUUUCUUGUGAAAUGUACAUCUUGGCCUCCAACCGUUAAUCCGUUUGUUUUUGUUGAUUUUGAAAGUUGAACUUGUGGCUUCAAUUAAAGAAGUCGUCAGAGUCGACAUUUGUUUCAAUAAUGAAGUCACGAGAAUCAUCCAAAUUUCUACUCACAAUUGUAUAUAUAUGAUCGGACUUUUGAUCUCGUUGGGUUGGAUGCAUGGCGAAGUCAAGUUUGCAAACUUGCAUGUUUCUCGCUCUCUAUUUUUUUGGUUCCCAACAGAGAGCCUGGGUGAUAAUUAUGUACAGGAAAUUAACUACUUAGUCUAGUAGCCUAGCUACGUGAUAUAUAUGUACUAAGAGGAAACUACGUAGUUUAGUAUGCAAAAUUUGAGAGGAGCUCAUGCAAGAAAAUAAAAUAAACCGUAUGCGGCGAGUUUUCUAUAUAUUGAGGCAACAAGUGUCGCCGCAAAAUUGUGAGAAAUAUUUGGGCUGCUAGGAAAUCUCAUUUUGCGGUGACCAUACAUGCAUGUUGUCGCAGAUACGUACAACUUUCUUCCGUAUGGUCGAGACUAUUUGGUGGCAACGGCGGCCCGCGCGCACCGGUGGACGUUGCAGGGGCAGCCUGCAAUGUACGUUGCUCUUCGGGCAACCGCAAAUAUAUACUUAGUGCCAACAGUACGUCUUGUUUUGGACAACGCAGUUUGCUUAGAGAGUAGGACAUUUUGUCGUUCUUUGGAGCUAUUAGUUAAUAGCUAAUACUAAAGUACAUCUUUUCUUGUCCUAAAUAGAUUGCAAUUAAUCUGUGAUGUGGAAAAAUAGCAUUAAUUAAUUGCACCAUUGGUUCCAGAUCUUGUGUACAGCUUCUAAACUUCUAGAAACAUAAAGUAGUUGGUAUUUUUGAUUUUUUAGCACUUGAAUUAAGAACUAUAGAGUUGGGAUGAUAAUGAUCUCCCUUGGAGUUUAGUGGUCUCUCUAGAGUUUAGUGGUCCCUCUAAAGAAAUAAUAUUAAUCUAAAAAUUAGAAAUUGUCAAAAAUUUGAUCCAAGAGUUAAAAAAUUACAAACACCACAUAAAUUUCUAGAAGAAUAAGAGUAUUUUGAUUAGUUUAUUAAGGCUGCGUUUGUUUCGGGUAGAAAUAAGAACUGCUUAUUUUUGGGAUAGAUACAUGUUCAAGUAUAAGAGCAUGAAUUAGAGUAAAUUUUUGUUUGGAUAAAAAUUGGAUUGUUUCUGAAAAUAAGAUAAAUAGUAUUUAGAUGGUUAAAUUGGAAUAUCAGGAAUAAGAGUAAUUAUAAUUUUAAAUUAAAAAUAUUUUAUCUAAUUAAUUAACGUCAAAAUAUUAACAAAAAAUAAUUUUAAUAAAAUAAUAAUUUUAUUAGCUAUGACUAUUGUAUAAGAUAAUAAAAAAUAUAUUAAUAUAUUAAUUAAUUAAUUAAUAAAAUAUAACUUAACUUUUUAAUUAUUAGUAAAUUAUUUGAUUAGUUUAAAAAAUUUAAUUUAAUUUGUCAAAAUAUUAAUUAGUUGACCGAUAUAGAUAUUAGUUAUUAGAUAAACACAUUAAAUACUUAAUUUUUGAUAAGUUGAUGAAUCAUAAACAUUAAAUUAAUUAAUUACUUAACUAUUUAAGUAAUAGAUAAUGACUUAAAUAUAUUACUUAGAUUAAUUAACAAGUUAAUAGAAUGGUCAAAAUUAAAUUUAAGCUUUAAUUAAGCUUAUUCUCACGUGGGAACAAGGUUGUUCUAGUGAGGAGGGUGGAACUUAAUUAUUUCUCCUUAUUCCUCUUUGUUCCUAAUAAAUGGGAACUACAGUUCCCAUUCUCCAAAAAUAUCAUGUGGAGAUAAGAGAGGAAAUAAGGGCCUAUUUCCCUGCUUAUACCCCAAUCAAACACAAUCUAAAUAUUUGGAUUAAAUUUGUAAAAUUCAGAAAAACAACUCGUUUUUGCGAAAGGGGAGAACUAGAGGUGUCAACGAGUCGAACACGAGCGAGCUAGGGCCGGCACAUGUUCGGCUCGUUUAAUAAAUAAGCGGAACACGAGUUGACUCGUUAAAGUAUCGGACCAAAAAAUUCAACUCGUGUUUGGCUUGUUAAUAAAUGAGUUGAGCAUGAGCUGGCUCACGAACUGGCUAAUGAACAAUAAGUUAAAUAGAUUAGAUUUGAUAUAUAUACAAAACAUAAAUUUAUAAAAUCUUACCCAUUAAACUUUGGUAUUAUGGUUGAAACUUUACAUAUAAAUGAGUAUUUUUAUAAUUAAUCUCGAUUUUAUAUACUUUUUUCGGCUAAAAAUAUAAUAAUAAAAAUAUAUAUUAUAUAUAUAUAAGUAUAUAGUUAUAUAUAUAAAUAUAUAUAUAAAUAUAAAAUAGAUGUAUUUGAGUUGUUAUCGACCGGAUAUGAGCGGGCUGACCCUAGCUCAUAUUUGGCUGUUCGUGUUCGACGUAAACGAGCGAUUCGAUUUCGAGCUUCUUUCAACCAGAACACGAGCUGGGGCUCACAGUCUAGAAAGAACUGAUUGAUUUUUUUUUUAUUACAAAAGCCUAAUUUUUUUAAAAAAAAAAAUCUAAAAAGAGUUGAGGAGGCAAAAUAAAUAAUUGAUUUUGUUGAGAAGAUAAGAAAAAGAGUUGACGAUGCGAGAUAACGAUUGGUGGGGGAGUUUAAAUUGGUCGCCACGAAUCCACGUGUCGUUGUCCUUUUAUUGUCAUUUAUUAAAGUCCCCACAAUGUUCGCCACGCGGACAGGAACAAACUCGAACCACGUGAACAGGAAUUGUUCAGCGACUACCACGUCAGGACACGUGUUGAAACUCCGCUGGAAGCAAAAGUGAUAAGAACAAAAUGAUCCGUAUGUAUCAAUCACGUUGUGAUACUGUUUUAUUUUACUUUAUUUUAUUUUUUGACAAUGCAUCUGACUGAAGCUCUAAACUCUUUUUAUGGUUUUUUUUUUUUUAACUCAUUUUGUUUAUUUUUUUUUAAAAUUUUUUAGUUGAAUUAAUAAAAUAACUAGAUUUUAAACUUAAAAUCUCCCGCAUCAAACAUAAAAAGCUCUUUAUAUAGUUUUUUUAAAGGGAAAGAUACUACGGUGCUCAUUUCAUUUAUUUUUAAAAAAAAUUUAGUUGAAAAAUAUAAAAUAAUUAUAUUUUAAACUUAAAAUCUUAAGUGUCAACUAUUGAAUUUUUUAUCAUCUGUGUUAAGUUGAUUAAAUUGUCUAUAGUUACCUUUUGGCUCUAGAGGAGGUUUGGGUACUUUCAGAAGCAAAAAAAUUUAUGUUUUUAGAAAUUUUUUUUUAAUAGAUAUAUUUCUUUUCCAUAAUUUAUAUUUUUUACAUGAAAAAUUUAGAACAUAAAAAUAUUUUUUUUUAUAAAAUUUGAUUUUACUUUAGUAAAACUAUUUUUCCUCUAAACUAAAUAAAUACAAAAUAAUUUUUUUAGUCAAAAAAUUAUUUUCUGAUAUAUUUUUCUAAAAAUUAAACACUCCCAUAAAUUGAUCCAGGACGAUCAAACAUUUCAGAUAAAUUUCAACCGUUGCAGAUAAGACGGAGGCCGUUCCAACUAUUUCAGUUAGGAUAAGAAUCGAGAUGAUUCCAACUACUUCGGUUGCAGAUAAGGCGGAGGCCGCUCCAACUAUUUCGAUUAGGACAAGGACUAUUUCGAUUAGGAUAAGGAUUGAGAUAAUUCCAACUAUUUUGGUUAGGAUAAAGAUAAAGUUGUUAUUUUUAAAAUAUUUUGUUUUUAUCUAUUUGUAAUAGGAGCCUUACUGGUUCUUGUAAAAUCACUCCAGUGUAGAGAGAAUUAAUAUAUAGACUCUUCAACAUAAAAAUAUUGUGUUCUUUUUUUUUUUUAAUAUGUUUUCAGAUAUCCAUCGGAAAGGCGCUGCGAUAUUGCUUACUCCUCCGACGGAUCAGGUGGUAUCAAAGCAUUUGACCCUGGUGCAUGGUGCGAACCAGAAGCGUCUACAAAGCUACUAGCGAACAACUCUUCGUCCUCGACAUCUUCCGUAAGCCACUGACGAGGAAAACGAAGAGUACACCUACCAUGUCUACGGACGAGCAGAUAAUGACGCCAUCCGACCUUGCCGCCAAGAUCACCGCGCUGUCUAACGACAUGAAGACCGUCUUAGAUUGGAUUAAGGCCCAAUCUGCAGCACAAUCGGCAAUGCCGGUGGAGAAGAGCGGUCGGCUCGUAGAAACUCCUCGAAAGGCGCGUGUGACGUCGGUGAAAGGCGCUGUCGAGGAUACCUCAGGUGUGCGAGAUGACGAUAACUCCGAUGAUGACGGAAGUAUAGCGCCGUCGGUUGCAGAAAUGAGGUUGAAACCGUUUAAGGUUGAGGCCAAGAUCGAGAUCCCCAACUACGACGGUAUUGUCGACGCUGAAAAGUUGGUUGCCUGGCUUGACCAACUGGAGAUGUACUUUGACCUCUGCAACUAUAGUAACGCGGAAAAGGUAAUUUUCGCAAAACUAAAACUUGUAGGUCAUGCAUUGACUUGGUAGAAGGCCACUCUCCAAAUAUCCGCCAAUGAGGAUUUCACCUGGAGUCAGUUUAAACGACUGAUUCGUCAGGAAUUCUGCCCUACAGGAUAUGAAGAAGAGCGAUGGAAGUGCUGGCAUGUCUUGCGCUAAAGGCAUGACCAGACAGUGCAGGACUAUACCACCGACUUUCGGCGCCAAGCCUUGGCGCUUGGCAUCUCCCUCGAUGAUCCACAGGUUUUUAGUAAAUACACCGCAGGUCUACAGGAGCGCAUCAAUGAUGAGCUUCGUUUCUUCGGUAUUCGUGAUAUCGCCUCGGCGAGUCAAACAGUUAUGGCGAUUGAGCGGAAGAACAAACUGUCUCGUGGGGAGAAACCAUCUAGAGAGUCUGCUAAAGGCUCGAACAAGUUCAAAAAGAAUGGCUCUAAAAAUAUGGGGUCAUCUGAUCCUGAUUUGUACUAUGAUUAUUGUAAUGUCACAAGACAUGUCAAGGAUCGAUGCUGGAAGCUCCAUCCAGAGUUGAAAUCAAAGAAUAAGGAUGAUCGUGGAAAACGCACAAAUAGUAACGGCAACGACAACGGCAACGGCAAUGGCAACGACAAUGGCAGGAUUGACAAGUGAUGCUCCUACCUUAAACCGACGGAUUGAUCAAGCAGAUACUAGCUUAUCUUUGAUGGCUAUGCCGAAGGAGACAAGCCUGUGCCCGUCAAAUCCGACUGAUAAGAGAGAGGAGUUGUUCACUUUUCGAGUUCAAGUCAAAAAUGAGGUGAUCGAUGCCAUCAUCGAUCCCGACAGCUAAAAGAACUUGAUUUCGGAGAACCUAGUUCAAAGACUGGGUUUGUCGACUACACCACACCCACACCCAUAUCCAUUAGGGUGGAUUAACAGCAACAUUGAGAUGAAGAUCGAUCGCUAGUGUAAGGUGAAGUUUGUAGUGACCGGUGUCUACAUCGACGAAAUGUUAUAAGAGUUUGUGCCGUUGAAUAUUUGCAACCUCAUCUUCGGCAGUCCCUACCAAUAGGACCGUGACGCUACUUUUUUUCGUCAUCCUCAGUAAUACUAAUUUAUUAAGGAUGGACAAAAAUUUUUGCUCACCACAAAGUCAUUGUCAACAACUGUCGACCUGGUAACCACUUGUCAGGCCAAGAGGAUAAUCAAUGCUUGUCAAAAGUUUGCCUUACUAGUCAUUCGGCCAGUUAUCUCUAAGGAGGCAAACAACAAGAUAUUAAACUUAGCAUGAAAGGAAAAAACUGAUGAUGUAGCCAAACUGAUCGGCGAGCAUCAUGAUCUGUUUCAAGAAGUACAGGGACUGCCACCAAAGUGAGCCGUAGAACAUGAGAUCCAAUUCAUCAGUGACGCUUCGUUAUCGAAUCUUGGCAUGUACCGAAACUCGGUGGUGGAGAAUGAGGAGAUAAAGCGACAGGUGACUGAGUUACUCGAGAGUGGUGCUAUCAAACCGAGUAGCUCCCCCUGUGGCUCCCUGAUCGUGUUGGUGCCAAAGAAAGACGGCGGGUGGCGAAUGUGUAUCGACCGCCGCGCCCUCAACAAAAUCACCAUCAAGAACCGGUACUCCUUAUCGUGGAUCGAUGAUCUUUUGAACUAACUGAAGCAUGCUCGCUACUUCACCAAACUGGACCUAAAGUCUGGCUAUCUUCAGGUCCGGAUCCGAGAGGAUGAAGCCUGGAAAAUCGUGUUCAAGACUUGACAAGGCUUGUUUGAAUGGCUCGUUAUGCUAUUCGGCCUUUGCAAUGCAUCAGCUACUUUUAUGCGAUUGAUGAACGACGUUCUAUGCCCAUUCCUUGAUGAUUUCGUGAUCGUCUAUCUUGACGACAUCCUCAUCUACAGUCGAUCGUGGGUGGAGCAUCUGGAGCAUGUCAAGACAGUUGUAUAUAUGCUACAAGGAUAUAAUGCUCGACAUCCCAAGACUUGGGAUGAGAGUCUUUUAUAUUUGCGGUUCGCGUUCAAUCGAGCUAUACAUAGUUCUACUGGCAAGACUCCCUUUGAGGUGUGUAUGGGUUACUUAGCAAGCCCAUUCGACUUAGCACGGUUAAGCAAUCGCAAACCACCAAGGAGGAAAAUGGAAUAGCAAAGGCACAUCGCUUCUUGGAGAGCAUUAAGAAAGUGCAUAGCGAGGUGGAGUGACAACUUCAAAAAUCUCACCAGAAGUAUAAAGAACGACAUGAUCGACAUUGAGUGAAAGACGACUUCCAAGAAGGUGAUUUCAUCUGGCUCCAUCUCAAUAAAGGGCGCUUGACAAAGUGAGGAUAAGAAACUUAAACCCAUUCGUUAUGGACCUUUCAAGAUCCAAUGCAGAAUUGGUGAGAAUGCUUAUCAAUUGGAGUUGCCCGCAUACAUGAAGAUGUAUUCGGUUGUCAAUGUUGAAAAUCUAAAGUCUUUCUAACCGUCAAUGCUGGACGAUGGGUCCGAAAAAAUAUUGCUAACCGUGGAAGAGCUUGUGGUAGAACGCGAAGAGCCGCUAGCCUAGGAUACUAUUCUGUAACGUAAAAUCACAAAGACAUGCAAAGAUGAACGUGAAUCCUUCUAUGUCGGAUGGAAAAGUCAAAAGCCAAGUGCCGCUAAGUGGUUCACAAGGAAAACUUGGAACUCAGUUUCCUCACUUGCAAAUCUAGAUCCAGCAGGUGCUGGUUCUUCUCAAAAAAUUGGGAAGUUAUAAUAUGAGACGAUCAAACAUUUCUGAUAAGUUUCAACCAUUACGGAUAAAGCUGAGGCCAUUCCAACUGCUUCAGUUUGGGAAAGAAUCGAGAUGAUUCCAACUAUUUCGGCUGCAGAUAAGGUGGAGGCUGUUCCAACUAUUUCAGUUAGGAUAAGAAUCGAGAUGGUUCCAACUACUUCGAUUAGGAUAAAGAUAAAGUUGUUAUUUUCAAAAUAUUUUAUUCUUAUUUUCUUGUAAGCCUGAAGGCUAUAAAUAGGCGCUUUUAUUAAUAAAAUGGUCAUUACUAGAUAGUGUACAUUCAUGAAAAUGAUAUAGCCUGCUUACUCAUGUAAAGUAGGUCAUUUACCUGUUGCAUACCGUUAGUUGUGUUGGAGGCAUAGUAAUUUUAAUAUUCACUAGUUGCUUACUGUAUAUUGACUAAUAGUUCUCACGCCCUAUUUGUUGUUGUUUUAUUUACAGAGCCAUCCACAGCGGGAGAGGCUAGGGAUCGGGAUAAGGGGGUCGCGUCUAGCUAGGCAUAGCUCGGAGUCCUGCUAGGUGGUUACUCACCUUUUUGCUAGUUGAAGAGUGUUGUACCUAUGGUAUAGAGACUACCCCAUGUACUUUGUAAUUUUUUUUAGACCGUGGGAUGUGUAUAUUACAUGGGAGUUGUUCAUGUUAGUAGUUUACUUUCUUUUCUACACGCUUUUAGAGUAUUGUAUGUAUCUUAUGCUAUGAUAUCGUGUUAGAUGUUUCAUUCCCUGGUACUUUUUCUAACAUGGUUACUAUAGACGUCUUGUAUACUUCAGGUAUAUGGCGGGUCUGUGCACGUACCGGGUAGGUUUCUGCUGAAGUCCGGACAUGACAAUUAUUUUUAAAUAUUAUAGAAAAAUCUAUUUUUUAUAUGAUAGUGUAAAUUAUUAUUUAUAUUAUUUUUAUCUAUUUAAAAGCAUAAUUUUAAAUAUAUAUAUAUAUUUGCAAAAUAAUUUAGAAUUAUCGGCAUUUAUUAGUGUCGGAGAUGAUUAAAAAUUACAAACAUUUAAAUAAUGUCGGUAAUAGCCAUGUCUAUAACGGCAUUUGUUUAAUGUUACUAAUUACUUAUCAUUAACGGCAAUCUAUUUAAAUACCCGUAUAAGAUUUACCAACACGAGUAUAAGCGGCAUUAAAAUCUUAAUGCCAUUAAUAGUUUUUGGAGUAAUUUUUGGACUCUAGGCGGUAAUAAUUCAAUGCUGCUAAAUCAUAAUUUUUUUAUAGUAAUAUAUUGAGAAGUUUGAAAGUUUGUUCACUAGUUCGGAAAAAAAAUCUGCAUUAUGUCAAGAAUGAAAUAUAGAAAUAGAUCAAAAUACAAAUAUUAUUAAUUGAACAGUAAUUUUGAGAAACAACCGUAAAGUAUAUUUGUUCCUAUAACCUAAAUACUAGAAAACAUAAACUAUAACGUAAUAAUGCACACAAAAACUAAAAAACAUAAACAUUAUAAAACAUUCUACCUUUUCUUUACCUCUAAACCUCUUUUACGCUUUUGGGUCAUGAUGGUAGGUUUUGAUCAAAAUUCGCAAAUUUAUUGAGGUCAAUAUCGCGCAUAACAUUGCUUUAAUUCCGACCAUGAUCGGUCGCAGCAUUGCUUUUCUUUCGAUGGUCAUCAAACACAUCAUUGCUUUCUUUCUGACUGUGAUUUGAUAAGCUUUACUUCUGACCGCAAUCGGAUGCAAUAUUGCUUUCCUUCUUACUGUGAUCGAAUGUAUCAUUGCUUUCCUUUUGGCUGCGUUUUGGUACUAGAAUUUUGACAUAUAGUGGCAUUAUUUAUAGCAAUAUUUAUUUAAAUAUUGCUAAAUACAAAAUAUAUUGGUAUUUAUAAAGAUUGUUGCUAAAUAUGUUAUAUAUAGGCAUUUAUAAUUUAUUAUUAGUAAAUAAAAAUAUUUAGCAAUAUUUAUUUUUAAAUGCUAGUAAAAGAUAAAUUAAACAUUGACAGUUAUUUUUAGAGCCGCUAAGAGGAUUUAAUUGUCAGCAUUUAAAAUUAAAUAUUGGUAAAAUGUCUUAAAUCCUAUCUAUCUCAAAAUAACGUGGAUUCCUAAAUAUUUUUCCUUCCCACCUCAUUCUUCCGCCUCACCCCUUUAGGUUUUAGUCCGAUCAUUUUCUCCUCAUUCUUUUUGGGUUUAGUCCCAAAUAUCUUCCUCCUCCUCCUUUUAGGGUUUAGUCCCGAUCAUCUUUCUCCCCUACUUUUUAGGGUUUAGUCGCAAUCAUAUUCAUCCUAAAUCAUGGUGUAAUCAGGUAUGCUUUCUUUGAUCCUUUUUAUAGGUAUCUCUAAUCCAAGAAAUACUUAAUAGUAUUAUUUCUCUAUUUUUAUGAAUUUUAUUUUUUUAAAAUAAAUUUUAAUGAAGUUUUAUAGUAUAAUAGCAUUAGAACACUAUAAGAUAAAGGAUUUUGACGCACCAAUGUAGACGAUAUGGUGGCGACAAAUAAAUGUUGCCGCCAUCGCCAAUAUAUAAACAAUGGUGGUGACAACUAUACGUCGCCACCAAUAUUUAAUAAAUAGCGGCAUUAUUUUGUUGCAGGAAAAAGUCGAAGCAGUUGUGGCGACUAUUCUCGCCGUGGAAUAUUUCCAUACGUCCCACCAUUACUUCCCUCUUUUUUUUUCACCAACCAGCGCCUUCUUUUUUUUAUUUUUGGACCAUUAUGCCCUUAUUUAUUCUAUAUGUUGUGUGUGUAAAUGGUUGUACUAUUUUGUCUUUUGACAAAUUAAAAAUAGGUAAAUAAUAUGUACAGGGAAAAAUCCCUAAACCCCAAAUCCCUAACUUCCUGUUGAGCCACUUUUGCUCCCCCACCUUUUUUCGGCAACCUUGAAUCUGUCAUGCUCUCUUGCCUGCGAGUCCUCUUCUUCUCUUCCUCUUACUCUCCCUCCAGACGCUGGGGCUGCAGAAGCACCACUGCCGCCGCUUUGCCUCCCAAUCCCACUUCCAAUCUUUACUUUGGCUCCAGCACAUUGCUCCGUCCUCAGAGCAGUUCCUUCGCCACCACACAAAGGCAUGAUUCUUCCAUUUUAGCUGCUACUCCUGCAGUUAAAUUUGAAGAUUCUAACCCAUAAAGCUAACCUAUCUAGAGGUUCUUUCACCACCCGCCUCUUCUUCUUCUUUUUUUCUUCUUCUUCUUCCCUGUGCAUUAGCAGUUUUUUAGAAAACAAAUAAGAUAAGAAGCUGUAGGUUGAAAGGGUUUUCCUUUUUUUUUUACUUUCUUUUUUAUGCUAAAAUUUAGGAUUUAGUUACUUAUAGUUGUUGGGAUAUUUUGAUCCUUGAGCAUUAAUUCAUUAUAUUUUACUGUCAUUUAGAAGAAUUACUUACUACUACAUAAUAAUAGAAGAGUAGAAAGUGAAGGCGAAGCUCCGAGCAGACAAGACGAUGGAGAGUGAUGAUGCGGGGGUGGCGGGAGUGGAGGUUCACAAGAAGCCUGGUAUGGCGACGUUCGCACUAGCACUAGCAUAACCCAUCAUCUUUGACUUCACAAAUCCCUCUCCCCCAACCAAAAAAAAAGAAAAAAACCAAGCAUUUAAGUUUUAUUUCAUGAGCAAUUGAAAUUAAAUUCCUAUUAUUAUUAUUAUUAUUAUUUAUUUGUUUCAAAUUUGGCAUUAAUUUGUGGGUGUUGCGGCUAAUAUCUGGAGAGUUCAUCCUAGAGAGGGCCCUUGAGCUCUAGGUCAAUGUGGAGGCGUUCGUAGCAGAGGCAGUGCGCUUCUAUGUCUCUCGGCUUCGCUGACCGUUAUACGAAAAAUCGGUCUUCACUUGAUUUUUGGACUUGGCCUUCUCUUUAAAUUUUAGUUCGUUUUCAAUCCAAGGUCAAAACAAAGUUUUUUCUCUGUAAAUUUUAGAAGUUUGUCCUUUACUUUUUAUUGUCCUUUAAAGUAUAAAUUAUAGUGUGGUGACAAAUUAAAAGCUUUAAAGAAAAUGCUAUUAGUUGGUAAUCCUCUUUGUGAAGUUGAUUACUUGGUAAACUUUCAAUGAAAAUUUUGUUUCGUUGUACUUUCUCUCACGCUAUGUUGUCUUUUCUUAUUUGUAUUUUUUAGAGAAAUGUAGCAUGCUACCCGCUUCGUUUAUUUCAUUUAGAAAUAAACUUAGCUGGAAAUGUGGAUCAACUAGGAUUCAAACUUGGGUCUCGGGUACCUACCACCAAGCCCUUUUGCCACUUGCGCUAGGGAUCCUAUUUGUGAUUUCCAAAAAUGGAGGACAACUAUCUAAAAGCAAAGAGGAUAUCACGGCUAGUUUAAAAAAUCUAGGGGUAAUUGCUUGCUCGUCUAUUUUCCUUCUUAAUUGUUCUUGUGCAGAUAGAUGUAGUAUAUUCUAUUUGAAACUUAAAUACAGUAGGUCUUAAUCUAGUUAUAGCUUUCUAUAUUCCAUACAGAUUUAAAAAAUAGUAACAAGCCUAUCUAUUUUUACUGUGUUGAUCCAUAAUUUAUGUCUGUGAUUCUUGAAUCUCUGUUUGUGAUUAUAGUGAUCAAAUACAUGUGAUUGUUUUAUAAUAAAUGGAUAUAGGCUCUACUUUCAUUUGACAUGUUAACUAAUAACGAAUACUAAACUAAUGGCUGUAAAGAUCAGAAACAUCAAUUGACUAGUGCCUAUUUGCCUUGGCUGCUAGAAUCAUUUCUUUUAGAACCAGUAGCAAGAAGUCUGACAAAUGGUUAUUUUGUUGCUUCUGCUGCUAGGAAGUUGAGUUUAUCUUCUGAAAAACUCACAAGUUGAAUUUGAUCCUUAAACAACCACUUAUCAUCAAUAAUUGGGCAAAAAAUAAUAACUAUUGCAAAAAAAAGUAGAGACAAUUAUGAAAAAGAAGAAUAGCUGUAAUUUUUCUCUUCUUAUUGUCACAUUCUCAUCUAACUACCUUAUUUAGACAACUAUACGGAGGCAAAAAGAAAGGCAAAUUGCAUUGCAUUAGUUGAAUUAUACAUUAUUUGCUAUAAUGAUAUUAUUUUUUUCUCUAUAUGUUUAUAAAGAGUUGAUGACAAAAUUUUCUCUUCUUUCUCUAUAUGUUUAUAAGUGACGACAAAAUAUUUUGGUGACAUUUUGGCAAUAUAUAUUAAAGCAAGUUUAGAAACUUAGACAUAUUAUAACAAAUGUAUAUUUUUAUUCUAUAUGAGCUAAGAGAAGUAUUAUACUUUUAUCCCAACUUUCUAUUUUUUAAAUGUGAGUUGGAUGAUUGUAAUGUUACAGUGAUACUUAAACUUUUUUUCCUAGGACAAUCUUAGUUCCUUAUUUAUUUUAUAUGAUCAUAUUUAUUCUUCAAAACAUCUUUAAUUUGAUUCAAUUUUAUUUAUUAUAGACAUUUUACUAUUGGAGUCAUGGUGCUCAUAUUUAAUUUGAUCUUGAAAGCUGGAUGCUGCCAGCAUUUGAAAGAUGGUAUCUUUACAACACACAAUUAACAUCGACUAUAAUCACCAUCAAAAAAUAAAAGAAUUCUAGUAAAUUGUUCAUUGUCAAUAGUGGCGCUAAUAGUCGACGUCCUUUAUUUGAACUUCUAGCGGCGAUAUGGUGUUGCCAUCUUUUAUUCAAAAUUUAGUGGCGACGAUGUGUCAUCGUCUUUUAUUCAAACUUUUUGUGGUGACAAACUACCGCCGUAUUUGAUUCAAACUUUUAGUGGUGACAUAGCAUUGCCAUUAUGUGAAAACUUUUAGCGGCGACACUCCAUUGUCACUAAAUACUUUUCCCGGCAGGCUUUUAGGUGGCGACGUGCAGCGACAGUUUUGUUGCUUGCAUAACGUUUUCAUGGCGAUAUUUUGGCUUACGGCGGUGACAAUGGUCACCACUAUAUCCGUUUCUUGUAGUAGUGAAUUAUCAUGGGUUAUAUCUGAAAAUGAAAAGUUUUUUGUUUAUUUUUUAUUUAGUCAAUAGAAUGAAAUCAUAUUAUGUAUAUGUUUAUUUUUCUAUAGCAUAUAGAGGGAUUUCGAUCAUUUUUUUGACUUUUUGUUGUCAUUUAUGUUGAAAAGUACUUUUUUUUUAUUAAUUGUAGAAUAUUUAAAAUCCAUUAGGGUCCGCAAAUGGUAAAUUUUAUCAUGUGUACUAGGUAGUCUUUCACCACACCGUUACAUGCAUAAAUAAUAUUCUAUUUGUAUAGCCAUUUGCAAAGAAAACCAUAUUGUAUUAAUUUUAAAAUAAAAAUUUACAUAAUAACUCUUAACGUGUUCUGAUCGUGAUCGGGUGCAACAAUACUUUCCUUCAAACCAUGAUCAAGCAUAGCAUUGCUUUCAUUCCAACUGUGAUUUGGUAAAGUAAUGCUUUCUUUGGUGACUCGCUGAAAGCUUGUCCCGAUGCAAAUAUUUGGCCACACUUUUUACAAUUAUGUACCCCCAAAUCCGAUCUCUUCAAAGCCGUAUCGACCAUCGGCUUCUCGACAUGGCUCAGUUCAUCUUCAUUUACUUCAUUUGUAGUAAAUGCUUCAUCCGUGAUGUUCUUGCUUUUAUUGUGACUUGCCAUAUGACCGCCUAAUGCUUGAUGAGUAGAAAUAAUUUUAUUGCAGACACCACACUAAAAAGAUCUAGCUAAUUUCGUAGUCUUCUUUUUCCUUCUUUUUAUCAUACUAGACAAUGGUUGUAAGUGCUAUUCUUCAAUAUAUUCCUUGUCAUCAUCUUUGUCUAUUGAUCACUAGAAUGAUCCUCACCUUCAUAACCCUCUUCAUUCCUCGAACAUUUGUCUACGGUCUCUUCCUUACCCUUGAUAACUCUAAAAUCGUCUCCUAUGUUUUUCCUUUUCUUCUUAGGUGAUCUAUAAGUUUCUUUUUCACGAGAUGGACAAGUUAUCACAGCACUGCUUAGUAGUAUACUUAUGAUUACUCUUUGUAAUCUCUUUAUUUUAUAAAUUAAAUAAGAUGAAUGAGAUAGUGGCGGAAAAAUCACCUUACCGCCCUAUCCAAAAAAUAUCACACUAUAUUUUAUUAAACCUCUAUUCAUCCACCAAUAAAUAUUCAAGGAGAUGCCCCCCGUCCGCCUACUACCUUUGAAACACCCAAUCCCAACCCAACCAUUAAAUCACUCGUGACAAUCUUAUGUUGCUCUAGUAGGAAUGUGCUUUCUUCUUAGUGCCCGACAUUGUGGACACAAUAUGCGGGCAAAGAAGCCAAACCCUCAAUGCUACUGUUGAAACUCAGCAGCCUCAGUCUUAAAGUGUACCUGUUGUCUUGCACUGUAGCAUAGUGGCUAAAGGAUAUCUUGCUAAAUUUCUGUGAUGGAAUAUAUGCGGGCUAUCAGGAGCUCAAAACGUCGUGUUAUUAAAAGGACUCUUAUUUUGAAUGCAUAUAGUUGCAUUUGUCUUAAAGAAACCAAACUUCAAUAUGUUUCUACAAAAAAGCUGGAGAGCAUUUGUGGGUGAAAGCUAGACGGUUGUAUAUAAAUAAUAUCGUGGAUGUUCAAGCCGCCUGUUAAUUGCAUGGGACUCAAACAAAUAGUCCUAGGACUCCACAAUUACUAGUGAUCCUAGAAGUCUAGUAUUAAACAUCACAGGUAUCAGAGUCGGUAAAAUAAUCUAUACAAAUAUAACUACACUAUACAUAUAUAUCAUCCAUCAAACAUACACUUUUACAACCCAAAGUAAUAUAAUGUACAAAACUCUACUGAUAUGGCCAGUCCCAGAUGUAUAAUGUGUUGUAUACAACUCUAGCUUGGGUCCUCCACUAGCUCAGGUACACUGGAAGGAGACGCUAUCUAACUCGCUAUCCCUUUAUCUUGACAGAAGCAGGCGGUGAGAACUCAAAAACAAAAAAUCAACAAAGAAGAGUAUGAGAACUACGGAACAAUAGUUUCCAGUGAGUAAUAGCCACCAACCAUGACGAUCUACACUACUAGGCCUAAAAGAGACAAAAAUAGUAAAUAAUUGAGCAGUUAAAGAAACGUAAGUUGAACUGAAAAGAAAACUAACUAUCAUACCUCUAAAGUAAUACUAUCAACUACAAACUUAAACAAGUAAAUGGAGAACAGUAAAACUUUAAUAUGCAUCAAUUACUACAACCAAAUAACCAAUGUCAUAUCACCUAAUCUCAUCGACUAACUCAAUAGUCUGCUUAAGGUUGCGCCGCCUCGUGUGCCCCAACCUAUAGUGGUCCACUCUACGCAGGUUACUGUCUAUCUGACCCAUGCCAAUCGCUCAGCGCAACCUUUGGGGUGGCACUCGUGGUGCGCGACCCCAUCAAGUAUAGCGUAUAUCAUUAUCAAGCUCAAUGUGGCUUUGUAGUCUAUAGUUAUAUGCAAUAAUGAAAAAGACCACAAUAUAUAGUAUUGUCCAGGUGCCCUCUAGCAUAUUCUCGAUAUAUCACAUAGUGUAAAACUUUCCACUGAAUGGAAAUAUAGAAUAAUUUGUGAUAGCUCUAUAACACAUAUACAUCUAUCAAUCUCAAUAGAAAUAUAGAAUCAUUAUGGGUAGUAUAAUCAUCUCAGUUCAAUAGAAAAUAUACACAUAUAGAGCUAAAAUUUCUACUAUAUCAACAAGAUACUACAUAUCUCACAUGCUAAAUAAUACAAAAUAGAUAUAGGAGUCCACUAUUUUUGGCAACUAGAAACCCACCAGGAUGUGCUAUCGUAAAUUAGGAAAAGAAAGGAAAAGGGAUCACAGCACCAACUUUGGAUAAACUCUCGUGUACGUUUGUCACGCCCCGCGACCAACCGCCUAUUUGGACCGGGUCGCGGCGCCGACGACAGACCACCGAACGGACCGGGAAUUCCCCUGUACGCGGACAGAGUCUUCCCAGUACGUCCAAGGCGUCGCAAUCCAAACAAUCAACGAAUGUUCCAACAAGGAAUGGAUAUCAAUCCAGAUUGCAUAAGGAAGUAUCAAAUAUAUAAUCUACUUGCUAUUACAAGCAUUCAUUUCACAACCACGUUUACAUUACAGUUUCAGUUUACCUUUUUACUUCCCAAGUACAAUCUCACUAUUACAUCAGAGUUUACAAGUUUGAUACAUUUUCUUUUCGUCUUCUAGACCCUUAAGCUAGACUGUCUCAGGGUACUGCUACCUCGGUCUCUGUGGUGGGGCGCUAUCUACUGAGCUACGCCCUCGCCUCGCGCCGCCGCGCCGCACACGAACGACCUGAAAACCCCAAAACAACGUGGGGUGAGAACCAACUCCAUGGUUCCCAGUGGGUACGGCGACCCAAGGGAAAAGCUCGACCGAUAGGUCCGAGGAGGCACUGCAACAUGUUAGUUCAACAAUAUACAACAGAUAUAUAUAUUCAAUUGAAAUACAUGCCAUGCCUCACGAUAUGCGAUAUGAAAAUCAUGCAACAACUAGUAGAUCAUUUGAAUUCUACUUUUACUUGGCUACUUUAGCUCAUAACUUUACUCUAAGGUUUCUAUUACCUUAGGAUCACAACACCAACCACUAGCUUCUAAGGUUUCUAUUACCUUAGCUCAAGCCUCUAUCUCUGGCUCAUAAGGGUUCCUCUACCCUAUCAUAGCUAACCACCCGACUCGGCUUCGAGUCAAUCAUCUGCGGAUAGUCCGCGCACUGGCUGCUCAACAGCCUACCGCACUCUCUCUGACUCAGCCUCCUAGCGGCGAAAUCGUCGCACACGCUGAACACGGCUCGAGUCACAAGACUUGACCAUCGGUGGCGAUCGCGUUGCACUUACCCAGCGUGAGCUCGAGACAUGACAUACCGUCUGGCGGCGAACGGGUCGCACCACACCCAACAACGAUCAUGUCAGACUCAGUCACCUGGAGGCACCCGCAUCGUACUUACCCAGCAUGGAUUCAGUCUACUCUGGCGGUCUGAUCCUCAAAUGGCUUAACCACUCUGGCGGCGAAAUCGUCGCACAAACGCCAGCACAAUGGUUCAAGCCCCGGGCGGUGAUCUCCAUGUGAUCGCCCCCAAUCUACCCACGGUACCAAGCUCGGCGGCGAAAUCGUCGCACGAACGCCCUAGCCUGUACCAGGGACAUCAUAAGUCCUGGGAUUCCGGAAUCCACUUACCACAGGUCGAGGGUUCAUAGCCAACCCUAUACUGUCGACCUAGCUCAAUCUAGUGGCUAUACCACUAUACUCAUCAACCUAGGUUCCAACACUCUAGGUUCUAUGUCCACAUCACUUAACCUAGAUACACUUGCUAGGUUCUUAUCAUCUUUGCCUAGAUGUCCACUUCUAGGUUUACUAGUUCAACCUAGGUUUACUAACACUAGGUUAGAUGCCACACACCUAGAUUGUUCAACUCUAGGUUUACUAACCAACCUAUGUUCUUUAACACUAGGUUAGAUGCCACUCGAUCUACCUGACAACCUAGUUGUCCAAUCAUCUCUACUCAUCCUAGAGUUAUCAUCUGGUUUAUAUACAUAUACCAUGCAUCAUGCUUUCUACUUAGCAAUUACUCUUUGCAUCACUACUAACAUGCAUCCUUUACUUAGCAUCCUCAUCCAUGCAUUAUUAUUAAUAUGCAUUUACUUCAUAGCAUGCAUUACUUAGCAUUACAUUAUUAUCAUGCAUCACUAGCAUUAUGUAACUUGCUCACUAUGCAUUUCUACUAAGCAUUUUCAUCUAUGCAUUACCAUUAUCAUGCAUUACUCUACAUUAACUAGCAUUAUCUAAUGCCAUAGUCAUUAUGCUCCACUAUGCAUUGUUAUUAAUAUGCAUUUGCUCUAAGCAUUACCAUUUAUCAUGCUUUCUACUUAGCAUCUACUUUAUGCAUCUUUAUUAACAUGCAUCCUUGCUCUUGUCUACAUGCACAUGCAUCAACAUGAGAUUACAUUGCUAAGACAUAAAGGGCGACCUAGUCGCUUCGGUAAGCACAACCCACCUUAACGCGUUCCGAUUGCUCGUCGACACUUGCAAUCGGCCUCCCGCGGCACUCGGCACCCUUUGGGCCCGGCAAGCUCUUGCGCCUCAACCGUGUUCCGCUUUACAAAUCCAGAAAUUAUAGGUCUCCGGUUAUGCGCCACGAUGCCACACGUCCGUUCCCACGACCAUACGACGCCGUCUCGGACCUACAGGCAAGAAUGAAGCCUCAAGGCUUAUUCUUUUAAUAACUUUAAAACGGUUCGACGAAUGCUCAAUCCGUCUUCGCCCACGCGUUUCUUGACCUAACAAUUAGGUUUCCAAGCACUCAAAAUAGAUCAGAACCCCACAUUAGCAAAAUCCCCAUUUGGGAUGCCCUAAUGCAACAUAGGCUUAAUACCUCGGAUUUGAUCUAUAAAACAAGCAAAAGAAAGCUUGUUUAUCAUCUAGAAGCUCAUCUAGGAGCAUUCGAACUCAUUCUAGGGUGUUUAAAACAAACCCUAGAAAUUCACCAUUAGAGCUUCAUGAGAUAACCAUGGAUUUCAUAGUGUUCUAGCUCUCCACAAGGUUCUAAUUAAGUUAAAAGCUCCAAAUCUCUAAGUUUUAGGGUUUAUAAACCCAUCUAUCAAGACCCACCAUGAGAGGGAGCAAGGAGCUUACCUCUCAAAAGCUCCAAAAUGAGGAAGAAGAUGAAGAUGAGGAUGAAGAUGAAGAUCUUCUUCUUCUCCUCCUUGCUUUUCUCUUUUUCUUCUUCUCCUUCUUUCUCUCUUUUCCUUUCUUUCUCUCCUUUCUUCUUUUCUUCUCCCUUCGGUUGGGCACGAGCAGAGAGAGAGAGAGAGCUGUGGGAGUGAGAGAGAGUGAGAUAAAACACUCUCUAAUAGUGUAUUGUAACAAUAUCCACCUAGCCCCUCAAUAUUUCCAUUUUUCCAACUUAACCCACCGUUCUGGGUCCCUUGUACCGGUACACGGGCUCUUGUACCGGUACAAGGCCCGACAGACAUCUAAAACCGAGAGCUGGCUCGCUCAGUUUCGCGGGUUUUGUACCGGUACAAGGCCCCCUUGUACCGGUACAGCGCCGUAGCACUGUUCCGUGAUGGUUGUACCGGUACAGCCAUCAUGCUUGUACCGGUACAGCACCUGCAGCAUGCUGUUUUCACUUCUUUUCGGCUCUAUAUCGCGUCGUACAAUGUCAAGACCCUUCCAACUCCUUUGGAACUCACUUUUACUCUUCCAAUCAUGUUGGAACACCAACGGAAACUUGUCCAUCCAUCCUCUUCGCAUACUUUAGUCGUUUUAGCUAAAGUUCGAUAAUUCUUCCGAAACCUCGGGGGUUACAAGGUUCCAACUCUGUAUGGUCCGAAGAAACAGUCACGCAUGGACGUCCUUGAUCUCCUCUCAAGAUCAAUAUUUCUCAGAUUGUGAGAUGUGGAGAAAAUUGAGUAAAAGAGAGAAACAGCUUAGCAACCUAAUAAAUGGUCCUGAGCCAAAAUGCUAUGUUUCGGACACCCCAAAUCCAUUUUGGGUGUUUGAAAUUCUGGUUAGUCAGCUGCUGACUGACCUACUUCACAACGCUUGUCACAUCACACCGACCAACUUAUUUUCGAAAACCUAUAGUAGAUUUGGGCGCAGAACAUAGGCUCGAAUCAUUUGUAUGCAUCCUCAACACACAGGGCAUCCGAAACCAGCGUCUGAAAUAACAUCAUCCCAAAUCGCCACAUCCGAGCAUCCGAAUCCUCUUUCAGGUGUCUGAAACUGCACCAAGUGCAUAGUGAGUUGAUUUCACUUUAUUGAUUGUGCUUUCAUGUCAAUUUUGCACCAAAAUGACUCCUACCCAGUCAAACACUUCUCAAAGAUUAUGACUAACAUCUCAUAAUGCAAACUUACCUAUUGCACCCUCCCGUUCCACAAAGAGUUUCACCCUCAAAACUUGAAACUGAACAUAUCUCAACUAAGUCUCAAAUGAGUAGGGGUAGGUCUGUCUCAUCUCCUCCUUAAGCUCCCAGGUCGCCUCUCACUUCUCAUGGUUGUUCCACAAGAUCUCCACAUAGGGAAUGACCCGAUUUCUCAAUUCCUUCUGCUUUGAUGCCAGAAUUUGAAUCUAUUGCUCCUUAUAGUUCAAUCCUUGCUCUACUUUAAUGGAGCAAAAUCAAUCACAUGCGAGGGAUCAAAGACAACCCCUCCUCAAGGUUGAGACAUAGAACAUGUCAUGAACUCCUGCCAAUCAUGGUGGUAAGGCAAUCCUGUAGACAACUAGUCCAACUUGCUCCACUACCUCAAACGGCACAAUGAAACGUGGGCCGAGCUUUCCAUAUAUUUCAAACCUCUUUAUUCCUUUAGAUGGUGAGACUGUUGAGAAUACGUGAUCUCCAAUCUGGAACUCUAGAUCUCGUCGUCGCCGUGUAUCAGCAUAACUCUUUUGUCGACUUUGGGUAGUCACCAAAUAUCGUCGUACAAUUCUAACUUUUUCCUUAGUUUCCAAUAAAAUAUUAGGAUUCAAAGUUUUCGUUUCACAUACUUCAUCCUAAUAUAAAGGUGAUCGAUACUUUCUUCCAUAUAAUGCUUCAAACAAAGCUAUUCUGAUACUUGCGUGAUAACUAUUAUUAUAUGCAAACUUCGCCAUUGGCAAGUAUCGAUGCCAUCCACCACCAAACUCAAGGAUGCAACCUCGCAACGUAUCCUCUAAAAUCUAAUCGUCCUCUAUGUUUGUCCAUUGGUUUGUGGAUGGAAGGUCAUGCUGAACUAUAGGUGAGUCCCCAAGGCUGUUUAUAAACUUUUCUAAAAAUGAAAAACAAACCUCGGGUCUCUAUCUGAUAUUAUAGAGGUAGGAACUCCAUGCAAUCUCAUAAUCUAAUCCAAAUAUCUCUGAGCGAGUCUCUCUGAACCAUGUAAUUUGUUCUAGUAUAAAGUGAGUAGACUUCGUCAAUUUGUCCACAAUCAUUCAUACUGCAUCAUGCCCACUUUGCGAUCGCAGUAAGCCAAUCACAAAAUCCAUAAUAAGUAUGUCCCAUUUCCACAUUGGAAUAGAAAGUUUUUGAAGUUUGCCAGCUAGUACCAGAUGUUUAGCUUUAACUUGUUGACAGGUCAAGUAUUGUGCUAUAAAUCUCCCAAUAUGUCAUUUCAUUCCAAUCAACAGUAAUGUACCUUUAAAUCCUUUUACAUUUUAGUCCAUCCAGGAUGAAUAGUGUAAGUUGAGAUAUAAGCCUCUUUCAAGAUCUUCUUACCAAGCUUUAAUCCAUAGGUACACAUAACUGGUCCCGAAAUCUCAAUACGUCUGAGGCAUCAAUAUUGAACUUCCCUGCCUGUCCACUCUCUACCUCUACUCAUACUCUCAUCAAUUGUGGAACUAUACUCUAUUUCUCUUUGAUCUUUUCUAAUAGAGUAGGUUGCAAGACCAUAGAUAUAAGUCUUGCAGUAGUCCCAAGGGAUACCACCUCAAGUCCAAACCGCCUUAUCUCCUUUAGUAAUGGUGUCUAUCUCACAAUCAUCAUACUCAGGCUCUCCACCGAUUUGAGACUUAAUGCAUUUACUACCACAUUAGUCUUGUCAGGAUGAUACAAUAUAGUUACAUCAUAAUCCUUUAUGAUAUUGGAUAGUGACAAUUAUAAUAUUUGGCACCAUAAAAUUCAAUAUAUUCUCGCUGUGUAAGAGGUUCUAAAAAACUUGAGUAAUAAAAUGGAUCAACCCGCAGAGAGCAACAACGCUUAGGCUCGUCGAGAUAUGGAAGCCUAUAAUAAUUGGUUUAAAAAGGAUCGCAUUGCUUGUAUCACGUUGCUGAGUGGGAUGCAGAAUGAUCUCUUGUGCGAAUAUGAGCAGUACACAACUGCGCAUGACAUGUGGGAGGCUCUCAAAACUAAAUUUGAUGCGACUUUGGCCACAAUGUUGCACUGCCUAACCAUGCAAUUUGACAUUUUGUAAUAUAUGAGAUUUUGAAUAAAAGAAAUUCAAAUUUGAAUCUUGAUAUUUGAUAUAUAAUUUGAUAUAUAUAUAUAUAUAUAUAUAUAUAUAUAUAUAUGUGUGUGUGUGUGUGUGUGUGUGUGUGUGUGUGUGUGGAUAUAUAUAUAUAUGGAUUAUAUUUGGAUACGGAGAGGGUGGGCUUUGUCGCAAAUCGGCAGCCAAAUCAGGCGAAACAAAAUAGUAAUGUAGAUGUCUUGGUUGUGCUGAACGUGCUGGUGCAGUCCGUUCACAAAUCUAAUGGACGGAUCUCCUAAUAUCGCGCGAGGAUCGACGAGGAGACAUAACUAGCAAAGUAUAAAUUUGCAAAAAUUCCUAUAUUUUAUGUACCGUUUUGCGUAAAAUCGAACGUGGUGGUUUGUACACACGUUUUACUCGCACCGUGAGGUACUCAGCCGAAAAUACUAAUCAUUGGUAGGCUUAUUUGCAAGUUUACCACCUUGUAUAUAAUAGCUAACUAGGGUUUUAUUAUGGUGUUUUGUGGCAGCGGGUGACUCAUGGCAUGAGUCGGUGAGCCCUGGGACACUUCGUGGGUCCUAGCGGAGUUCCGGUGCGAUUUUCGGAACUUCCGGCGAGUUACGAGUGUGUAGGGUUGUGAGUUUAGUGUUUCUUAUUUGUGGGUUAAAGUGGUAUCAGAGCCAAGUUACAACCAUGGCUCCACUCACGCAUUGUUUUGAAAAAAUAAUAAACUGAAACAUUGAUUAGGUUGACCUAUAGGAAGACCAGCGGUAUAUAGGCAUGCGAGUGCGGGGUUUUGGCUUGAGUCCCAAUGUGCGUUGUCGAGUCGAAUUAUUCACUUGACGGUGUUUUCUAUUGCAGAUGGUUCGUGGUAGACCCCGUCGUUUGGGUCUUGGAAGUGGACGCGCUGUUGCGAAGGCAUCGGGCGGCCGGAGUGAGCGUACCCCUACGGGUGGAGGUGGUGGGGGACAGAUGGGCCCUGAGCCGUUGGGUGACACUCGUAUCCAUUAGCUCGAGGCCCAGGUAGCCGAGAUGAAGGGUCAGCUGACGACCCUCUCCGGGAUGUUCUAGCUGUUCUUAUAGCAGCAGACUGCAGCUGCUUUUCCCUCGGCCCCACCUCUAGCGCAAAGCACUCCGGUGACUGCGAACCCUCCGGUGAUGUCUGCAUCGGUUGCGGCUCCGACCGACACGACAACGACGACGGCCACCACGACGGUUUCUGCUGGGGGUGCUCGUACCCCUGAAGUAGAGGGCGCUCGUAUUAGGGCGAAGUUGGAGGAGUUCCGGAAGUUUGACCCCCCGAAAUUCGUAGGAAAGAACGAUGAGAGUUGGGCGGUCGAGCACUGGGUCGCCCACAUGGAGAAGCUGUUUCAUGACCUGCAUAUCGAGGAACAGGAUAAGGUCCCUCUGGCUACCCACUGCUUAGAGGGAGAGGCAUACUAGUGGUAGUUCCGCCACUUCUAGAAGAAGCUCGCGGAGACCUAUCUACCCUGGAAGGAGUUUCGAGGACUCCUCUACGACCAGUACUUCAAGAACAGCACCAAACAGAGUCUGGAACGAGAACUGGAGCACCUCAAACAGGGCAACCGCACUGUUGCGGAGUAUGACCAAGACUUCACUUGCAUCGUCGAGCGGAUUCGAUUCGCGGUCCGUGAUGAGUAUCACAAGGUCCGGCUGUUUGCGAGGGGGCUAAGGCCUAACAUUCGACUCCUGAUUGCGUCCCACGGUGUGAUAUCUUUUGUUGAGUGUCUGGAUCGGGCUCUGAUGGUGCAGAGCGAUAUGGAGGAGGUUCAAUUUGACCAGGACACAUCGGAGAGGAUUGGGGACAAGAAGCAUUCCCACGCUAAAUCGAGCGGUGUGUCAGGAACUUAGAAAAAUUUCUAUGCAGCCCGGUCCCUGGCCUAAAUCUGUUUAGCGAGUUUGGGUUGAAAACGGGUUGAAUCGGGUUGUCAAGGAGACUCAAACCCAACCCGCUGUGGGAAACUCAAGGGUUGUGAAACUUAUGGGAGUUAUGGGUGACUCUUGAGCUUUUGGCUAUUAUGAGGGCUCAUCAUGUAUCAAUAAUGGAUGAGUUAUGUGGCUAGUGGGUGAGUUGAAAAGGCUCAUUAGGCCUAUAAAUAGUGGGGUUGGCUAAGGCCAAGACACACAAGAGAGAGUGUGUUUGUAUGCUGUUUGUAGGUUGUAAUUCUCUUUUUCUAAGUAGUGUAGUAUUUAGUUUUUUUUUUAGAGAACCUCUGCCUCUUUCUCUUGUUUCUUUCCCUCUGCAUACUUAGUCGUAGGACGCGAAGGUCCGAGCUUGCAACAGGGAAGUAGGCUUGUCCAUCGUCGAGCAGGAAAGGUGGGCGUCGCACGGGCUUUGCAAAAAAAAAUGCUAAGGUCGUGAUAGGUGGCUCUUUUUCCAGUAAGAGGCCACCCAAUCAUCCACGUACUCAGUAGUCGGCGAGGAGUGCACCCUCUAGCAGCUAGCGACAGGGUGAUUGAUCCUGUGUGAUCUGUGGGUAGGCACAUCAGGUGACUGCUUGCUCGCAGCGGAGGGACCACUACUUCUGUUAUGGCUAGCCGGGCCACCUUUGAGUCAAAUGCCCCAAAGGUGGUUGGGCUACUCAGAGUGCUGCUUCCUCUCCAGCCGCACCGCAACAGUACCGUGGAGUCUCGAGUGCUAGUGCUUCAUCUGGGCGUCCCUCUACCUUACGCCAGAAUGAGGGGGCACGCUAGUCAUCUGGUGGGCUUGUCUACAACAUGUCCCGGCCCGAGGGUGACGCAGGUGGCGACGUUGUUACAGAUAUUGUCACCCUCUACACCACUCAUGCUAGGGCUCUCUUCGAUAAUGGAGCAUCUCAUUCAUUCAUUUCGCAUUCAUUUGCAUGUGAUCAUGGCUUUUCCUCGAGUCCACUUGCUACGACGAUCCGGAUUGAGAUGCCCGGGACCGAGCUGGAAGCGAAAUGGUGCAUUAUGUCGUGCCCCGUUGUUUUGGGCGAUCGGGCGUUUCUGGCAAAUAUGGUGCUACUCCAAAUAAAGGGUUUCGAUGUGGUGCUUGGGAGGAUUGGCUCACCAGGCACCACGCUUCUAUCCAUUGCGAGUGGAGGACGGUGACAUUUGCUGUACCCGAUGAAGAGGAGUUUGUCUAUCGAGCGUGUAAGAGCUCCUAUUUUGCCAUGACUAUCUCUUCAGGUAGUGCAAAAAGGCUUAUGAAUGGCGGAUGCGUGGCUUACCUAGCUUCGGUGGAUGUCAUCCGCUGCGCGGCACCAGCAUUGGAGGAGAUUCCAGUAGCCCGGGAGUUUCUGGAUGUUUUUCCAGCGAAGCUACCGGGGAUGCCUCCGGACCAGAAGAUCGAGUUCUUCAUCGAGUUUGUCCCCGGCAUGACACCGAUCUCGAAGGCCCCCUACCGAAUGGCCUUCGCUGAGCUGAAGGAGCUAAAAGCUCAGCUUGAGGAUCUUUUGGAUAAGGGAUUCAUCAGACCUAGCGUAUCUCCCUGGGUGCACCAGUCCUUUUGGUCAAAAAGAAGGACAGUAGUCUGCAACUAUGCAUUGACUACCGAGAGCUCAAUAAGGUCAAGGUGAAGAACAAGUAUCCUCUGUCCCGGAUUGAUGAUCUUUUUGAUCAGCUUCAAGGAUUGUCGGUGCCUUCUAAGAUUGAUUUGCAGUCCGGGUGUCAUCAGCUUAAGAUCCGGGUUGAGGAUGUGCCGAAGACAGCCUUCCGAACUCAUUACGGCCAUUACGAGUUCACGGUAAUGCCGUUCGGGCUUACUAAUGCCUUGGUAGCCUUCAUGGACAUGAUGAACAGAGUCUUUUGGUCAUACUUGGAUCAAUUUGUCGUGACCUUCAUUGAUGACAUAUUGAUAUACUCGCGGAGUGAUGACGAGCACGAAGAUCAUCUCCGACUAGUACUCCAGAUACUUCGAGAGCACAAAUAAUAUGCUAAACUCAAGAAGUGCGAGUUUUGGCUUCGCGAGGUGUCCUUUCUGGGACACAUUGUGACUUCGUCGGGCGUUACUGUGGACCCAAAGAAGAUAGCCUCGGUGGUCGAGUGGCCUACACUAACCACUGUGACCGAGGUCAGGAGUUUCCUUGGGUUGACAGGUUAUUACCGGCGAUCUGUCGAAGGCUUUGCCAAAAUCAUCGCGCCGCUGAAUAGCCUGACCAGGAAAGGAGAAAGAUUUUGGUGGACUACUCAGUGUCAGCAGAGCUUUGAUGAGCUGAAGGAUAGAUUGAUCCGCGCACCCAUUUUGACUAUGCCACGGCUUGGUGAGGACUUUGUGGUCUAUUGCGAUGCCUCACGAGUUGGUUUGGGGUGUGUGCUUAUGCAGCAGGAUCGGGUCAUUGCCUACGCUUCCCGCCAGCUGAAGUAUUACGAGAGGAAUUACCCGACUCACGAUCUUGAGCUCGCGGCAAUAGUGUUUGCCCUUAAGCUAUGGAGGCAUUAUGUCUAUGGGGCACACUGCGAGGUAUUCAUUAAUCACCUGAAACUGAAGUAUCUUUUCACCCAUAAGGAGUUGAACCUCAGGCAACGGCGUUUGCUCGAAUUCUUGAAGGACUAUGACCUCUCUAUCCAGUAUCAUCCGGAGAAGGCAAAUGUUGUAGCUGAUGCCUUGAGCCGGAAGCAGUCAUCAGCUGAGUUAUCUCUCAUGAUUACGACGAGGUAAGAUCGUUUUGUGGAGGAGUUCCACCAUCUCGAGAUAGAGGUUGUUCCCACUAGGGCCACGACCCAAUUAAUAACCCUAGUGGUGCAGCCUAUAUUGACUGAGCGGAUCAUGCUCGGACAGCAGAAUGACCCGCACUUGCAGAAGGUACGGGCGGAUAUCGAGCAGGGCAAGGACGGGGACUUCUCUAUUCACACUAACGGAUCUCUUCGUUUUAGAGGCAAGUGGUGCGUGCCUAGUAACUCGGAGCCGAGGAAAGAUAUCCUAUCCGAGACGCAUCGAUCCCCUUACACGGUUCAUCCCGGUAGAACCAAGAUGUAUCGUGACUUGACGCAGAAUUUUUGGUGGCCUGGGAUGAAGUUAGACAUGGCACAACACGUGGCCUAGUGCUUGGUUUGUCAACAGGUGAAGGCCGAGCACCAGCGACCAGUAGGAAAGCUGCAACCACUUUCGAUACCAGUGUAGAAGUGGGACCAGAUUACUAUAGAUUUCGUCAGCGGGUUGCCUCGAUCGCAGCGGGGCCACGAUACUAUCUAGGUAAUAGUGGAUCGGCUGACGAAAUCGGCUCACUUCCUACCGAUGCACACUACUUGGUCCUGUGAUCGACUGGCACAAUUGUAUAUCGAAGAGAUCGUUCGACUUCAUAGAGUGCCAGGGUCGAUUAUUUCGGAUCAGGACAUUCCCUGGGGUCUGGCAUCCCCUGGGGUCAAGGAUUUCAAAAAAAAAGUAAAUAAAUAAAAUUGGGCACUUUCGCGUUGAUUCUUAAACUUCAAAGGGACCUCGGGACAUGACACAGUCAUAAGAAGUGUGUCGAUCAGACUACGAAACAGCGUGUGAGAAUAAUAUCAAAUAUAAUUCGUGAGUUAAAGUCGGCUAGCGGCACCUUGACUGAUGAGCAGUAAAUCCAAACUAUGGUUCACUUACUUCCUAAUUCGUGGGAACAUAUGUAAGUAAAUUUGGCACAUAAUGAGAGUGUUAAAACUUUUUUGAAUGUAGCAUGACAUCUGAAGUUGGAGGAGAAGCGCCUUGAGGCUAUUAAAACUCCAACUAUCAAUGUUGCUGAGUCAAACUUUCACAGAAUAUAUGGGUUCAAGUGAAAAAGGACUAGUAGGCCUCAAAAUCAUAGCGGAUCAGUGCCUAAGAAUGCGAAGAAUAGCAAAAGAAAGAGAAGCAAACGAGGUGGCAAAAAAGACAAGUCGAAGAUGACCCGUUUCAAUUGUAACUAGCUGGAACACUUCGCUCGCGAUUGCACUGAACCGAAGAAGGUACCCUUUUAUUCUGAUUCUUGCUCUUUUGUUUCCUCUAGUAUGUUUGUUGCUGAAUCUUUUCUUGUGUGGAUUGUAGACUUGGAGCAACAGACGACGUUGCGAGGGAUCGGAUGGGAUUCGUCGAGUAUCAUCAUGUACCUGUUGGGAGCAAGAGAGUAUGCAUGGGGAAUGAUUCGAGUGUCGAUGUAUUAAGCGUUGGCACGUACAAGUUGAUCAUGCGAUGUGGUUGCACUUUGUACCUUCAUUAUGUACUUUAAGGAAUCCGGCGGAACUUAUUCUUGCUAAGUUUCAGUUAGGCUUUUCUUUUAGUUUUAAGAAUGACAAUAUUGAGAUUCAUCUUGAAACUAUUUAUUAUGGAAAAGAUUUUAUUUCAUAUGGUUUUCUGAUUUUGGACAUUAAUUAUAAUAAUAAUGAUAGUAGUUUCUUUUUCUUGCUAUCUUCUGUUGAGAAUGAUCAUAAUGUUUCUAUUAAAUGGCAUACUCGUCUUGGUCAUAUUUGACAGGAUAGAAUGACUAGAUUAGUUAGAGACGGGUCAUUGAGUUCGCUCAUUAAAGUCGACUUGCCCACUUGUGAACAUUGUUUAGCAGUAAAAGCAAUUCGAAAACCAUUUAAUAAAACUUUUAGGGCAGAAUUUUCUUUACAGUUGAUCCAUUCCUAUAUAUGUAGCCCAAUGAGUGUGAUGGCAAGACAUUGUGCUUUUUAUUUCGUCACAUUUAUAGAUAACCAUACGCGUUUCAGUCAUGUCUAUCUAAUCUCCCAUAGGUUUGAAGUAUUGGAUUGUUUUAGAUGUUACAUUAAUUAGGUUGAGGAUCAGUUAGAUAUGAAAAUUAAAUGCUUAAGAACUGAUCGAGGCCGCGAGUAUCUAUCUGAACAAUUUAAGAAAUUGUGUGAUGAAAAGGGAAUAAUCAGACAGUUGACAAUUCCUGGCACUCCGCAGCAAAAUGGCGUAGCGGAGAGAAGAAUCGCACUUUACUUGCCAUGGUUAGAUCAAUGAUGAUGCAAGCAAAUUUGCCUGUCUUUUUUUGGGGAGACGCAUUGUUAACUACUGCCUACAUUCUUAAUCGUGUAUCCUUUAAUAUAGUACUUUUUGUUCCUUAUAAAUUGUGGACAAGCAGAAAACCAAAUUUGGAGCACUUGCAUCCUUGGUGUUCCGUAGCUUAUGUACAUGAUACUUCUCAUAAGUAUAGAAAGUUGGGUCCUAGAGGAAAGAAAUGCAUCUUUAUAAGAUACCCCGAACACUUUAAGGGAUAUGUGUUCAUCGGAAAGCAGCCAGAUGAAAGUUUCAGUAAAAUUAAGUCACGAGAUAUUGAAUUUCUCGAGGAGGAUUUUUCUUAUAAAAGUGAAGUUCGAAAUAAAAUAGAGUUCCAUGAGAUGGAUGACUCUAGUAUUGGCACUUCUAUUCAUUCAGUUAAAGUAGAGGAGGCAACUCCAAUACCUCAUGGGAAUAGUGGGAGUGAGUACCUUUAGAACGGGGGCCUCAACUUUGUAGGAGCACACGUGUGGGUGUUUUCUGUCGUCGUUUUGAGAUUAAAGGGAAAGCUUUCAUGGUUGCUACAUAUGAUGAUGAUGAGCCUAGGUCUUUCCAUGAGGCUCACUCAUCACCUACUCGUAAGAAAUUGUUGGAUGCAAUGGUGGAGGAAAUAGAAUCGAUGCAAUCAAAUCAUGUCUGGGACUUGGUUGAUUUACCGCUAGGGUACAAAACUAUUGAGAUAAAUGGGUUCUCAAGGUUAAGCGCAAUGUAGACGAUUCAACUGAUAAGUAUAAGGCUCGCCUGAUAGAAAAGGGUUUUACCCAAUGAGAAGGCAUUGAUUACGAGGAAACCUUCUCUUCUGUUGUAAGGUUUACUUCGAUCUGCCUAAUUUUGGCCGUUGUCACGUAUUUGAAUUUGAAAUUUCAUCAAAUAGACGUUAAAACUGCAUUUCUCAAUGAAGAGCUAGAUGAGGAGAUCUAUAUAAAUCAGCCUGCUUGCUUUGCUGUAGAGGGUGAGAGGUAUAAAGUUUGCAAACUCCGACGGUCCAUCUAUGGAUUAAAGUAGUCAUCCAGACAAUGGUACAUUCAAUUUCAUUGAGCCAUCACUGAAGAUGGUUUACAAUGAUUGAAGAAGAUCAUUGUGUGUCUGUCAAACGACCCAAAAGAUAUUUUCUAAUCAUUUUCUUAUAUGUUGCGACAUUCUAGUGGCUAGGAAUGACAAGGAGAUAAUUGUCGCCACUCAAACGUGGUUGUCCUCCAAUCUUGAGAUGAAGGACAUGGAUGAAGCAAAUUAUGUGCUCGGAGUCAAGAUCUUACGAGAUCAUUCAAAGAAACUUUUAGGUUUGUCUCAAAAGACUCACUUAAGAAUAGUUUUAGAACGAUUUCAGAUGCACAAUUGCAAAUCCAUUGACACUUCUAUUGCUAAAGGUAAGAGUCUUAACCUUAAAUAGUGCCCUAAAUUUUCUGAUGAAAAAAAUAAGAUAAAUAGGAUUUCAUAUGCUAGUGCGGUCGAGAACUUGAUGUAUGCUAUGAUGUGUACUCGACUUGAUGUAUGCUAUGCUGUGGGCCUGGUUACCCGUUUUCAAUUCAAUCGGUGCUUGGACCACUGGAAGGUUGUUAAGAUUAGCACACAUACAUAUAUUUUUUAUAUUGUUAUAGAAUGAGUUGAUAGUAUGUUGUAGGCUGAUUGGCUAUCUCACACGGGUAAUCAUUCUUUUCGACGCUAUAGAGAGCAAGCGAAAAUUGAGUCAUUAAAGGAAGCGCGUUGGUUGGCACCAAGAUGAGGUCAUAAGCAUGACUGCAUACGAAUAGUCCCACGAUUCGUAUGGCUUGUACAUUAAGAGUCGGAUGUGAUCUCACCGUUUGGCGCUUGAGAUAGCGAGCAAAUGGAAGACUCAAGCUAGACACUCCGAGAGUAACCGAACUAAGAUUCGUAUGGCAUUGACAAAGGCAUACGCUUAUUGAGAUUCUCUAUUAUAGCAUGUAUUUCAUACUACAUGUGUUAAGUGACCAAAUGAAGAAGAUUAGUGAAUGGAUCCCUGCUUCCUCAUCAUGUGAGUUCCUAUGGACAUCAUUUUGAGGCGUUGUCUUAUAUAUGUUAGAUGCCCUUAGGGAAUUUUGACUAUGUCAUUAAGUGAAAGAACUGAUGUUGCUAUUUUGGCAUGUUCCCUACGGCUAUGAGUGACGCGGCUUUACGAAGCAUUGCUGGGAAAGCAAUAGUUCUCAACUUGGUGGCAUGAGGGCUUAAGAAAGACUAGUUGGAUUGCAUUGAGACACUUUGUCUUAUUGUCGACAGGUUGUGUUGCUUCAGCAUAGCGAGAUAAUUAUAAGUAUAGUGUCAUAAUGUGCACAAUAGAGGUUAGCAUGGCUCUUUGAGGGAUUAGAGAUGCUGAACCUAAUAUAAUCCAAUGCUAAGCCUAAUGUAAUCCAAUGGUCUAGGGCAUCAUAAGUCUAAUAUUCUCUUUUGAAGGUUGAUGUCUCUAUACUGGCCAUAUGCGGUUUCUAGUAUAGAGCUCCCAAAAUGCAAGUUGACUUGGCGGUCGCACUAUUCAUUUUCUUGUAUGAAUGAAAUUAAUAGUGGUGUAAUGUUGAGGAAAUGGUUACAAUGGCAUCAAUCCUGUUAUGUGCAAGUGGGAGAUGUUGGCAUUUGGUUAAACCAAAUUGAGUGCUCCCAUGAUCGGGCUCGAUCCGACGGUUAUUAUGUUGUCUAAUUGGAUUAGGAUUAAUCUCGCUUUUAAAUUAGAAGCUAAUUAAAGAUAUAUUCUAAUCAUAUUAGGAUAAUAAUUAUAAACGGAUUCGGCCUAAUCUCUCACUUAUAUAUCAGAAUUUUGGGAUCCCUUAUAUAUAUACGGGUUAUUCUUAUAAAAUACAAGAAAACUUAGAGAAUAAAAUACUCAUAAACUCGUGAGCAAUUUGUGAGCUAUCUUGUUAGAGAGAGAAAUCACAUCCUCCAUUAAACUAUUGCUCUAGAGGGUCUUGAACGGUGGAUUAGAGGUCCUGCUCAUUUGUAGUUCAAUCUACUGUGGGUUCAGAGCGUUAGAAGACUUUCAUAGAUGAUCCGAGAACACAUGAAUCAACCUCUACGAUCCGGGCUCAUCAUGUUCUAGUGUGAGUCACUUCCGCAAAAAAGUAUGAACGAAUACUUUUGCUGCGUUUUACUUAAAAAUUUGUACAGUUCAUUGAGACAUGUUUAGAAUAGAAUAUUAUAUUUGGUAUUCAAAUCUUUUUUCGCAAUAAGAUAAAUCAUCUUAUAAGUAAAAUACUAUUUUACUAAAUUAUGAAUAGCAAGAUUUUUGAAAAAGUAAAAAAAUAAAACUCCUCACUUAUAAUCAUACUAGAAAAUUUUCAUGUGUCUUUUGACAUCCAAUCAGUGUCCUACACUUAUUUGGAUGUCGAAAUAUGAUAGACAAUAAUAACUUAUUUGGUUUGAAAAUUUUUUCUACAUGAUUGGGCAUUAAGAAUUUGAUUUUUGGUCAUUGAAAGAUCUUGAUAUUUAUAAUUUGGCUAAAUUACAUAAAACACUCCUGUCAAAAUAUGAUUUUUCACUUCCCCCCAUCAUUUAUAAACCUACACUUUGCCCCCUUAUAAAAUAAAAAAUAUUCAUAGGGGAUACAGUGUGAAAUAUGAUGACAAAAUGACCAUUUUGCUCUUUACCCAUUUCGUCUUCUCCCUUAUCUUGCUUAUCCGCGGCCUCGAUCGGCCACAGUUCGCGCCUCGAUCAGCUGCGGUUCUUCUCCAUUUUCUUCUCUACCUGCUCCCCUUCUCCUUCUACACCCUCGUCGCCCCUCCAUUUUGGUGACAGUAGAGGGGAAAUCAAGGUGGGCAUAGAUGGAGAGGUGGAAAAGGGCAACGAGGGCGAAAGCGAGGCGGCGGAGGAGGGUGAGAGGGUGUUUGUGGGCGCAGACGGAGAUGUGGGCGAGGGCGAAGUAGUGAAGGAGGGCGAGGCGGCUAGUCGGCGAGGCGGAGGAGGGCGAAGCACAGUAGAGAGGGUGGAGGGUAUUUUUGGCAUAAAAUAAUAUUUUAUAAUGGAACCAUAACGGAUCACUAAUGGUAGGGGGUGAAGUGAACAUUUUUCAUUUUACAAUGGGGCAAAGUGUAGGUUUUAAAUGACAUGGGGGAAAAGUGAAAAAUUGGGUUUUGACUGGGAGGUUUUCUGUAAUUUAGCCUUAUAAUUUUACCAUAGCAUAUUUCGCUUAUAAAAUAAUUUAUUUUAUUAUGAAAAAAAUAAUAUGAAGGCUGAAUAUGAUAUUACGCUCUUCAUCUACCAAAUAUUACAUAUUUUUGAGUAAAUUAAAGGAAUAAAUUAACUAUCCUCCAAUUCAAAUCACGAGCCAACAGCUGAAGGAUAUUAUAAAAUCGCUUAAAUUUAUACAAAUUAUUGAAACUAUUUAAAAUUUAUUUUAUUUAGUGUGUUGCUACUAUAGAUGUUGGAUAUUGAAUGAAAUGAAAUAUUUUGACAUAUGUUAUGUUUUUUUUUUAUGAUAUCAAAAUAUUGUUAAGUUUUUUUUUUUUUUUUUUUCUUGUGAGAGAGAGAUGUAAGGAGAUGAGAGAGAUAUGCUGACUCUGGCUUCAUUUAUGUUCAUUUAUAAAUAAACUUUAUGUUGGAAACUGGAAUUCAACUAGGUAUUCGAACUUGACAUUCGGAUAUUCAACCUAAGCCUUUUCACCUAUGCACUAUUAAUGGUAUUGCCUUAUUAUAGAAAAAUUAUAUAUGAUAUUUAUUAUUAAAUCUAGUGUUGAUGGCAUAUGAUCUAAUAAUUUCUAAUUUUUAAACCGGCUAACAAUAAUUUAGUUUAAUAAAAUUUUUAAUUUAUAAUUUCACAUGAGAAACGGUUUAAACUCUCUAUAUUAAUAACAUUUUAUAAGACCGUUUUGAACAGCCUCUACAAAUAAGAAAAAUAAUUUUGUAGAGGCGGUUUGAACCGCUUCUAUAUUAUAAUAAGAUGAAUAAAAAAUUAUUAAAUAAAAUGAAAAAAAUUAGUUGAGCUGGUUUGAACCACAUUUAUAAGACCGCCUAUAGAGACAGCGCCUACGCCGGCGGUUUAGAGGUGGUUGUUAAAACUGCUUCUACGGUUUGCGAUUUAAAUUGCCCCUACGAUAAUUAAAAUCGUCUCUACGACCGUUUUGUUUUGUACUGAAUAUUCAUGCAUUCAAAUAGAUCAAUCUUAAUCAUGCAACUCUAUGUACAUGAAUGGCUUCACUAUAAGCCCAAAUCAUGUGGAAUGCAAACAAAAACUGACAACAAAGUUCGCUAAAAUCUAAUUGGAAGGUGUCUCGAUCGCUUCUUGUUGCUUAAUGUUCUUCUUGUGGCAGACAUCCCUCCAAAAACUCAUACAAUUGUACAUUAUCCAAAAAGUAGCGGCUCCAAAAUUCUUUUUUUUCGUUUUCAUUUUUGGAAACAUACACGUGGGAGUUAAAAAAAUCGACCUCGCGGAUGCUCUGGGUAACCUGAUGGUGGCUGGCAUAGAAAAUUGUAGAACCCCCGCGGUAGCUUUCGACAACUCAGCCUUACGAUUUGUGUGGUUCAACAUAAAAUCAUAAAGUAUAAUUUUUCGUAGAAAAAAGUUUUGGUGAAAUUUUUUUUUUUUUUUUAUAUUUUGUAGUAUUUGGUUUGAAGAAAAAAAAUAAUUUUCAAUCAACAUUUAUUUGGUUGAAAGAAAAAAUAAAAUUCACAUUUAUUUGGUUCAGUAGAAAAAAAAAAUGAAUGAAAAAAAUUUUACGCAGUUUGAGUUUUUAUUUUUCGUCGGAAAACUGCGACAAACUAAAACUUCAAUUUUUUUUUUUUUCCAAAUCCAUAAAACAUCGAGCCAAAUAAAAAAAAAAAAACAUUUUUCAUACUGAAAAUAAUUUGUCUAUUCGUUUUACGCCGAACCAAACACCCCUUAGCUCUUGAAACAAGCAAUUGAGCUAAAAUCAGUAUGGGCUCGACCAAUUUUAAUGUCCCUCAGUUGAUGGACUCACACAAACACACACUAAAUUUUAGACCUCAGCCCAAAUUGGACGUGAGCCUGGGCCAACCUGCAUUCUUACCUACCGAAAAUUUGAGAACAUUUGGCCUGCUUUUUUCUUCUGUUUUCAACUUUAGUUAUCUCUAAUGCAGUGUUUAGUGCACGAAAUUUCAGAGUUUUGUAUGUGGGGGAAAGUUAAAAUUAUAUUUUGAGACUGGCUUCUCCGGCAGAAAAGUUGUUAGGACGAUUUUGACAUGAUAAUUUUCUAAUAACGCAAGGCAAACAACAUUUCAUCCAACAGUAUUAUGCCUUAUCAUAUAUAUAUAUAUAUAUAUAUAUAUAUAUAGUAGCCUAGUUCUAUAUAUAUAUAUAUAUAUAUAUUUAGAGUUGAGCUAGAAUACUAUCGGUAGCAAAUGAGUUCUGUUGCCAUCCAUUUAUUUUCGAUGAUGGAGCCUCUAAAUCGACGAUCGGCACUGUUGAGCAUGAUCUAUACCAUUUGAAGUGUUUAGAAAUCAAAUUUCAUAUAUUUUCGAGAUUGUUCUCUUAUCCAUCGAUCGAGUGGACACAAAAAUGAACGGCUGAAAAUGAAUAUUCUUUAAAAAAUGAUAAUAAGAGUCUUGUAGUCAAAAUCAAGAGUAUAGAUCUUGUUUUAAAUAGUUUAAAGAAUUUUCUAACAAAAAUUCAAUUGAUUUGGAUAUCUUUACACCGUUAAACGAGAAAACGUCUUAUAUCGACCAUUAAAAUUAUACAUUUUAAAACUCUUUGAUCAUUAGGCAAAUGAUAUCGAAAAGAUUUGAAAUUUGAUUUCUAAAUACUUCAAAUGGUAUAGAUUAUGUUCAACGGUGCCGAUCAUCGAUUUAAAGGCUCAAUCAUUGAAAACAAAUGGGUGGCAAUGGAGCCCAUUUGCUACCGAUAGUAUUCUAUCUCAACUAUAUAUAUAUAUAUAUAUAUAUAUUAGUAUCAAACAGGUAGUUCAUAUUUACGAUAGUGAAUUUUAUAAAAAGUAAAAGUAUUUAUAGAAACUCUAUGGAGAAGUAAUGUUAAUCAGCCAAAGAAGUUCAACUGAGUAUAGAAGACAACCAUCAGGCCGUGCUGGAUUGUAGUUUGUUUUCUCGGCAUUGUUCAGUUAUUAUUAUUUUUUGGGGGUUUUUUUUUACAUUUAGCCGCCGCAUAAUUUUUUUUUACAAUUAGCUUCAUGAAAUUUAUAAUUACAAAAUUGGUCCUAUCCCCGCCACACAAGUGACACGUCAGCGGCUGGCAAGCAUAAGUUGAACACAGUGAACUAUUAAUUUAUCGUGUUUAAACUAAAAUGCACUGUAACGCUAGCUGUUUGAAUUCUUUUACAUUACGGGGUGGACUAUUGUUCAGCCGUCCAAAUGUCUAUGGCAGUUACUAUGUACUCUAGGCAAUUUGACUUGCGGUGGAAUCCUACUUCGAGGUGAAAGUAGGCUUCCAUAUGGCCUGUGGACAUCUUCGAAAAGUUUUUUAAAAAAUGUCAUACUUAUAGUAGUUUGAAAACUAUUGAUUCAAGUUAGCAACAAUAAUUAAAGUGAAGUUUUGGACUUAGCAUGCAUUUGGUGGCUGGGCCAUAAGCCCAUACAGUGUUAUAAUUUUGAAUGUCAUAACCGAGAUGUCCACUACUGUAAAUUUUUUUAUUUGAUUUCUUGCAGUUGAGAAGUGAAUUUGUAGAUCUUGUUAUUUUAUAUGACAGAGGGUUUUUUUGUUUCAUUUAAGAGAUUAAUGAGUAGGUGAGGUUUUCUCCUAAGUUAUAAUUAUUCUCUCUAAUUGUUGCAUUUAAUUUUUAGCUACGCGAUAUUUGGGCAUAGGUUAAAAUGUACAGUCGUUGCGCCUUCAUGAUCUGCAAAUCCAACAUACUGCUGCAUUUAGCAGUAACUACAUACGAUAUAUUAAACAAAAUAUUUUUGCCUUGCUUGCGGUUAACUCUACAUGGUACGUAGCUUCCACUAGGGCGAAUCAAAUAAAUACCUAUAUAUAUUGUGCAUGAUAAUGUAUCUUAUUGUGUAGGGUUUCUAGUAUACAUAUAUCAAAGUGUUACACCCAAAAAGAGUCGACACGUCACAUUUCAACCACAUGUGCAUUGCGUGAGUUGUUCUCGAAGCGGAUGCAAUAUAUAUCCUAAUAAGAGAACCAUGCAUGACUGCAUGCACAUGAAUAGACGAGACCAUCUAUAUAUAUAUAACACGCAAAAAUAAAUAUCACUACUCCUAAAACAAGCAAACCACGUGAGCAUGCAACAAAAUUUACGUAUAUUUUUCAACCAUUGCACAAGAUAUAAACAUGCACGCACGAUGUCUCCUAUCACAGAACCAUUUUCUCUUUCUUAGUUUCUUGAUUCGUUGAAUAAAUCACACAACCAAGACUAAAUAGGAAGAACAACGCACGUGCCCGUAUCUCUUAAUUUGUUAUCCGAUACUUUACAACUAAUUAAUUUAAACAAAACAGAUAAGAUAAACGUAAUAGAAGUAGACAUGCUGUGGACUUUGAGCAACUUUAGGUAGGAGUAGCGAGUCUUAAAUCAUAUUGUAGAAACACAUGCAGGAGAAAAAGGACAAAAAGAACCAUAUCUUGUUGUCUAACAUAAGUUUAGGAUGCAUGUAACACGACAGGAGAGGAGUCACGAAAGAUUAAAUGCACCAGUACCAGUCAAAAUUUUGAAUAUUUGAAUCUAGUCGUCUUAACUUUCAAAAUUUUAUAUAUUUCAUCUAAACAUUCAAAAUUUUAUGAUGGGCCACAUAGAUUUAUACUUUAGGAAUUUAUAUUCCACCUAAAUAAUUUAGGACACAGGCCGAUAAUAUAUAUAGAAGGAUCUUUUUGACAUCAAAAUUCAAUCAUACAAGAUAAAAAUUAAUUUCUAACACUUGAGUUUCACAAAUCAAAUGGAAUAAUUUCAAUUAAUUUGAUUCACCAAAAUAGUAUUUGGUAUAGGGUAAAUUGCACCGUUACCCCCUGAACUUUUGACGAAAUUUCACUUUACCCUUCGAACUCCUAAAAUGGACAUCUAACCCCUUAAACUCUAAUGUUACAUUCAUAUUACCCCUUCCGUCAGUUUUCCGUCAAGCUCCGUUAACCGGAAACUGACGGAAGGGGUAAAACGAAUGAAAUAUUAGCUAUUGUUUGGUUGGGGGUUAAGGGGUGGAAUAACCCUUAACCCCCAUUUUAUCCCCAAACACCUCAAAAAAUAGGUGGGGUUAGCUAACCCCACCUCAAAUAAAUUAUCUCGGGUUAGCUAACCCCACCUAACCCCACCAAACUCCAACCAAACACUAUUUUCUAUUCAUAAUAACCCACUAUCUUUCUUAUCACACCUACUCCAACCAAUCAUUAUCCUUCUUUAUCAAUCAUUAUCUUCUUAUCCCACCUACUCCAACCAAACACUAUUUUUCAUUAUUCUAGACUAAAUCCAACCCCCAACCAAACACAAAAAAACUUUAACCCCACUUUAACCUUGAACUUAACUCUAUCCCUGGAAUAGCUACUUUUUCCUUAACCCCGAACCAAACGGAGGCUUAGAGUUUAGGGUGUUAGAUAUCUGUUUUAGAAGUUUGGGGGGUUAAGUGAAACUCGCCAAAAUUAAAGUUCAGGAGGUAGUAGUGCAAUUUACUCCGUAAGGGACUCCUGACUAUAAAUUAUUUUAUUAUAAUAUGUUACUUAUGGAUUGAUUACUAAUCCUCAAGUUAGUGAUCAUGUUUGAUUUUGAAUUUAUAUAUAUUUUUAAUCCUAAAAUAAAUCACACCAUGAUUUAUCCUACAUUUUAUUGUAAUAAAAUAAAAAUGAAAUAAAUGAAUUAGAGUGGCUUAAAGAUAAAAAAAAGAGCGAUACUAACUACCUACGAUGCUCGAACACUCUACUAUCCUGAUGUACUCGCUAAUAUGGUUGAUUUACAAUAGGUGUCCUCACUCGGAUAUAGAGAUUUUAAUUCUCAGUUAAUUUUCUGUAGUAUUCGUUUGUCCAUUUUUAUCUUUAGAAGUAUUGUUCUAUAAAAUACACUUAAANAAGAGAGAGAGAGAGUUAUCCAAUGUGUUGAGUGCACCUAGUGCAUGGGUGCGCGUGGAUGAUUGUCUUCUUUGUGGAAUUAUAGAAGACGAGAGAAGGGUAGAAGAGAUUCAAGAAAGAGGGCUCAGGUUGUAGCUACUCUGUGCAGAAGAGGAGUCAGGUGUAAUCUUCUCUUAUUUAAUAAAUCUUAUUUUACCUGCAUAUUUUUCUCUUUUAUGAUUGUAUCAGCUUUUUGCUGAGGAGACGGGUUUAUGGUAAAAAUCCGAUUUGACGUUUCCGUUGCGGAAUCCCAACAAUCGUUACCGGAUCCACAGCAGUCGGUAUCGGAGCGAGUUGCGGAUUCACGAGAUCCGGUACCGGGCGAGUACCGGAUUCCCAACAGUGGAAAAUGAGGAAGGGGAUGAACAAGAACGAUGAUGGCAUCGGCGAUGAUGGCCUCAUGGUGAAUGUGAUGUGAGAGAUGAGAGAAAUGAAGGAAAUAGAAGAGAGGGGCAUUUUGGUAAGAAUUCUAAUAGUCUGUCCCGAAUUUGCAAAAAUAAAAAAAUGGCUAAAUUCUAUAAAAACAUAAAAACGGUGAAUUUUUUAUGCGAAAAAAAGAGUGCUCUGUCUAGACAUGCUUUGAUGCCCACCAAAAAUAAAAAGUGCUCUCUGAAAAUCAAAACAAAUGAAAAUAAAAGAAAAAAAAUCAAGCAGUAAAAACAAAAAGCCUUACAAUAAUGCUACUUCUGAGAAAAUAAUUUUGUUUGCAAAUAUUUGGGCACAUCUAGUGUGACGCCCUACUUCACAAAGGGCUACUCAUCCUAGAACUACUCUAGUUCUAGGCUUCUAGCAUACCUAACCCUCUUAACCUCUUUAGAUCUAACGACCGCCAAAAUGUUAUAACCGAGUUAAGAGGUUUAACCCUAUUAUAUCUUAUAUAUAGGACUAUUCUAACUUCUGGUCGUUUCACACAUUUUUAUCCCAUUUAAACUCUGACGUCCUCGUCAGGCUCAAGCACACUUACAAGUACCAAGCUUUGUGAAACUUAUCUUAAUAGCUUUAACCGACCUUGUUGGGAGCCGCAUUCCACCCACAACAAUCGUCAGCCAGGAAGCCUGCUCUACCUGCUUUACAGCUUAGUUGAGACUCAUCUCAUACUUCUGCUAAGUUAUUGGAUCUGAUACCAACUGCGAUGCCCCACUUUCUAGGGAGAUCACCUAUUUUGGAACUACUCUAACCUUAACACGCUUAAUCUUCUUAACAUUUUGGGCCUAACCACUACCUAAAAUGUUAUAGUCGACCUUAGAUGUUUGGCCCUAUUAUAUCUUAUAUAUAAGAAUAUUUCAAAUCCUAGGGUUGUCGCAUUCCUCUCCAUUUAAGUCCUGACAUCCUCGUCAUACUCAAUCACACUCAUAAGAACCAAGCCAUGUUAGAUUCCUCUCAGUAUCCUUAGCUGACUUUGUGGGGAGUCGCAUUUUACCUAUAACAGUCGUCAACUUGGGAGCCACGCUCUACAUGCUGUAUAACCACAACUCAAUUGAGACCUGCCUCACACUUCAGUUAGUUAUUGGCUCUGAUACCAAUAGUGACGUCCUGCUUCCAAGGGGGUCACCUAUCUUAGAACUGCUCUAAUCCUUGCACAUUUAAUCUUCUUAACCUCUUAAGCCUAGCCACUGCCUAAAAUGUUAUAGAUGGGUUUAGAUGUUUAGUCAUAUUAUGUUUAGUCAUAACUGAAUUAUUUUUUAUAUAAAAAUUAUAAUAAUACACCAACACAAUUAUAAAGUAAAAAAAAUAUAAAUACUUAACUAAUCAAUUUUCAUCAUAUUUUAGAUAUACAAACUAAAUGGAGGAAAUAAUAAAACUUAACUAAUCAAAUUUUACCAUAUUUUAAAUUUGCAAACUAAAUAAAAGAGUAAUUAGUACCGUAAUUAAAUAUAUUUAAAUAUAACUAGCAUUACUCAUUGUAUUAUUUUAUUAGUUUUUUCUUGACCUCUCUUCUCCGUAAUUGACUUCGGCCCGGGGUGGGCGGAAGUCAAUUGCAUUAUCUCGGAUAACUCGAAUUUUGACCAUUUUUUAUUACGGUGAAACAAACAGUGGAAGUGAUUAUUUUUAUGGCCGAAACGACUUCAGCUUUCCCUACUUUCACUCAAACAAACAGGCCCUUGGUGAUUGAAACAUUUAAACCUGAUUAUACAGCAUCUUAGGCGGUGGCUCAGCUCAAGAGAUUGAGAGGGUUAAGCGUGCUAGAACUACAGCAGUUCUAGAAUAGGUGAUCCUUGGGAUGUGGAGCGUCACACCUAGCUAAUUAGCAUGGCACGCUUGUGCGCAUACACACAUGAUUAAAAAUAAGGGAAGAUGUGCAUGGCGUAGUUGAGGUACUAUUUAAUAAAAUUUCGUUGAAAUGUACAGUUUGCUGAGCAACAUCUAUCCCACCAAGGAUACAACUUGGAUUGUAUUCAUAAUAUAUUAGGAUCCAAAAGAUUCUAUGUUUUGUUUGUUAGUAUGAGGAUGUUAUAACUUUAAAUUAAAAUUUUAAUAUUAAGGAAUUUUUUAAUUAAAAGCAUCUUUAAAAUAAAAAAAACUCGGUUUAUCCGGGAACUUCUAUUUAAAUCUAAUAUUAAUUGAAGGUUGUUUAAUUAUUUAUAUCAUAUGAUACGAUGAGAUUAAUAGAGUUUAACAAAUGCUUACAAGUUGUUAGGUAUUCAAAGAGUUACUGAUAUAAAUAAAGAAUCGAAGCACUAAGUACUGGUUGAUGGUUAUAUACUUUACAUUGUUCGACCUUUUAAAAUAUUUUUCAAACAUUUUAACACGAAACAUUCAUAUCGUGAUGCAUGAGAGAGAUAUAAAUAAAUAACUACCUAUAUAUUAUAGUAGAAUAUUCUUGAUCUACACCGUUAAUAAAUCCCGUAUGUGUAGAAGAGUGUAUUUGAGAUCGUACGUAUACGGUCUCAUAUGCCGAUGAUAUAUACACAUCCGAAAACUUAGAGUAAGGUAUAGUUUAGUUGUUAGGGAGCUAGUAAUGUUUGUCAAUUGUAACAAAAAAGAAAAAGAAAAAGAAAAAGAAAAAAGAAAUUAGUUUUGCCAAAUAUAACAAACAAGUCUGCAUUACAUGUAUGAGAAAGCUUCCUAUAAAAUUUUUUUGAAAUUACUCCUGUGUGAUCUAAUAAUUCGGAAAAUAUUUAGAUCGAUCGUAGCUUAUGCUAAAGUUCUAAGUUCGUUCUUAAAAGACAUCAUCUUGUUAUGAUUUUAAGUCANUCUAGCUAUAUACUUGCUCUGAUAUCUCUAGUUGUAGAUCUUCUCAUGCUUUACUCUUCCGCUUUUGUGUAGACGCCUUAUAUGUGUAGACAUAUGGCAGGUCUGGGCGCGCACCGGGCGGGCCUAUGCCGGGUCCCGGGGCGUGACAGCGAGCGUGCAGAAUUUGGCCCUGAUGUGUUGCGAGAGGCAGAAGAGAAAGUCCACCUUGCUCGCAAUAGAUUGCUCACGGCGCAGUCUCGACAGAAGAGCUAUUCGGAUAAACGCCGUAGAGACUUGGAGUUCGCGGUGGGUGACUGCUUUUUUCUUAAGGUUUCGCCCGUGAGAGGCAUUAAACGGUUUGGAGUUCGGGGAAAGCUAAGUCCCCGGUAUAUCGGCCCUUAUGAGAUUUUGGAGCGGAUUGGGACGGUGGCUUAUCGACUCGCAUUGCCGCCGAAGCUUGCCGAUGUGCACAAUGUAUUCCACAUCUCCAUUCUUCGCAAAUACGUACAUGAGCAUGCAAUGUUGUAUGACCCACCAGAACUUCAAGAAGAUUUGAGUUAUGAGGAGUUUCCGGUGGCGAUUAUCGCUCGAGUGGUGCGUAAGUUAAGGAAUCGAGAAAUUCCCUACGUCAAAGUCCGGUGGAGUAAUCACGAUGACCGCAAAGCCACCUGGGAGCUCGAGGAUGAAAUGAAGGCGAAUCACCCUCACCUAUUUGAGGAUUGAGUUGAGGUAUGAUUUAGAGUUUAAGUAUGAAUUAAGUUUAGUUAAGUUGAGUUCGUUUCCAGGACGAAACUCUUUUAAGGUGGGGAGGAUGUAAGGAAGUGAAUUCUCGAAAUUCGAGAGUUGAACUUCGAUUGGGAUCGACUAAUUGUCGAGUUGAUGUGCUUCGGAGAGUCCAAAGUCAUCAAAAAUGUAUAAAGUGCAUUGAGGAGGACCCGCGAGAGCAAGCUGUGUAAAAUCUGCACAAAUGGCAGGUUUGUGCUCUCGGGGACCGGUCCCUCUGGGAGGGGACCGGUUCCCGUAAGCAUGUGGAGGUUGAGCUGAUGCUCAACCUGCCCAAGUUGCUCUCGGGGACCGGUCCUCCUUAAGAGGGACCGGUCCCCGUAUGCGUGCAAAGUUGAGCUGAAGCUCACCUGGGAGAAAUUUGCUCUCGAGGACCGGUCCUCCCUUAGAGGGACCGGUCCCCGUAGCGAAAUGCUCAAAAUUGGGCUGGGUGAUGUUGGCAUUGUUGAGGGGCUAAAGUGCAAAAUGGCAUUAUAAGUUACUCUUCUCCCUCACUCUCUCAUUUUCCUCUUCUAAACCUAAAAGCUUCCUUCUCUCUCUCCUUCUAAGCUCUUGCUCUCUCUCUCUCUAAGGUGGAAGGAGAAGAAGGAGAAGAAGGCAAAGAAGAAGAGAAGCAUCUUCUUCAUCUCUUCCUUUAGUUGGAGGAGUUCUUGGGAGGUAAGCUUCUAACCUCUAAUGGUAUCUUCCUAGGGUUUUGAUAAAAUGCUCUCGGAUUGGUUUUGAUUAAACCCUAGGAUGCUAGUGAUAUGUUAAUUAUAUGAAUCUAGGGUUUUAUCGGAGUAUUUUCCAUUGUUGAACCUAGGGCUCUAAAAUGGGGUUUUGGGAAAUCGAGGGUUUUGAUCUAAAUUAGUUGGUCAUAAACCUAAUUGAUAGGUAUUUAAACGCAUCGGCGAAGAUGGUUCGUCGAUUCGUCGAGUUGGUGAAGAGAUAUUACCAAGCGGAGGGCGUUUCGGCUUCGUUUCUACUCGGGGAGCCGAAGCGGCGUGACAAGUUCCAUUCCUAGGGUCGUAGCAUCGCCAACAGGUGGGUGGUGACCAUCCCGAAGCAGUUGAACUGCUCCCUAUGUCUAAGUUUGUUGCUGUCGAUUAUAUUGCAUAUUGAGCAUGAUGCAUUAUAGGGUACUUAGUAUUAUAUAUACUAGUGAACGCCCACGCUACGCAGCGAAAAAUUUUUGUAAAUUUUAAAAAAUUUUAAAUUAUAUAGUAAAUAGCACCUAAACUGUAAAGUCAGCAAUAUCAGAAGAUAUUCGAUUUAAAAUUUAACUUUUUAAUUUAAAAUUAAAUUUUAAAUUUUAAAUUUAAUUUUUUAUUUUUUGAAUGUGAUCUAAAAUUAUACGAAACAAAACAAAAAGGAUUAGAAAAGAGGGAAAAAAGGGGAAAAAAGUUAGAAGAGGAAAGGGAAAAAAAGAGAGAGAGGAGUGGGUCCACAGGAAAAAAAGCUUAAAAAUAAAAAUACUAUAUAUAAUAAAUAAUUAAUUAAAAAAAAUAUUAUAUUAUAUAAUAAAUUAUUAUAUAAUAAUAUAUCCAUAUUAUAAAAAUAUAAUACUAUAUAUAUUAACUAAAUAUAUAUUUAGAAAUAAAAUUAUAUAUAUAUAAAUAAAAAUACUAUAGAAUAUAAAUAAAUAAUUAUAAAAAUAAAUAGUAAGUUAUAUAAUAAAUUAUUAUAUAAUAAUAUAUUUAUAUUAUAAAAAUAAAAUACUAUAUAUAACGAAUCAAUAUAUAUUUAUAAAUAAAUAAAUAAAUACUUCUAUUAUAAUUGAUUGUGCAGUCCACGAAACACACAACAAAAAAAAGGAAGGGGGGGGGGGGGGGGGGGGUUCAAAUCACUUUGAAUCCCUUGGAUCCGAUUAUAUAAUAAAUAAAUAAAUAUAUAUUUAUAAUUAAAAUACUAUAUAUAGAAUACUAUAUAUAUAAGUAUAUUUAUAAAUAUAUAUAAUAAUUUAUUAUUUAUAAAUAUAUUUAUAAAUAAAAUACUAUAUAUAUAUAUAUAUAGAGAGAGAGAGAGAGAGAGAGAGAGAGAGAGAGAGAGAGAAUGAGAGGGAGGUCCACCGUGGACCUUCCUCUCAUGUGGCGCGCCCAGCGCCGUGCCGCGCUCGCGCCCCCCGCCCCGCCUCUGCCCUCGUGCAGCCCGCCUGCCACGGCUCGGCCCACGCCGGCGCUCGCCCGCGCCCCCCGCCGCCCUGCCUCCGCCCUCGCGCAGCCUGUCCGCCACGAGAGAGGGAGAGAGGGGGAGAGAGAGAGAGAGAGCCGGUGGGGAGGGAGAGGAAAAGAGAGGGAGAGAAGAGGGGGGGAAGAGAGAGGGAGAGAGCCGAGGGGAGGGGGGGAGGGAGAGGAAAAGAGGGGAGAGAGGGUGGGUUGGCGCGCGCGCGGGGCGCGGGUCGCCCGCGCUCGCCCCCGCACCCACCGGGUGCGGUUCACGCGUACCUGCCGGGCGCGGGUCAUCCGCACCCGCGCCCGCACCUGCUGGGCGCGGGUCGCGUGCUUGUGUGGGAGAGAGAGAGGGGAGAGAGAGAGAGCCGAAGGGAGGGGGGGGGAAGAGAGAGAGGGGUGGGGAGCCGGGGGGGAGGAGGAGCCCUGUGCCAUGCGCGGGCCCCCGCGCGCGCCAGGAGCGAGAGAGAGAGAGAGAGAGAGAGAGAGGGAGAGAGAGAGAGCCGCGGGAGGGGAGGGGGGGUUUGCGAAGGCCCGGGAGGGGGCUACCAUGUUCGGGCAGCCGGCACCCCGCGCGCGCGCAGAGAGAUAGAGAGAGAGAGGGAGAGAGAGAGAGAGCUGUGGGGAGAGGGAAAGAGAGGAAAAUAGAGUGAGAGAGAGAGAGCCGGGUGGGGGAGGGGGGCCCACCAAAGCCCCACGAGAGAGAGGGGGAGCCGGAGAGGGGGGGUGCGGUGGGGAGAGAGAGAGAGACGUAAAAAAAAAAAAAAGGUGGGCCCACCGAAGCCCCUUGCCAAACGCGGGGAGGCUUCGGAGGGAACUCCCUUUUUAUUAUUUGUAUAGAUAGGAGUUUCUUACGUACGUAAGGGUGGUGUUCCUAGUUAAUCUGGCAUAGAUGAUAGGAAUACGCCUUAGGCAAGUACAUGCAUGAUUUCGAACUAAUCAAACUACAUUAUCACGUCUUGAGCGCCCACAACGGAAGCACAUAUCGGACACGUGCACCGGACCAACCAAAUGGUUGUCCGCCCAAGGCGUGACAAGUAUGUAUACACUACGUAUUCCUAUUAGAAUGGAAUAUAUGGAUUACAUAAAAAAAGUAUCAUAAGAUACAAAGCAAAUAUUACUUCUAUUACAUCACUUUCAUUCAACAUGAUUUACAAUUGUUUUUCAAAUACAAUCCAAAAUAGUAUUUAUAGUUUUCUUUUCCAUUUCCAUACAUGUUCUAUGCCCAAAAUAGGUACAUCUAAGAACAACAAAAUGGAAGGACGUGAUCUACUGAGCUACGCUCUUUUCUCGCUCCGUCGCGCACCCGUGAAUGGACUUGAAAAAUAUAGGGGGGAGAACUAUAAGCAUAUAUAGUUUCCAAUAGAUACGACUAUCUAAGAAAAAAGCUCGACCCACCAAAUUUAAAAAAGGCAAAUACGUAUAGUUUAGUACAAUAUAUAAUUAAUUAAGUACAUAAGAAUAAACAUAAUGCCUCUAUUCAUGAUAAUGAAGCCUACUCGUGCGACAUAAACUAUAUUUUCUCACUAGGUUCAUCAUCGUAAUCAUUUCAUUCGACUAAUCUUGAGUCAACAUGCGGAAUUGCAGCCCUCGUCUUGGCAAUCGGUAGCAGAAUUGCUGCACCACUUAGUCAUAAGUCCAUAAAUCGUGGAAUUGCCGUAUUCAUUGGGUGCCGAGUAAUAAAAUCGCCAUCCCCAUAUUUGCCCUAAAUCCAUAGGUAACGGAAUCGCCGCUUUCAUGAUGUCAUCAAGGGUCUAUAUAUUACACCCUAUGUGUCAACCUUUCUAGAUUUAAAGUCGUUCAUGCCCAAGUGCUUAUCCUACCACUAAAUUUUCACAUAUAUUCAAUAGCACUAGGUUCUCUAUUUUCACACGUUGAGUUCUCUACUAACCCUAAAGAAUGUCAACCUAUAUUUAGAUCACAAUAUAGGAAUGCAAUAUGACAAUGCAUGAAUUACAUAUCAAAUAAGAAUAGUCAUUUAUUAAACAUAUAUCACAUGCAUGCUCAUUUACUCAUAUAUAAGUAGUAAAAUUACUUAAUCCAAGUAAUAAAUGCCUCAUGCAAGCACAUUUCUUAAUUAAACUACCAUGCAACAUCUAUAACUUAAUUUAGUUAUUUACUCUCUAGAUAUAAAUGUGACUUAUUCACUUCGGUAGAGUACAACCCACCUUAGAAUGUUCCUAAUUACUUGUAGACACUUGCAACUAGGCUCUCUUUGGCUAUAUAUUUGGUUCCUAGCUUUCUUACUCUAAAACAAUAAAAAUGGUUAGUUAUCUCAUUCGAACCUCAAAACAUUUUUAUUUUAUGAAAUAAAGUUGUCCCAUAUGAUUUUCUAAUUAACUUUCAAUUAGAAUUUAAAAAAUCUAAUAAUUUUUUUAACCCAUCAACAACAAAAUCCCUAUUUCAACCUAAGGUUUUUCAAAACAAUUGCAAACUCAAAUGUCAUGGCAAAUUUCUAUCAUUUGUAGUCUAAAUUUACCUAGAGUUUGAUAAAAUUUUAAAAUUAAGGAUAAAGUCCAAAACCUUAACUCAAAACACUAAGAACUCACCUCUACCUCAAGCUAAUCUCUAAGCUUCAUCUUGCUCCAAGAAGCUUGUAUCUCGAAAGGUUUUUCCUAAAUCAAUUUCUCCAAAUCUCCAAGCUUUUGAGAGAUUUCUAGGGAGAGAGAGGAGUGGAAGAGAGAGUCAUUAUGACACGCCCCGCGACCGCCAAUUUGGCCGGUUCGGGCACGUCGAACAGACGCCGGACGGACAGCACCUCUCCUGCCCGCCCAAGGCUAAGCAUCAACAAUCAUGUACAAGAGUAGCCCAGGAAAACUCAAAACCAUACAUUAUUCAACGAGAAGCGCCACAGGCGUUAACAAGAAAGAGCAAGACACAAAUAAUAUACAAGUGAAUAAAGAGAGAUUUCUAACUAUUACAUCACAUUCACUAUUUAUAUAACGAUUUACAUUUACAUCAUCACAAAAUAUGGAUACAAGUUCAUCAACAACUCUCCAAAGCAUCUCACCACCUAUACAUCAUCUACCCUCAUGUACAUAGGGUGCCACUAAUGCCAAAGGAAAGUCACUACUACUAGGGCGCUAUGCCCUUACCGCGAUCCUCGCCCGGAGCACUCGUACUCGGCCCUGCGACAAAGUGGGGUGAGAACUAUAUAAAUAUAGUUCCCAGUGGGUUCGGCCGCCGACUCCGCGAAUCUUCCCACUAGGUCUAAGUAGGCAUGAGUAGAUAAACAGAUAGAUAGAUAUGAAACGGCUACAAGCAUAGUAAGGAAAUCUAUAAUAUACUACUAUGCCUCAAUCAAUCAAAAUGAAUGUAUGCACUAUACCGUAAUAAGCUCACUAUCAUUAUACUAUGUUCAAUAACCGAUGACAUUCAUUUAUUCACCCAAUCUCUUGGCUAACCCGAAGGUUCGCCCUCGACUCACUAUGUGUAGCACACUGGAGCUGUGCAAAUUGCAAGGUUCGAGUGUUUGAUAUGGAAUCCGAACUUUUCCCCACUUGGUGGAAGGUCGUAGAUGGUAUUCCGACCUAAAAGUUCGAUUUCUGGAGUUUUAGCUUUGUCCUAAGAGUUUUUACUCCCGGAGAUCGGUCCCUGAAAGGAGAGACCGAUCCCAUCGGAAUAGUGUCGCGGCCAGCUUGAGGCAACCGGUUCCUGGCUGGGAGAGACCGAUCCCCGAGCGCAUAUUUUGCGGGAAGGUCCGAGAGACCAGUCCCUGGCGGGGAGAGACCGGUUCCCGAAUGUUGGUUUUGCGGGGCAGGCCGAGUGACCGGUCCUAGGUGUCGGGGAGACCGGUCCCUCAGUCCGAAAACUGCCCAGACCAGGCAGUGCACAGGUUGCAUUUUUGAGGGACCUAGGUGGAUUUUGUUACAUUUGAAGGCUUAUAGAGCCUUUCCUCUCCCUCUCACCCUCAUUUCUCUCCCUCACACUCUCUCUACACCGUUUAGAAAGAGAAGAAGAAGGAGAAGAAGAGGAAGGAGUAGAAGGAGAGUUUGCUUGGAGGCCUUGGAGCAUCAUGUUCUUCCUCUCAUCACACAUUGGUGGCUUGGAGCUCGUGGUUGAAGCUUUAUGGAGGAUCAAGCUUCAACCCUUCUUGGUUUUGAGCUUAGAUUGGAGUUUCUCUUGAGGUUAGUACCUUGAUUCUAGCCUUUGAUCCAUGUUUUGAUAGGUUUUAACAUAUGAAACUCUAGAAAUGAGAUUUAAGGUUUAUUUUGAGAAUUUUUGAUUUGAGGGCUUUGAAACCUAAUUGAUGGGUUUAGAACCUUUAUUUAGGUUGCAUUUGAAAAACUCUAACUCCCAUUUGGAGCUUGAAAGAGGAUUUCUUCACCUAGGUGAGUUUUUUUCCACCUUAGCCUAUGUUGCUUAUUGAUCAAUCACUUGGGUGUUCGUAAGGUUCGUUUAACUCUCUUUUCUAUACCUUUAGGGUACUAGGAGAGUGGUGGACACCUUCGUCGGAGCUUACGAAAAGUUUCGGUAACUUCGGUAGAUUUGACUUCAUGAGAAAGGGGCAAAAUGACCCCUACUCUUGCUAUACUUGUCGUAACGUCUUUUUGAAUGCAAAUCCAUGCUAGAUAGGAUUUAUGUGAAUUUUAGAAUACUUAAAAUACAUGCCUUAUGUAUUAUGAAAAUUUCACUCUAUAUAGUAGAGCAUUAUGGGUAAAUUUCAUGCACCAGCGGAGGCACGGGAUCGCGGCAAGGGGAUCGCUAGCUAGAUAGCGAGGGUUUACCGUUGCUUAGGUGGCCUUUCUCUCUUUUUGUCGUUGUUGAGAGAGAAAGAGAGAGGUUUUGUAUCUAUGUAUAGAGACUACCUAUAUAUUUACUUAUAGCACUUGUUUUGGAAUUUCUGUUGUACUACUUUAUGUUUUAUUCUAGUGGAUUUUAGUUUUAUAGUUCUUUUUCUCUAUUGUAGCAUCUAGAUAUACUUGCUCUGAUACUCCUAGAUGUUCUCAUUUACUGCUUCAUUUAUCGUUUUGUUUUAGACGCUUUAUAUGUUUUAGACAUAUGGCGGGUUUAGACACGCGCCGGGCGGGCUUCCGCUGGGUCUCGAGGCGUGACAGAUUAGUUUGGUAUCAGAGCCUAGCUUUGAGUAUUAGUGGACCUAGCAAACCUUAGGCCGGUUGGAUUAUAGGGAUUAGGCUCGUGAGAGACGAGGUCUAUUUGACUUGUAAGCGAAAAUAUUGUGAUUGGGUAUCUUGAUAACUCUAAAAAGUUAGAGUUGAAUCGAAGUGUAUAGCUCCUAACUUCGCGGAGGGUUACGUUGGCGGCCGACAACGUAACAUCGGGAGUUAGUAGUGAAGCACACUUCCUUACUUUCGCAUGAUUUGAGGUAUUAUCUGCUUGAGCGGGGAUACGAUAGCGAGGGUUACUAACUUACGCUUUCAUGAUGUUAUAGUGAGAUGCCGAUCACUCGCUCCCAAUCUGCCGGAGCGGAUAAUGUGGCACAUCUUGAAGAGGUCGAGACCUCCACUACCUCCGGAUCCGGCGAGGUCCGUGAGUUGAGGGGCAAGCUUACGGCCCUCAUUGAUAUGAUGGCGCAGCAGACUGAGGCAGCGUGCCGACAGGAGGCGCGGAUGAAGCGCCUGGAGGACCUUCUUCUGCAACAGGCGGCAGCUUCCAUGGAGACCCAGGCCCCUACACCGCCAGCACCAGUUGUGGACGUUGCGCCGAGAGCGCCGUCCCCCGCGCCCAGUUCGUCGCGUGCGGCGCCCGCGGCUGCCCCUCAAGAGGAGGCUUUGGCGGCGCCACCUGUUCAGGCGCCCCCUAUUGGAGCUGUUUUCCCCGUGUUGGUUGAGGGAGUGGAGCGGGACCGACUGAUGGAGAGCCUCAACGAGUUCAGGAGGUGUGGUCCCCGGAUCUUCGACGGCGAGAUGGUCGACCACUGGAUCGUGGAGAAAUGGUUGAUGCAUAUGGAGAAGCUCUUCCGCGACACCUUCGUGGAGGAGAGAGAUCGAGUUUGGCUCGCCACACACCAUUUGGACGGCGAGGCCUACCGCUGGUGGUUGGAUCUCCAGGAGAACCCCAGCACUGAUUUGGCGGCUAUUACUUGGAAGAGAUUCAAGGAGCUUCUAUUGGCGCACUACUUUCCGACCAGCGUCAAGCGGAAGAUGGAGUAGGACCUGCGCAACUUGUGCCAAGGUGACCGGACAGUAGCCGAGUACGAGCGGGAGUUUUCUCGGCUUCUUCACUGCAUGCCUUUCGUCGUGCGGGACGACGAGGACAAGGCCCGCAUUUUCGAGCGAGGGUUGCGACCGUCGAUCUUUCGAUUUGUGCAAUCCUCUAACCUCCAAACCUACCGGGAGGUGGUGGAUCGCGCGCUCAUCGUGGAGCGCGGCGCGGCAAACGUCCAGGAGCGGCGAGAGGCUAUGGACAAGGGUAAGGCCAAGAGGCCUGCGGUUGAGGGCGCGAGCUAGACGCACUCUAGGAGACCACCGAAGCAUCCUAGGAGCCAGCAGUGUGGGCGUGGCUCGGUGACUCACCGUGGAGGUUCUGACCGACGCCGGCCUGCCCAGUGCGUGAUCUGUGGUGGUCCCCACAUCCCACCGCAGUGCCCGCAGCGGGGAAGGAGGUGUUUCCUGUGUGGCCAGGAGGGCCACUUUCGGAUUGAAUGCCCGAGAGGUUCGUCGCCGGCACCGUCAUAUGCAUCGGCACCGGCUCUACCAACCGCCAGCCAUGGGACUCCAUCAGCGCAGUACCAGCCUGGGCGGUCACCCGUCCAGCGCCAGAACGAGGGUUCUCGACAGGCCCCGAGUGGGCGUAUGUAUGCCGCUCAGACCGAGGAGGCGGCAGCAGCCGAGGAUGUGGUUGCAGGUAUCAUUUUACUUGAUGGCAUUAGAGUUCGUGCUUUAUUUGAUACCGGUGCAUCGCAUUCAUUUAUAGAUUGACUGUUUGCCGAGUUGCAUGGCAUCCUUAUGCUUUCUUUGUUGCAUCUGGGACGUGUAGUUGUCCCCGACCACUCUUUGGAUAUUAGAGAGUAUUGCCCUAGUUGCCAUGUUCGGAUAGGAGAUUGGAUCAUGCUCGUGGAUUUGCUAGCUCUGCGCAAGCUAGGGGACUUCGAUGUGGUCUUGGGUAUGGAUUGGCUAACCAAAUAUUAUGCCACGAUUGAUUGUAAGAAUCGCACGGAUACUUUUAGAGAACCGGGGCAGAUUGAGGUUGUGUUUAGAGGAUGCCGGAGUUCACUUUUUGCGAUGUCGAUUAGCUCAUCUUGAGCUAGGCAGUUGAUCAGUCGAGGAAUUGUAGCCUACUUGGCUAGUGUUGUGUUGAGGGGCGAGGAUGACACCCCUAGGAUUGAGGAUAUCCCGGUGGUAUGGAAGUUCCAGGACGUGUUUCCAGCUGAGCUACCAGGUAUGCCACCCGAUAGGGAGAUCGAGUUUGUGGUAGAUCUCGUCCCUGGGACUACUCCAAUCUCGAAGGCACCCUAUAGGAUGGCACCGGCGGAGCUAAAGGAGCUGAGGGCACAGCUACAGGAUCUGUUGGACAAGGGCUUCAUUCGAUCGAGCGUCUCACCGUGGGAAGCGCCAGUUCUGUUCGUCAAGAAAAAGGACGGAUCACUUCGCCUAUGUGUGGACUAUCGUGAACUUAAUAAAGUCACGAUCAAGAAUAAGUAUCCGUUGCCAAGGAUCGACGACUUGUUUGAUCAGCUUCAAGGAUCGUGUGUGUAUUCCAAGAUUGACUUGCAGUCGGGAUACCACCAGUUAAAGAUCAAACCCAAGGAUGUAUCGAGGACGGCUUUAGAACACGGUAUGGACACUAUGAGUUCAUAGUUAUGCCGUUCGGCCUUACUAAUGCCCGGCAGCUUUUAUGGAUCUGAUGAACUAUGUUUUCAAGCCGUAUCUAGACAGGUUUGUCGUGGUGUUCAUCGACGACAUUUUGGUUUAUUCCCGAAGUGAUGCGGAUCAUGAGGAGCAUUUGAGGAUUGUGCUCCAAGUACUUCGGGAGAAAGAGCUUUAUGCCAACCUGAAAAAUGUGAAUUUUGGCUUCGAGAGGUAGCUUUUCUUGGACAUUUGAUUUCGGGAUCGGGUAUAGCCGUGGAUCCAAAGAAAAUUGAGGCAAUCAAGGAUUGGCCUAGACCGACGAGUGUCACGGAGAUACGGAGCUUUCUUGGAUUAGCUGGUUACUACCGGAGAUUUGUCGAGAGGUUUGCUAAGCUAUCUACUCCCCUCACGAGACUCACGCAUAAAGGCGUCAAGUUCGUUUGGAACGAUGCGUGUGAGAGAAGCUUCCAGGAGUUGAAGCACCGAUUGACGACCGCCCCGAUCCUAACCUUGCCGAUGGCUGGAGCAUGGUAUGUGAUUUUUAGUGAUGCAUCUCUUAAUGGAUUGGGUUGUGUGUUGAUGCAGGACGGCAAAGUGAUCGCGUAUGCUUUGCGCCAACUAAAGGAAUAUGAAAAGAAUUACCCUACGCACGAUUUGGAGUUGGCGGCCGUAGUCUUCACAUUGAAGUUAUGGCGCUACUACUUGUAUGGCGAGUGGUAUGAAGUAUACACGGAUCACAAGAGCCUCAAAUACCUGUUCACUCAGAAGGAGCUGAACUUGAGACAGUGCAGAUAGUUGGAGCUGCUUAAGGAUUAUGAUCUGACGAUCCUAUAUCACCCGGGUAAGGCUAACGUGGUGGCAGAUGCGCUAAGUAGGAAAUCAACGGAAAACUUAGCGAUGCAUAUUGUUACUCAACCGCAGUUGAUCGAGCAGAUGAAGCGGUUGGAGUUGGAGGUGGUGACUCCUGACACGCCUUUAAGGUUGAUUACUUUGGUGGUGCAACCUACACUUUUGGAUCGAAUUAUAGAAAAGCAAGCUACCGAUGUAGAGUUGCAAAAGAUUAAAGGUAAAAUGGUUGAUGGUUGCACCGGCGAUUUCCUUGUGGAUGACCAAGGAUUGAUGCAUUUCCGUGGACGGAUUUAUAUACCGGCGGAUUAGGAAAUUAAAGAGGAUAUUCUUCAAGAAGCGCAUCGAGCGCCCUAUACUAUACAUCCGGGAGGCACCAAGAUGUAUAAGAAUUUAAAGUUGCUUUAUUGGCCGUCCGGGAUGAAAAAGAACGUUGGCGAGUUUGUAGCUCGUUGUCUAAUUUGCCAACAAAUAAAGGCUGAGCAUCGAGUUUCCGUGGGAAAACUUCAGAGUUUGUCUAUUCCCGUGUGGAAGUAGGAGAAGAUCACCAUGAAUUUCGUGACUGGAUUGCCCCGCUCUCAGGCCGGGCAUGAUGCUAUUUCGGUGAUCGUGGAUAGGUUGACGAAGUCGGCGCACUUCAUACCUAUUCACACUACUUGGACCGGAGAGAAGCUCGCACAAGUGUACCUGGAUGAGAUUGUGCGACUUCACGGAGUGCCUACUUCGAUAGUAUCGGAUCGAGACACUCGGUUUGUGUCACAUUUUUGGAGGAGUCUGCAGGACGUCUUGGGCACCGGACUGGACUUCAGCACUGCUUUCCACCCUCAGAGUGACGGGCAGUCGGAGCGCACCAUUCAGACUUUAGAGGAUAUGCUUCGAGCAUGUGUGAUUGACUUCCAUGGAGGAUGGUUGCAGCAUCUACUGAUGGCAGAGUUUGCUUAUAAUAACAGUUAUCAAGCAAGCAUCAAGAUGGCGCCGUUUGAAGUACUUUAUGGACGGAAGUGUAGAUCGCCACUUCAUUGGAGUGAAGUUGGCGAGAGGUUGGCUUUAGGCCCAGAUGUGCUCCAGGAAGUUGAGGACAAGGUUCGAAUUGCUCGGGAGCGACUUUUGACGGCACAGAGUAGACAGAGGAGCUACGCCGAUCGACGACGGCGAGACUUGGAGUUCCAAGUUGGAGACCAUGUUUUCUUGAAGGUCUCGCCGACUAGAGGAAUCAAGAGAUUCGGGAUUCGGGGUAAGUUGAGCCCCCGUUUCAUUGGACCGUAUGAGAUUUUGGAGCGGGUAGGUCCGGUAGCGUAUCGACUUGCUCUACCAUUGAACCUAUCGGGCGUACACAACAUAUUUCAUGUAUCGGUCCUUCGGAAGUACAUUUUCGACCCGACUCAUGUGUUGGAUGCUACACCUGUGGAGUUGCGGGACGACUUGAGCUUCGAGGAGCACCCCGUGAAGAUUUUGGCUCGCGAUGUACGAAAACUGCGGAAUCGAGAUAUUCCGUAUGUAAAGGUUCUUUGGAGCAACCACGAGGAGCGGGAGGCCACGUGGGAGCUGGAGAGCGCGCUGCGGGAGCGUCAUCCCUAUCUUUUUCAGAUGGAGUUUUGAGGUAUGUGUUACUUUUGAGUUUCGCGGACGAAACUCCUUUUUAGGAGGGGUGAAUGUAGCACACUUGACCUGUGCAAAUUGCAAGGUUCGAGUGUUUGAUAUGGAAUCCGAACUUUUUCCCACUUGGUGGAAAGUCGUAGAUGGUAUUCCGACCUAAAAGUUCGAUUUCUGGAGUUUUAGCUUUGUCCUGAGAGUUUUCACUCUCGGGGACCGAUCCCUAAAAGGAGAGACCGGUCCCAUCGGAAAGUGUCGCGGCCAGCUUGAGGCAACCGGUCCCUGGCUGGGAGAGACCGAUCCCCGAGCGCGUAUUUUGCGGGAAGGUCCGGGAGACCGAUCCCUGGCGGGGAGAGACCGGUUCCCGAACGUUGAUUUUGCGGGGCAGGCCGAGAGACUGGUCUCAGGUGUCGGGGAAACUGGUCCCUCAGUCCGAAAACUGCCCAGACCGGGCAGUGCACAGGUUGCAUUUUUGAGGGACCUUGGUGGAUUUUGUUACAUUUGAAGGCUUAUAGAGCCUUUCCUCUCCCUCUCACCCUCAUUUCUCUCCCUCACACUCUCUCUACACCUUCUAGAAAGAGAAGAAGAAGGAGAAGAAGAGGAAGGAGUAGAAGGAGAGCUUGCUUGGAGGCCUUGGAGCAUCAUCUUUUUCCUCUCAUCACACAUUGGUGGCUUGGAGCUCGUGGUUGAAGCUUUGUGGAGGAUCAAGCUUCAACCCUUCUUGGUUUUGAACUUGGAUUGGAGCUUCUCUUGAGGUUAGUACCUUGAUUCUAGCCUUUGAUCCAUGUUUAGUAGGUUUUACCAUAUGAAACCCUAGAAAUGAGAUUUAGGGUUUAUUUUCGUGAUUUUUGAUUUGAGAGCUUUGAAACCUAAUUGAUGGGUUUAGAACCUUUUUUUAGGUUGGAUUUGAAGAAUUCUAACUCCUAUUUGGAGCUUGAGAGAGGAUUUCUUCACCCAGGUGAGUUUUUCUCCACCUUAGCCUAUGUUGCUUAUUAAUCGAUCACUUGGGUGUUCGUAAGGUUCGUUUAACUCUCUUUUCUAUACCUUUAGGGUACUAGGAGAGUGGUGGACACCUUCGUCGGAGCUUACGAAGGGUUUUGGUAACUUCGGUGGGUUUGACUUCAUGAGAACAGGGCAAAAUGACCCCUACGGUUGCUAUACUUGUCGUAACGUCUUUUUGAAUGCAAAUCUAUGCUAGAUAGGAUUUAUGUGAAUUUUAGAAUACUUAAAAUGCAUGCCUUAUGUAUCAUGAAAAUUUCACUCUAUAUAGUCGAGCAUUAUGGGUAAAUUUCAUGCAUGUGAGAAGUGUUUGUGUUAGUGACUUGGAAGCAUGUCUCUUAAGUUAGAAAUCGCUUAAAUUAUGCAUUUGCAAACGAUAAACUCAUGUUUGGACUUAGUAGACAAAAUGUCAUAAAGGGGCACUUGACAUAGUAAACUGUGAAAUUGCAACAUACAGACAUAGUGAUAGGCAUUGAACAUCUGCUAUAUUCCAUGUUAGAGACAUGAUGACAUAGAGAUAGGCCUUUGGGACAUUCGAUAUAUAUAUUCCAUGUUUUAGACAUGAGGACUUGUUACUUGAGACAGAACUUUCGCUUGCUUGCCACUGUGCUCAUUCGCACAUGCUUGUGAGGGUCGCUCCCUACAAGCCGGCACUCCGGAGAUAGCCAUCGCGACAUAUGCUCGCUCGUGCGGGAUUGGGCGCCGAAAUAGGAUGCCGUGAGGGAGGCUUAUUCCUAGAGUGGGGAUGUUGACUACCACGGGGCCAUUAGGCACGGCGCAGGCCAGACAGCCUACGGGUGGGUCUUACAAGAUUGGAACUUGGUGACAGAACACGCUAUUUGGACAUUGAUUAGAAUAGUAAACAAUGACACCUUUACUAUUUGACUUAUGGACAUCAUGCUAGCGAUACCUUGGUUCAUUCAUGUUAGAAUAGUCUUUUAUUACUUAUGCAAAUUCAUGCUAAGUAGAGAUAUCAUGUUGUAGUAAGUUUACAUGUUUACUUACAUACCGAUUCUAUUGCUUUUAUUGUUACUUACCUGUUUAGCUCUUUUGGGCCUAGUGGUGCUUUCACUGAAGUCAGUAAUUGUCCACUGGGAACUAUUAUUUAAUAGUUCUCACGCCUCUGUUUCUAUGUUUCCUUUUCAGAGCCCUCUACACCGGCAGAGGCACGGGAUCGCGGCAAGGGGAUCGCUAGCUAGAUAGCGAGGGUUUACCGUUGCUUAGGUGGUCUUCUCUCUUUUUGUCGUUGUUGAGAGAGAGAGUGAGAGGUUUUGUAUCCAUGUAUAGAGACCACCUAUAUAUUUAUUUAUAGCACUUGUUUUGGGAUUUCUGUUGUACUAUAUAUUUUCUUCUAGUGGAUUUUAGUUUUAUGGUUCUUUUUCUCUAUUGUAGCAUCUAGAUAUACUUGCUCUGAUACUCCUAGAUGUUCUCUUUUACUGCUUCAUUUAUCGUUUUGUUCUAGACGUCUUAUAUGUUUUAGACAUAUGGCGGGUCUGGACACGCGCCGGGCGGGCUUCCGCUGGGUCCUGGGGCGUGACACUAUGCCAUCUCGUAAGGUAAGGAGACGCAACUCGCUCGCAAACCCGAGACUAGGGGUGAAAACGAGCCGAGAUCGAGCGAGCUUAUCUCAGCUCAAGCUUGGCUUGAAAUUAAUUUCGAGCCUAAAUUUAGGCUCAAGCUCAGCUUGAAAUUAAUUCGAGCCGAGCUCGAGCGAGCCUAAUUUCGAGUUGAGCGAGCUCGAGCCCUAAACGUGCUGCUUGAAAUUUUUAACAUCAUGCAAUCCAUAGUUUAAUUUUUAUUAAAUAUUAUCUAAAAUUCGAUACAAAAAAUGUCUAAUAGUUCAACAUACAAAAUGAAUGCGUGAAAUACGAUAUUAUAAUAUUAAAAAAAUUAGGAAAAACAACUCUAUGAGCAAGUGACACUACAACAGAAUUAGGUUCUAAGGACACAUGUUUGGGACACUUUUGAGUAAGUGUCCCAUUUAUGCUAAAACUUAAAAACACAUCUACUAAUGCCUAAAUAUAAAGCUCAAUCCAACAAAAAAUAAAAGAUUACUCUACUCAACCCACCACACCCAGUCCAUUUGGCCCGAUUACAAAUAGAAAAAAAAAAAAAGAAAAAUUAAUUACCAUCUUUUCUUCUCUCUUCACUCAAUCCACUGAAAUUCUAGAUGAAGAGCUUUUACUGUCGUCCUCCUCCGCCACCGCAGCCAACGAGAUAGAGUUUCGGCGGUUGCUAAAAGUUUAAAUAAGUAUUGGUAAAUUAGCAGUAUUCUUUUAGGUUAUAGCGACACUCUUUAACUGUCACUAUAUACCUAGCGACCCCACAUAUAGCAACACUUUUUAAAAGUGUCGGUAAUUUUAGCUAGCAGCACUUUUUUGACAUGUACCUAUAUUUAAAAGUGUCGCUAUAGACCGUUUUUUGUUGUAGUGUGAAAAAGAGAAAGAGAGAGCAAUUAAAGUAGGAUUUUGCUGGUUUGGUUUUAUGGGCCCAAUAAUCUAAAUUCUAUAUACAUAUAAUUAAAAUACAUAAUAUAAAUUUAUAUAAUUAAAAUAUAUAUUAUAUAUAAUUAUAUAUAGAGAGAGUUCGGCUACUAUACUCUAUUAGUAUAGACCCCUUUAUACUCAUACAUUUUUUAUCGUUAGAUCUAUAUUUUUGACCAUUUCCAUCCGUAAAUCAUACAAUGCAACCAACCACCCACUCAAUCCUAGAGGACCGCUAUUAUCCUAAUUGCACAUCCAACGGCGAAAAAUUUAUAAGUAUAAAAGGGUCUAUACUCAUAAGAAUAUAGUAGCCCUAGCCUAUAUAUAUAUAUAUAUAUAUAUAUAUAUAUAUAUAUAGAGAGAGAGAGAGAGAGAGAGAGAGAGAGAGAGUGAGAGAGAGAGAAUUAGGUUACAAUAUUAUUAANAGAGAGAGAGAGAGAGAGAGAGAGAGAGAGAGAGUGAGAGAGAGAGAAUUAGGUUACAAUAUUAUUAAUAGUAUCAACUACUUGCUAUUAGAUUUUCGGUACUUAGAUAGUUAUUAUGUGAUGAUAAAAAAAAAAACAUUCCAAGUACUAUCAUCCUAACCGCACAUCCCUUCAUCCAAGGACCGAAGACCUAAUAGCAAGUAGUGGUUGGUAUUAUUAAUAAUAUAGUAGACUUUUUCUAUAUAUAUAUACAUACAUAUAUAUUUCGAGCUUUUCGAGCCUAAUUUGAGCGAGCCCGGUAAUACUCAAGCUUGGCUUGAAAUUAAUUUCGAGCCUAAAUUUAGGCUCAAGCUCGACUUGAAAUUAAUUUGAGCCGAGCUCGAGCGAGCCGAAUAUCGAGCCGAACGCGAGUCGAACACGAGCCGACUCGCUCAUUUGCCAGCCCUACCCGAGACCGUCUGCGGGACAUCAACUCUGCCCCUCGUGUGACAAACUCUGGAGCGCACGGCUUGUGUGGAGCGACCACCCCAAGCUCAAACAGACUGUGAGUAUGAUCCAAUCCUCUCAACUCGAGGAUACCCUACCAACUAGGGCUAACAAUCACUCGGGAAUCCACCUAUCCCAAUGUUCAUAUUCGAGUGUUUCAACUACACUAAGUUCUUAUGCAAUAACUCAUUACUAGGGAAUCCACCUAUCCCUAAGUUCACAAGUGUUUCUUCUACACUAUGUUUUCGUGCCACUCAUCAUAUUGUCAACACUAUUUACAUGCCACUCGUUAUGUUAUUUGCGCUAUUUAGAUGCCACUCGUCAUGACAUUACAUAACCACCAAGUUCAUCUCUCAUUUCGGCACUAUAGGAUAUUGAUUGCCAAGACCAAAUCCUUACCUAUCCACUAUAUCAUGUAUUCACCUCAUACCAUGAUGUCAACUAGGAAAGCAUAAGGUGUGGAAAUGCAAUACAAUCCUACAAUGCAUAUAUGCAAGAGAUGCAAGAUCAAUAGUGUACUAAGACAUAAAGGAAAACCCGGUUGCUUCGAGAUGACACCCCCCACCUCUAGGCGAUGUAACGAGGCUAGGAAUCCGAUUCCAUGAUUUUUGGAAGCCUACGCCGCGUGCUGCGGCAAUCUGUACCGAGACAGGCUCUUUCCUCGAACCCUUCGCGUACACUCGUCGGAUUGCCAAACCGAGCGCACCAACGCGUUCGUAUACCUAGCAAUUGGGUUAGAGAGAGAUCAAUUCCACUCAAAACUCCUCACGAGCAAAAGCCCUCUUUUUGAAGCCCUAAAUCCCCAACAUUGCAAAAUGCCACCUACGAGCAUUUACUCUUGCAAUAAAUGAGAUUAACAACCUCUAGAGCAUCAUUUAAUUCCACCUAGCUAGGUUCCAAGAGGUCUAAGCUAACCCUAACAAGAUUACCAUGAGAGGGCUCAAGAGCUUACCUCAAAAAGCUAUCCUCUCCAAGCUAAGGAAGAAGAUGACAAUGGUGAUUCUCCUCCUAGCUCCAAUCUCCACCUUCUCCACCCUCUUGAUCAACUCCUAGAGAGAGAGAGCUUCUUAGAGAGAGAGAGUGUGUGUGCAAAUGAGAGGGAUGAGUGGAAAUGGCUUCUAUGCCCUCUCACUUAACCCCCUCAUUGUAUACUUGCAAAUAACACCCCUCUACUUCAUGCCUCUUACACUGCUCAGACUGGGCAUUUUUCGGGUACGAGGACCGGUUCCCCUAUGGAGGGACCGGACCUCGAGAGCAAUGCUGCGCGCAGGACUUUCUGCCCAGCCCUCGUACGCGUACGGGGACCGGUCCCCACCUGAGGGACCGGACCCCGAGAGCACAAAAACUCUGCAUUGUGCAGAAUUGUUCCAGCUUGCUCUCCAAGGCCCUCCUCGAUGCACUUUCUGCAUUUUCGACGCCUUCGGCGUUUCCGAAGCGUCCCAAACUCACCUCUGAUCUAUUUCGAUCGAAGAUCGAGUUUACGUUUCGGGGUUUUCAUAUCCUUACAGAUUAAGUGUGUGUUAGGAAAAAAGUGAUAAAGCCAAGCUAAUUUAUAAAAGCCUCCAUCAACCCAAAUUAUUGAAAUAUCCCUCACUAGGUUCCUAGACUGUAGAGGGACCGGACCAUUGUAGAGGGAUUGGUCCCAAAACCUGUUCUUAGACUUUCUGCGGCGAAGGACUAGUCCUUUGUUCCAAUGUUCGGUCCCCUAAAGUAGUCCAGAAAUUUUUUCAUAGUAGAAGACCAGUCCUUUCUCCAAGGUUUCGUCCUUGAUGUUUUGGGCAUUACACAGUAACAUCAAGGUCCAAGCCUUCAAAUUAAGGUAUGGUCCCUAAGAGUAAAAUGACCCCAAAAUUCUUCGUCCAAAAAUUUUUAUUUUUUUGCUCUCCUCAAAUCAUCGCGAAAUCCUAGGAACACAAUGCGGACUUUGCCAAAACCAAUUCUCACUAUACUUUGCCCAAUUUGACCAAAAUUUCAGUACGGUAUAUCGAAAUUCAUACACUAUAUCCCUCCCUCCUUAAAAAGAGUUUUGUUCGUGAAACUAAAGCCAUACCUCAACUCGAACCAGCGAAGAGGUGAGGGUAACUCUCCGUCAUCAAGGUUUCCAAUUCCCAAGUGGCUUCACGUUCUCCGCUCCAUUGCACUUUGACAUACUGAAUUGUACGAUUCCGUAAUUCUUUCUCUCCGUGAGCAAGGAUGCAUAUUGAAAAUUCUUCUUACAACAUGUCUUAUUGAAGCUUCAACGGCUCGUAAUGAAGGACUCAGUCAGAUCUUGAAUGUACUUGUGGAGUGUGGACAUAUGAUAUAUAUUGUGAACUUCAACAAGUCUCGGUGGUAGCACAAGUCGAUAUGCCAUGGGCCCCACACGCUCGAAAAUCAUAAAGUCCGAUAUAUCGGGUUCUUAGUUUUCCCUGAAAUCCAAACUGCUUCACUCCUUUCAUGGCUGAUAGUUUCAAGAAAAUGUGGUCGUCCACAGCGAAUUCUAAAUCUAGUUAACGCUUGUCUGCAUAGCUCUUUUGUCGGGCUUGGACCGUCAAUAUUCAUUGACGAGCCAAACAAACUUUUUUCUCUGCAUCUUGCAAAACAUCCAUUCCCAAGUUCAUUUUCAAGCCGACCUUGUCACGCCCCGGGGCCGGCGGAGGCCCUCCCGGUAGCGUGCCCGGAUCCGCCAUAUGUCUACACAUAUAAGGCGUCUACAAUAAAAGCGGAAGUAAAAGCAAGAGGUAGAACAAAUAAAAGAAGUGAAAUAACUAUCAACUAAUGAUAUCAGAGCAAGUAAAGUUCUAUCAUCUACACCAAGGUAAAGAAAUAAAGCUAGUCAAACAAAGAUAACCAUAAGUAGUACAAUAACCGUCUCUAGUACAAAAAUGGUGGUCUCUACACAUAUACGGGUACAACUCUCAACCUCUCACAAAAAAAAAACACGAGAGGUAGACCACCUAUCGAACAAUCCCUCGGUAAGCACGCUAGCCCGAGGCGAUACCCUUUCCGCGAUCCUUGGCCUCUCCCUGCGUGGAAGGCUCUGAAAAACAUCGAGAAAAAGAGGGUGUGAGAACUAUAAUUUAUAGUGCCCAAUGGGCAAUUACUGACCUCAGCUCUAUGCACCACUAGGCCCCAAAAGAAAAGGGUAAGCACAAUAAUAAUAGCAAUAAUGACUGCGAUGUAAAGGCAUAAUUAAAAUGCUAAAUUACCAAGCUUAAGUAUAAACAAUGUUAUGGUGAUGUACUUCUACGAUAUCAAAAUAGUAAAUCAUUAACCCUUAUGAAUACAUUAUGCAUAAGUUCUGUCAUGGCAACCAAGUAUGCUUUAAUGCAAAAAGGAGACUAUCAAGUAUGCUACAUGUCUCAACCCUAUGCUAAAAGCAUAUAAAUGUCAUUCAACUACUAAACCUAUCUAGUAGUGAUCAACCAUUCUCAACACCGUGUCGAUUUUCAUUUCCAAUUAAGGACCUACCAAAGGUAGUCCAGCUUGUGCCGCCUAAGUGCCUGUGGUAGCCCGACAUCCCUACUCUUGGAAUGUGUCUGUCCCACUCGACCCCGUAGGCUUCUCAAUACCGCACGAGCAAACGUAGUCGCGUAGGCUAUCUCCGGAGUGCCGGCUUGUAGGGAGCGACCCUCACAAGCAUGUGCGAAUGAGCACAAAUGGCAAGCAAGCAUAGUCCAAGUCUCAAAUACCCAAUCCUCAUGUCUCUAACAUGGUAUGGUCACUAGCAUCCCGAAGAUCUAGUUUAAGUCACAAUGUGAAGUUUCAAUAUUUGCUACGCCUAGUGCCCCUUGAUGACACUUAGGCAAUUUGAUGUUCAAUAUGUAAUCCAAAUCCCUCGAUGGCCCUAUCCACUAGAUUCUCACAUGUCCCGAGCUCAAUGCCGCUUGAUGACAUUAGUUCUCUAGUUCACAUACCUUCUAAAUGGCAAUCUUGUCAACUUUCAUGUCUCAAUAGACUUAGGUUUAAAUGCAUGAAUCCAAUCUCAUUUACACUAUAAGAGUAUGAAACCACGUCUCAUAUGGAAUGCUAAAUGCAACUAUAGGCCCACCAAGCUACUCUCUACUACAUAGAGGUCCAAAAUUUUAUCAUAUAUAACAUAGGCCUUUUAAGCAUUCUAAAAUUCACAAUAAAUACAUAUAACAAGAAUAUGCAUACUUUUUCAUUUAACGAUACUUAAUUAAGCACAAAUGAGAAUUUCUCAUUGUGUGGCUAGGUCAAACCCACCGAACCGUCGCGUAGAGCCUCGUCUCGCCAAACAAAGUUGUCCCCGAGUCUCGAAAUGCCCUAGAAGUGAUCAGCGAAGAGAUACGAGGGCAUUACUACCAUCUUACACUAUCAAACAUUAACCUAGGAGCAAAAAGGGCCAAAACUUACCUCAAGAGUAGAAAUCUUCUCCUAAGCUCCAAUAGAGAGCUAGAACCCUUCCAAUCCAAGCCCUAAGAAGGUUCUAAACCAACCAAUCAAGCCUCAAAAGCCCUAGAUUCAAAAAGCCCAAAAUAAACCCUAAGUCCCAAAACUAGGGUUUCAUAUGGUAAAACCUACCAAGUCAAGGAUCAAAGGGUAGAAUCCAAGUACUAACCUCCCAAGAUGCCUCCAAACAAGCUCCAAAUCUUCUAGGGUUGAAGAUUAGUCCACCACCAAGCUCUACAAGCAAGCUCCAAGCCAAGCAAGGGUGGAAAGGGGAGAAACGGGUUGAGCUCCAAGCUCCUUCAAGCAAACUCCUCUUCUUCUUCUCCUCCUUCUUCUCUUUCUUCUCUCUCUAGAAAGUGUAGGGAGAGGGUGAGAAAUGAGGAGGGAAGAGAGGGAAAUGGCUAAUAAACCCAUCUAAUGUAACAAAAUCCAGUGAGGCCCCUCAAAAAUCCAAAAUUGCAUCAGCCCGGUCUGUGCAGUUUUCGCCCAGAGGGACCGGUCUCUCCCCAGCAGAGACCGGUCUCUCGCUGCGAACCCGAAAAACCAUCGUUCGGGAACCGGUCUCUCCCUGCGCCGGACCGGUCUCUCACUGCGUAGACGCGCUCGGGGACCGGUCUCGCCCGCCAGGGAUCGGUUGCCUCAGGGCUGCCGCAGCACUGCUUACUGGGGGACCGGUCUCUCCUUCCAGAGACCGGUCCCCGAGAGUAAAAACUCUCAGGACUUGUCCAGAAUUCCAGUUUUUUCAAACUUUUUAGGUCGGAAAACAUUCUACAACCCUCCACCAAGUGUGGAAAAGCUCGAAAUACAUCCAAACACUCGAACCUCGCAAUUUGCAAAGGCCCAGUGUGUUACAGACCUCAUUCCAUAUAUCGGAGAGUGGCAUUUUCUUCCAUAUAAGGCCUCAAACUGUGCCAUUCCAAUACUUACUUGAUAGCUAUUAUUAUAGACGAACUCCGCCAUCGACAAGUAGGUGUGUAGCGCACCCUUGAAAUCUAUAACGCAUGCUGGGAGUGUACCUCCAAAAUUUGGUUUGUCCUCUCUGACUGACCAUCUGUUUGAUGAUGGAAUGACAUACUAAAAUCGAGCUGUGUACCCAAUGACUUGUGCAAGCCUCUAAAGUGAUAGAUCCACAAGAUCCAAUAAUAGGAGAUUUUAGGGCUCUGUUGCUUGAGGGAGAAAGAGAUAAAGAGAAAAAGGGAGUGAAAGAGGAGAAAUGGGAUUGGUUAGGGUUUAGCUGUGAAAAGUCUUUAAAUAGGGGCACUACACUAGCACAUAACCCCCCUCCCAAUUGAUUUAAUUUGCAACAACUAUACGCAUCUCUGCAUGCCAGGUUUCGAGAGACCGCCCGAACUUUUGGGGACUCGAAGGCAGAGUAACUGCGUUCGGUCUGAGAUCCAGUGUGACAUCCUAAUGGUCCCACAUCGGAUGGGAAUAAGAUUAUCUGUAACAUACCGAAACCCGGUAGAGUAGUGGACUUUAGCCAAAUGGACUAAAGCAUCCAAGAGAGAUGGUUGGACAAGUUCCAAUUAACCUUCCAACAAUAUUGGGAGGCUUAAAAGUGAGUUUAAGAAGGGUUAGAAGGGUUUUAGUAUCGACCGGCAUGAAAGAGUCGAAACGAUGCAAAACUGCAGUCUGGGCAAAGUGUACCGGUACAACCAUCGGGUUGUACCGGUACAACCAGCAGGUCGAGAGGGGGGUAGCUCUCGGGUUUGAUCUCUGCGUAGAAGUGUACCGAUGCAUCCCUGGUUUGUACCAGUACACUUUGGUAAAACCCGAGGAGGCUGCCCUCGGGUUUACCUCUGCGCGAUCGUGUAACCGGUGAUAGAACAAAGUGUACCGGUACACUUUGGUCUGGCAGGAACAAUGAGGUCUGCUUCAAAUAGAAAGAAGUGCAGGAUUUUUUGGUAAUUGUUACAACAUAAUAACACCCUAACACCCCUCCCCUCUCCCUUUCACAGCCAUUUCACCUCCUUCUCUUAUUUCCCUCUUUCUCUCUCUAGAAAUCUCCCCCAAGGGCAAGGAGAAGGAGUUGGAGAAGGUGUAAAAGGUGGAUUUGGAGGAUUAGGAGGCUAGGGUUCUCUCCUACAAGGUGGACUUUUGUGAGCUUGUUACCAAUGUGAGGUUUUAUGAAAAGUUGAGUCUAGGGUUUGGGUUUUGUAUCCUGGAAAACUAGGUUUUGGAGCUUCUACAAGUGUAGAAACUUCUAGUGGCCAUGGAAACAUGAAAACUCAUGUUUUCUUUAAGUGCUCUAAUGGUGGAUUUUUAGGGUUUGCAAUAUAAGCCCUAGAAUUGAUUUAGAUGGUUCUAGAUGAACUUCUAAGUGUUGGACAAGCUCUCUUUUACUUGUUUUAGAGAUCAAAAUUUAGGAUCUAGCAAAUGGAUGUUUUCGAGGCAAAUUGACCUUGCGUAAACCUAAUUGGGGGUAUUCUCGACACGUUGGACAACUCGGUUCGACUAUACGAAAAGAUCUAGAUAAAGUUAUUGAGAAAAAGCCUAAUUUGGCUUCGUUUUUGCCGGAGGCGAAAAAGUAGGCGCCCUAAAAUCUCAAGAAUUGAACUGUAGCAUCCUCUCAAUCAUCUAAGGUGGGUGGUGCAUUCCGACAACCUCGAACUUCCUCUUAUGUCUAAAGUGUCAUUUUGAGCAUAUGUGAAUGUUAGCUACUUUGCAUAGUAGGGUUAUUUUUGGGCUUUUAUUUGAAUGUUAUUAGCAUAGGUGCAUGGGUAAUAAUAGUAUAAGAACAAAGAAUUGUUUAACCCUAUGUAUGCAUAUAUGUUGAUAAGUACCUAGCAAAGUUAAAGGACUUAGUGACAUAGAGAACAAAAAAUGACAGUUGGACAUAACUAUAGAGAGUGGCAUCGACUGGUCUUGAACACUUAGAGAACAAGUGUGGCAUCAUGGUAUGAGUACAAAGUAGUGUAUAUGACACUAGUAAAAGUAAAGAAUGUAAGUAAACGUGUGAUAGUGACAUUAUGACAUAACAACCUUAAAGCUAAAGGUCAUAUGAGCAUGGUUUUCCUUAAAGCUAAGAAAUGGAUUGAACUUGGAUAGUAGGGUUACUUGUGGGAUUUUAUUUGAAUGUUAUGAGCAUAGAUGCAUGGGUAAUAAUGGUAUAAGAACAAGAAAUUGUUUAACCCUAUGUAUGCAUGUAUGUUGAUAAGUAGCUAGCAAAGUUAAAGGACUUAGUGACAUAGAGAACAAAAAAUGACAGGUGGACAUAACUAUAGAGAGUGGCAUCGACUGGUCUUGAACACUUAGAGAACAAGUGUGGCAUCAUGGUAUGAGUACAAAGUAGUGUAUAUGACACUAGUAAAAGUAAAGAAUGUAAGUAAACGUGUGAUAGUGACAUUAUGACAUAACAACCUUAAAGCUAAAGGUCAUAUGAGCAUGGUUUUCCUUAAAGCUAAGAAAUGGAUUGAACUUGGAUAGUAGGGUUACUUGUGGGAUUUUAUUUGAAUGUUAUGAGCAUAGAUGCAUGGGUAAUAAUGGUAUAAGAACAAGAAAUUGUUUAACCCUAUGUAUGCAUGUAUGUUGAUAAGUAGCUAGCAAAGUUAAAGGACUUAGUGACAUAGAGAACAAAAAAUGACAGGUGGACAUAACUAUAGAGAGUGGCAUCGACUGGUCUUGAACACUUAGAGAACAAGUGUGGCAUCAUGGUAUGAGUACAAAGUAAAGAUUGCAAGUAAACGUGUGAUAGUGACAUUAUGACAUAACAACCUUAGAGUUAAGGGUCAUAUGAGCAUGAUUUUUUUUAAAAUUAAGGAAUGGAUUGAACUUGGAAUUCUUAAAGCUAAGGAUUGAUCGUACUCACCCAUAGUCUUGGCUUGAGGGUGGUAGCAUCCCCUCGGGCGAUGAGCUCCGGAGUUGUCAUCACUAGAUAGUAGCGAGUAUCUCCCCAGAGGACGGUCCCGUCGGGUUGUAGCGGGUAUCUCUCCGAUAGUAGGGAUUUGGGUUGGUGAGUUUGUUGAGGGGGAAACCUACGGGUUAGCCAAGAAAUUGGGCAAUGAAAUUGUAAUCUUGCAUUCAUCAUGAGCAUACUAUUGAGCAUUGCAUUGAUUAUUGUUCAGACAUAUUAGCUGCAUUUGUAUAGUUUGGUUACUAUCUAUAUCUCUUUUCUUCUAUUAUCCUUGAUUUAGACCUAGUGGGAAAGUUAGCGUGGUUGGUUGCCAUUGCCGAACCCAUUGGGAACUUUGUUGUAGUUCUCACCCCACUAUUUUCUCAGAGCCAGAACCGAGCGAGCCGGCGUACGACUGCUGUCACGCCCCGGGGCCCAGCGGAAGCCCGCCCGGCACGUGCCCAGACCCGCCAUACGUCUAAAACGUAUAAGGCGUCUAGAAACAACAAUAAUAAAAGCAAUAAUAAAAGACAUCUAGGAGUAUCAGAGCAUAAUAAAUGUCUAAAUGCUACAACAAAGGAUAAGGUAAAACUGUAAAUUCACUAAAUAAGACAUAAAGUAAAUACAAUAGGAAAUCCCAAAUACAAGUGCUAUAGGUAGAUACACAGGUGGUCUCUAUACAUGGAUACAAAAAAAUUUCUCACUCUCUCAACUACAAAAAGAAAGAGUAAACCACCUAGGCAAAGUACCGCUCCUCGCUAGCUAGCUAAGUGAUCCCCUUGCCGCGAUCCCGUGCCUCCGCCGGUGCCGAAGGCUCUGAAAAGGAAACCACAAAACGGGGGCAUGAGAACUAUUAAAAAUAGUUCCCAGUGGGCAAUUACUGACUUCAGUGAAUGCACCACAAGGCCCAAAGGUACAAAAGAUGUCAGUGACUAUACAAGUAGAAAGGUAGGCAAAAAUGUAACUUACUACGACAUGAUAUCUCUACUUAGCAUAAAUAGCAUAAGUAUGAAAGCAACUAUGCAUGAAGUAAAAGUCUCCAACUAUCAUGAUGUUCACAGUGUGAAAUAUUAAAGUUCCGUUGUUUACUGUUCUAGGCAAUGUCCGAGUAGUACACUAAGUCAUCAUCUGUCCGCAUGUCAUAAUGGAUAUAUAAAGUCCAAUCUGAAGAGACCCACCCGAAGGCUGUCUAUGGCCCUGAGACCUACCCGUAGACUGUCUGGCCGGUGCCGAGCCUAAUGGCCCCGUGGUAGUCAUCAUCCCCACCCUAGGAAUGAGCCUGUCUCACGGCAAUCCACUUCGGCGCCCAAUCCCGCACGGCGAAUAUGAAUCGCGAUGGCCAUCUCCGGAGUGCCGGCUUGUAGGGAGCGACCUUCACAAGCAUGUGCGAAUGAGCACAAUGGCAAGUAGUCAAACGAUCUGUCGCAAGUACCAAGUCCUCAUGUCUAAUAACAUGGAAUGUGUCAAGUAUCUCAAUGGCCUAUCCCUAUGUCAUCAUGUCUCUAACAUGGAAUAUAGCAGAUAUGUAGUGGCCUAUCAAUAUGUCUCUAUAUUGCAGUUUCAUAGUUUACUAGUUUCAAGUGCCCC